CGACGAGAAGCCAUGAGUUUGAUCUGAAGAAGGAAUCUGAUAUCAACAAGAAUUCUCCGGCAAGAUUUGGAGGGGAAUCAAAAGCUGGGAUGGAGGAAGAUUUUCCGACAAGAGGUGAUGUGAAAGUAGAGAGUGGAUUGGGAAGAGACUUACCGACGGGAACUCAUGAUCAGUUCUCACCAGAACUAUCUCGUCCCAAAGAGAGAGAUGAUUCUGAGGAAACCAAAGAUGAGUCGACACAUGAGACAAAACCAAGCACCUACACAGAGCAGUUAGCUUCAGCUACAUCAGCCAUAACUAACAAAGCUAUAGCCGCAAAGAACGUCGUUGCCUCAAAGCUAGGUUACACCGGAGAGAAUGGCGGCGGGCAAAGCGAGAGCCCUGUAAAAGAUGAAACUCCGAGAUCUGUUACUGCUUACGGGCAGAAAGUGGCGGGAACUGUUGCUGAGAAGUUGACUCCGGUUUACGAAAAAGUCAAAGAAACAGGAUCAACGGUGAUGACAAAGCUACCUCUCUCCGGAGGUGGAAGUGGAGUGAAGGAGACGCAACAAGGGGAAGAGAAAGGUGUGACGGCUAAAAAUUAUAUAUCAGAGAAGCUGAAACCUGGAGAAGAGGACAAAGCUUUAUCGGAAAUGAUAGCUGAGAAACUUCAUUUUGGAGGAGGAGGAGAGAAGAAGACAACGGCUACAAAGGAGGUGGAAGUGACGGUUGAGAAGAUACCUUCCGACCAGAUAGCGGAGGGGAAAGGACAUGGUGAGGCGGUUGCAGAGGAAGGAAAAGGUGGAGAAGGAAUGGUGGGGAAAGUUAAAGGAGCGGUCACUUCUUGGCUCGGUGGUAAACCGAAGUCGCCACGGUCCGUUGAAGAGUCUCCACAAUCACUUGGCACCACCGUUGGUAAAACUCCCUCGUCCUUGUGUUACACGUAAUGUUAAGAUUUUGAUGUGUGUAUUAUUUUUGUAAUUUUACUCAAAAUGUUUUGGUUGCUAUGGUAGGGACUAUGGGGUUUUCGGAUUCCGGUGGAAGUGAGUUGGGAGGCAGUGGCGGAGGUAAGGGAGUUCAAGAUUCUGGGAACUGAAGAUUUGGGGUUUUGCUUUUGAAUGUUUGUGUUUUUGUAUGAUGCCUCUGUUUGUGAACUUUGAUGUAUUUUAUCUUUGUGUGAAAAAGAGAUUGGGUUAAUAAAAUAUUUGCUUUUUUGGAUAAGAAACUCUUUUAGCGGCCCAUUAAUAAAGGUUACAAAUGCAAAAUCAUGUUAGCGUCAGAUAUUUAAUUAUUCGAAGAUGAUUGUGAUAGAUUUAAAAUUAUCCUAGUCAAAAAGAAAGAGUAGGUUGAGCAGAAACAGUGACAUCUGUUGUUUGUACCAUACAAAUUAGUUUAGAUUAUUGGUUAACAUGUUAAAUGGCUAUGCAUGUGACAUUUAGACCUUAUCGGAAUUAAUUUGUAGAAUUAUUAAUUAAGAUGUUGAUUAGUUCAAACAAAAAUUUUAUAUUAAAAAAUGUAAACGAAUAUUUUGUAUGUUCAGUGAAAGUAAAACAAAUUAAAUUAACAAGAAACUUAUAGAAGAAAAUUUUUACUAUUUAAGAGAAAGAAAAAAAUCUAUCAUUUAAUCUGAGUCCUAAAAACUGUUAUACUUAACAGUUAACGCAUGAUUUGAUGGAGGAGCCAUAGAUGCAAUUCAAUCAAACUGAAAUUUCUGCAAGAAUCUCAAACACGGAGAUCUCAAAGUUUGAAAGAAAAUUUAUUUCUUCGACUCAAAACAAACUUACGAAAUUUAGGUAGAACUUAUAUACAUUAUAUUGUAAUUUUUUGUAACAAAAUGUUUUUAUUAUUAUUAUAGAAUUUUACUGGUUAAAUUAAAAAUGAAUAGAAAAGGUGAAUUAAGAGGAGAGAGGAGGUAAACAUUUUCUUCUAUUUUUUCAUAUUUUCAGGAUAAAUUAUUGUAAAAGUUUACAAGAUUUCCAUUUGACUAGUGUAAAUGAGGAAUAUUCUCUAGUAAGAUCAUUAUUUCAUCUACUUCUUUUAUCUUCUACCAGUAGAGGAAUAAACAAUAUUUAGCUCCUUUGUAAAUACAAAUUAAUUUUCGUUCUUGACAUCAUUCAAUUUUAAUUUUACGUAUAAAAUAAAAGAUCAUACCUAUUAGAACGAUUAAGGAGAAAUACAAUUCGAAUGAGAAGGAUGUGCCGUUUGUUAUAAUAAACAGCCACACGACGUAAACGUAAAAUGACCACAUGAUGGGCCAAUAGACAUGGACCGACUACUAAUAAUAGUAAGUUACAUUUUAGGAUGGAAUAAAUAUCAUACCGACAUCAGUUUGAAAGAAAAGGGAAAAAAAGAAAAAAUAAAUAAAAGAUAUACUACCGACAUGAGUUCCAAAAAGCAAAAAAAAAGAUCAAGCCGACACAGACACGCGUAGAGAGCAAAAUGACUUUGACGUCACACCACGAAAACAGACGCUUCAUACGUGUCCCUUUAUCUCUCUCAGUCUCUCUAUAAACUUAGUGAGACCCUCCUCUGUUUUACUCACAAAUAUGCAAACUAGAAAACAAUCAUCAGGAAUAAAGGGUUUGAUUACUUCUAUUGGAAAGAAAAAAAUCUUUGGAAAAUGGAUCAAACAGAGGAACCACCACUCAACACACACCAGCAGCACCCAGGUAGAUUCUAAUUUCAGAAACUUAUAUUUUUUUUAAGUGACAAUCCUCUGAAUUUACUUAAACUUAUUGUGAUUUAUGGAUACAGAAGAAGUUGAACAUCAUGAGAAUGGUGCGACUAAGAUGUUUAGGAAAGUAAAGGCUAGAGCUAAGAAGUUCAAGAACAGUCUCACUAAACAUGGACAAAGCAAUGAGCAUGAGCAAGAUCAUGAUUUGGUUGAAGAAGAUGAUGAUGAUGACGAGCUAGAACCUGAAGUGAUCGAUGCACCAGGUUACUUUCUUUUGUAGUUUCAUUCAACUUAUGAUCUAAAAACUAUUGGUUAUUCAAUUUUGCGUGACAUUAACGGUUUGGUAUCUGUAUAUGCAGGCGUAACAGGUAAACCUAGAGAAACUAAUGUUCCAGCAUCGGAGGAAAUUAUUCCACCAGGGACAAAGGUGUUUCCUGUCGUGUCUUCCGAUUACACCAAACCCACUGAAUCUGUACCAGUACAAGAGGCCUCUUACGGACACGAUGCACCGGCUCAUUCUGUAAGGACGACGUUUACAUCGGACAAGGAAGAGAAAAGAGAUGUACCGAUUCAUCAUCCUCUGUCCGAAUUGUCAGACAGAGAAGAGAGUAGAGAGACUCAUCAUGAGUCAUUGAACACUCCGGUCUCUCUGCUUUCUGGAACAGAGGAUGUAACGAGUACGUUUGCUCCAAGUGGUGAUGAUGAAUAUCUUGAUGGUCAACGGAAGGUCAACGUCGAGACCCCGAUAACGUUGGAGGAAGAGUCGGCUGUUUCAGACUAUCUUAGUGGUGUAUCUAAUUAUCAGUCCAAAGUUACUGAUCCCACCAAAGAAGGUAAGAACUUUGACCUUUUAAGAUUGUGUUUUUCUUUAGUGAUUAUGAAUAUGUAAUAACUCUGUUACGUUGUGUUUGGUUUAGAAACUGGAGGAGUACCGGAGAUUGCUGAGUCUUUUGGUAAUAUGGAAGUGACUGAUGAGUCUCCUGAUCAGAAGCCAGGACAAUUUGAAAGAGACUUGUCGACGAGAAGCAAAGAAUUCAAAGAGUUUGAUCAGGACUUUGACUCUGUUCUCGGUAAGGAUUCGCCGGCGAAAUUUCCAGGUGAAUCAGGAGUUGUUUUCCCGGUGGGCUUUGGUGACGAGUCAGGAGCUGAGCUGGAAAAAGAUUUUCCGACGAGAAGUCAUGAUUUUGAUAUGAAGACUGAAACUGGAAUGGACACGAAUUCUCCAUCAAGAAGCCAUGAAUUUGAUCUGAAGACUGAAUCUGGAAACGACAAGAAUUCUCCGAUGGGCUUUGGUAGUGAAUCAGGAGCUGAGCUGGAAAAAGAAUUUGAUCAGAAGAACGAUUCUGGAAGAAACGAGUAUUCGCCGGAAUCUGACGGCGGUUUAGGAGCUCCGUUGGGAGGAAAUUUUCCGGUGAGAAGUCAUGAGUUGGAUCUGAAGAACGAAUCUGAUAUCGACAAGGAUGUGCCGACGGGAUUUGACGGAGAACCAGAUUUUCUGGCGAAGGGAAGACCUGGAUACGGUGAGGCAUCAGAAGAGGAUAAAUUUCCGGCGAGAAGUGAUGAUGUGGAAGUAGAGACUGAGCUGGGAAGAGACCCAAAGACGGAGACUCUUGAUCAAUUCUCACCGGAACUUUCUCAUCCUAAAGAAAGAGAUGAGUUUAAGGAGUCCAGAGAUGAUUUUGAGGAGACGAGAGAUGAGAAAACAGAGGAGCCAAAACAGAGCACUUACACAGAGAAGUUUGCUUCAAUGCUAGGUUACUCCGGAGAAAUUCCGGUGGGAGAUCAAACUCAAGUGGCGGGAACUGUUGAUGAGAAGUUGACUCCGGUCAAUGAGAAGGAUCAAGAAACAGAGUCUGCCGUGACGACGAAGUUACCUAUCUCCGGAGGUGGAAGUGGAGUAGAGGAGCAACGAGGGGAAGAUAAAAGUGUGUCGGGUAGAGAUUAUGUGGCGGAGAAACUGACAACUGAAGAAGAAGACAAAGCCUUUUCUGAUAUGGUUGCCGAGAAACUUCAGAUUGGAGGAGAAGAAGAGAAGAAGGAAACGACGACAAAGGAAGUGGAGAAGAUCUCUACCGAGAAGGCAGCAUCGGAGGAGGGUGAGGCGGUGGAAGAGGAAGUGAAAGGAGGAGGAGGAAUGGUUGGGAGGAUUAAAGGAUGGUUCGGUGGUGGUGCGACUGAUGAGGUGAAGCCAGAAUCGCCACAUUCUGUUGAAGAGGCUCCAAAAUCAUCUGGCUGGUUUGGUGGUGGUGCGACGGAGGAGGUGAAGCCAAAAUCGCCUCAUUCCGUUGAAGAGUCUCCACAAUCACUUGGCUCCACUGUUGUUCCGGUGCAGAAGGAGCUUUAAGAAUAUGAGAACUGAGAUUUUCAAGUUUCACUUUGGAUGUUUAUGUGUGUUUUGUUUGACGUCUUUGAUGUAUUAUGGUAUAAUUCCUUGUUUGUGUGAAAAAAGGACAUUUGGUUAAUAAAUUGUUCGGCUUUGGAUUAAGAAGUUCCUCCAUACCAGCUACUAGGUCUAAAGUGGGUAAAAUCAUUGGAUUUAUUCCCUUCAAAGUUCUUAGAAUUAUUCACAGGAUUUUACAUUAUGAGCUAGUAGUGUGACUUGUUGAGGUGUUGUCUCUAUCGUUAAAGUUCUCGAAUAUUUCUAGGAUGAGAGCAUAUUUGAUUUUGUUUUCUAUAGUUGCUUUUGUUUGUUUUGGGACUCCCUAAUAACUCAUCAAAAGUUAUACAAAAAAGAAACGAAAAUAUUUUUAAUGAUAUUUCAUUGUUAAAAUCCACUAAAUGACAAUUACAUAAGCUUAAAAGAUGACGAAUGUGAUGUUUUUGUGGCUAAAGUUAGUUCUUUAAGUGAAAACUUGACAUUGAAACGCUCAUUAUGGAAAAUUAUUUGUUGAUUCAAAAAGGCCAAGAAACACAACCGACUUAAUUAAGACCAUCUCCAUUGGUCAUCAAAAUAAAGAGUCUUUAAAUAUAAAAUUAAUAGAAAUAAGAAAAAAAAAGAAUUUAAAGAAUCAAGGUGAGAAAUGUGUCUUCCUAUAGACAUUUAAAAUCUUGUAAUGGUCAGUUUAAAGAUCAUUCCCUCCAUAUGUCUUGUUGUUAGUGGUCAGUUUGUUUUUGAUAUUAAAAUAUUAAAUAUGUUGAUUUUGAGACAUAAAAAAAAUAAUUUAGCAAUGAGGAUGCUUUAACUUGCAUCACUAUGAGGUGUAUAUUGUUUCUACACUGAUUUUGGAUAUUCAAUUUCACAAGUUUAGUGAUCGGUUUGAUAAAGCUAAAUUCUGAACUACUUAUUUUCACAUCAUCAUCAAGUAUUAUUUCUUUUUUUCCAUCAUUUUGACAAGUCAUGCUCAUGAGAUUAGUUAAGCUUUAUCCACAUCACUUUAGUUUAGUGUAAAUAUAUUGAUCAUCAACUUGACAUUUAUUUUGAUUAGGUGCAAAAAGAUGAAAGAUUUGUUAAUUUAAAGAGUUUUGCUUAUCUUGCUCCUGUGAUGGUGGACAAAAAAAAAACAUAUUUUACAUUCAUCUUUGAUUAUUACCAUUGUGAUAACAAACAAUCACUGAAUAUUGUAUUUUAAAGUGAAUAGCUGUUUAUUGAAAAUUAGGUACUGACAGUAUUACAAACGAAUACCUAAAAUUUUAGGUUUAUAUUUGUUAUGAUUUUUUCAUGUUUUCAAUAAACUUUACAUGUACUAAAAUUUAUGAUAUAAAUAAUUGUUAUAAAUUAUGCCACUGCGGAUGAAGGUUAUGUUGAUUUAUGUAAUAAUAGUAGUUUUAAAGCAGUGAAUGAUAACUUGCUGGACUAUAUAGGUUUUUCAUGCAAGUCCUAUUACUCUCAUCUCAUCAGUUAUUUAGAAUGAUGAAUUUCCAGAGCCGCCAUACUUUUGUACUUCCAAAGGGCUUCUACUCAAAGGUUGAUGGGCUAUGCGUUUCAUUUCUGUGAAAAUAACAAAGUUGGAUAAGAGAAAUAUGAUUUUAGAUAGGAAAAAUUAGCACUAAUGGUUUCAAAAGAAACAAACUUACUUCAUUUAUUUUAUUAUUUUAAUUUAUAUUAUCAUGAGGUUCUAAAUCUUUACCCAUAAAUAUUCUUUCACAAUGGAAUAUUUUAUUGUAACAUAAAACAAAAAUAAAAUAUCACUAAAUCUUAGUGACACUAACUUUGAGACCAUGUUGCAUGCGAAGAAGAACGGAAGGAACUGGUUUUGGUUUGUGCCCUUCAACGACCUUAAUGUCAUAGUUUCUAAUGAUUUCGACCGCUACUGUCUUCAUCUGCAAGAAUGUUAAUCUUUUCCCCAAGCAAGUUCUUGGACCAGCGUUAAACGCCAAAAACUUAUAUGAAGACUCUUGUCUCAACAUUCCACUGUCUGAAAUCCAUCUCUCUGGUCGAAAAUCUUCUGCGUCAUCUCCCCAAACAGAUUUCAUCCUGCCUAAUGAAUAAAUAGGGAUUACUACCCUCCAAUUCUUAUCAACUUUAUGACCACUUGGAAGCACGUCUGGCUUUGCCGGUGACUUGUGGUUGAAUGGGACUGAUGGGUAUAGCCUUAGCGUCUCACACACGGCACCGUCUAGGUACACGAGCUUGUCUAAAUCUGCCGGAUCAAACUUUGGCAUCUUCUUGUUAAUCUCUUGUCGGAUCUUGGUCAUUGCUUCAGGGUUCUUAGAGAGAAGCCAGAAAAACCAAGUGAGAGCUGAGCUGGUUGUGUCUCUUGCCGCUAUCACAAGACCCAAAAUAGUGUCUCUGAUGAAUUUAUCGUUACUCGGUUUCAAGUGUUUAUAUUUGGUCGUGUCUAUAGUCAUGUAAUAUGUUAAAACGUCCAUGGCCUCUCCUUUUGAGUCAUGAAUCCCAUGAUUUUUGAUCUCCUCUCGUUUAGCUGAUAUGAUCUUCCCUAGCAUUUGAUCGAAAACGUCGAGACCUCUUCUCAUCUUCUUCUCUAUUCCUACACCGAUCCAAGAUUGGAUACUCCACAGGAAAGCCGGCUUGAGAUGUCUAUAGAACAUGGCAUCUGCAACUCCAUCCAUCGCAUCAGCGAACUCAACCUUAGGCAUUUCAACGGAGAGAGAUUUUGGAUCAUACCCAGCCAUCAAAGUAGAAGAUGUGUCAAACAAGAAUCUCUGGAACAAAUCUUGCAAGUCGACAAGAAUGUGUUUCUCAACAGCGUUAUCAAGAAUAGGAACAAGCCCUUGACUUAAUUUGCUUACGCUUGUACUCACCGAAAAACUUUGGAAAUCUUGAUGGCUGAAAAUCGCAUGAGACGAGUUUCUCAUAUCCUCCCACAAGCCCGAGUCAACGUUGAAAAUCCCAUCUCCCAAGAAUUCAAAGAUCUUGUUAAACUUCUUCCCUUUGGGGUAAUUCACGAAGUUUGAACUUAGAAUAUACUGGAUAUUCACCGGGUCAACAGUGAGCAAUAUGUCUGUUCCACUAAGCCAUGGCCCUAUGAAACAACCCGUCAUAUUUUCUGCCUCAAGAGCCUCCGUAACAAAGUCGUAGAUACGAGGGAUUUGGAAGAGCACACCCGGAAGCAUCCCAAGGACCGGCCAGUUCAUGACCAUAUGCUUUGGAGUUUUCUUGUGGAGCGAGAAACACUGGUAGACAAAGAAGAAAAUGAAUGCGAUGAAGAUUUCAAGUAAGCCUAUGAUCAUCGCCAUUAUUGCACACAAAAAUGAUUUUUUUUUUUUUGGUCAAACAAAAUAAUGGAUUUUCAUAUGAGUGAGUUAUUCAUACAAGAACUCGUUUGCUAUAUAUAACACAUGUGUAUAUGUCAUUUCAAAUCAUAGUAUUGCUCUGUGUAAGAACAUUUAAUCACUGGUGUUUAGAAAAGUCAGAAAAGGAGUCUUGUAUUUGUCAAUUAUUGAAGAUGUUAAGUGGUGUGGAGUUCACUGGCAUAAUAUUUUUUUUUUUUUUUUUUUGUGUGUAAACAACUUUUCAAUCAUCCUUUAUUUUGUACAUUUUACAUCUAUAUUACAACGAGAAGUAAUACAGAGAUAACUCUAAAAUCUCUUUACGAUUCGAGUAUAUUUUUUCUGAAGAUAUUAAAUUUUCAUCAUUAUUUAUAUGAUAAUUAUACUAUUAUUGUAACACGUUAAUCAACAUGAUUAUUCUAUGGUUACAAACUUACAAUUAGAAGUUAUAACUAUAUAAUUAUAAUAUCUAUAUUAUUUUGUGUGCAAAAUCGUUAAAAUUCACUUAAAGUGAACUAUAUGAAAUUUUUUAAUAGCAUUGAAAUUCAAACUCAAAAAAUUAUGUGCAAUAUAGUAGUACAUAAUUGCAAAAAUCAUCAUAUGGACUAAAACAAUUUAGACAUGUGUAGUAUAAUCGUCGAGCAUCUAAUGAAGAAAAAAAAACACAUGUUAAAGAAGUAUGCACCAUCAAAAUAUUUUGGUGUCGGUACCAACUUUCACAACUACUAACCACAAAUCUUAAUGUGCACCAUCAUUUCAUAGUCCAAAUUAAAUUUUAAAAUACAGGGACCACCGGUUUCCAUAUUUGAAUAAAUUUAAACCAAAUAAAACCAAACUUCUGCAAAAUAACCAAACCAGACAAUUUCGGUUCAACAUAUGGUCUAGAUUUCUCAAUACCGAAAACCGAAACAAAAUUACGCAAAACACAGAAAACAUUUCGAAUCUAAUUCAGUCUACAUUUCCCAAAACCCUUUUUUAGCACUUUGCUCCGUUUUGAAGUUUCCUCUUCUUCACGGAUAAGUUCUUCCUGCCUUUUAAGCGCAAUAGCUUCUUUGUAUGCAACCUCAAUUUUGCUGCUCAGAGAUAUUGAAGUACAAUACAUAAGCACAUCAAGUUAGAACACAAUGGCAUACUAUAUAGAAACAAAUUAUGCAUUAUUACCUAAAGAUAUGGUCAAGAACAAAUAUCUCCACAGUUCGUCUACCCCACUCAUUUAAACAUAUCUCAUAAGCUUCCUUGUUGAUAUCUUCUUCAUCCUUGUCCUCCUAGAUUUGCAUCCAAGCAAAAAAAACAAAAUUUAUCAAUACAAGUAACUUUCUAGUGGAAAAGUGCAUAAGAUAAACAAUAACGCGGAUAAUGGAAUUAAGCCGACCUUAAUACGGUUUUGAAGAGCUUUAUCAUCUUUCGGAGGCAAUGGCUCUGGAGCAGCCCUCUCUAGGAGUGCAGCCCUCUCUAGGAGUAACAACACAUCAUCAUCAACUAAUACGAACAUAUCUCUGUCCACUUUAACAAACGGAGCUGGCAAUUCCUUGUCAUCUAACAGUUUUGGGCUAGCUUUCUUGUUCUUAGUUUGGACUUCAAGAUCCUUCAACCCAUUAUACAAGCAAUCCAUCGCUAUAGGUGAUGUAACAACAUUUUCCAUGAAAAAGUGUUUUACAAAUCCUUUUAGGAUUACGUCCAUUUUCUCUCUAGACAUCUCACGCCUAGAGUUUUUGUCCAUUCCUAACCAGAAAACACCGAAGCUGCAACCAAGAAUGCAAAUUUAUAAUGGUCUCUAGAGACAUGGUUGGAAGACAAUAUAUUAAUCUAACAUGGCAUGGUUUCCUCAAAAGAAGAGGUAACUACAUUUAUGGAAUCUGGAGGAGUUAAGGGUACAAGUUGAAAUGUGAAAUACCUUGUCCAUUUGGCCUUGUCCUCUAUCAACUUCUCAAGCUUGCUUCUUCUCUCCUCCACAAAGCGUAGGAAAAUUUGCUCUAUAUUUCGAAAAUACACCCUAACAAUUUCUGUCUUGUAACCAUAAUCAAGGAAGAAAGGUCGGUCCACCCUGUCUCUGCAAGGACCAAUUAUAUGGCCGAGGAAAUGAAAAAAUAUAACAUAUGAACAUGUGGAGAUGUAACUUGUAAGUAUAUGGUAGCAUGGAAAAAUGGACCGUGCAUGUGGUAAUAUUUUGCUCAUAGAGUCGGUCUUGCAUUACCUGAUCACCUGAACUUUAGUUUCAAUUGUAAGACAGCCAGAAUCAUCUAUGAAGCCAUCCCGUAACUUCGGUAACUCCAUAAACUUUUUCCAUCCCCAAUCAUGUUCUUUCUUCCAAAACCGGUGCAGCGUAUCUACAAGAUCAUGAAUUCAGUUGUCUGGAUAUCGAAAUGGAAGCAAGCAAUUAAAGAUUCGAAAAAUCACCUGAAAACUUAGACUUCUUUGGAUCUUUAUGCAUCACAGAUAUAGUAAACUGAGCCAACUGACUCCAGCCUGGUGUCCAAGAUAGCAAAAGAAUAUAUAUCACUAAGUAUCCAGAGAAAGAAAACAAGGACCAAGCAGACCAGUGGAAAAAAAUACAAACCUGGAAGAAGUUCAUCAUGGUUUGCAACACAGAGAAAUAAUGAGAGAUGAUUGCUAACAUCACAUCCUUCUGGAUACAUUAAAAUAUGCCUGACACAUUGAAGAUAAAAGUAACAACACAAAGCCUUCAAAACCAUUUCCAGAGUUUUUUUGAGACAAAAAUUAAAGAUGAGAAAGAUAUGCAUGCCAUGUACCAACUGUAGCCUCCAAUUUCAAAAACACUGCUAGCGAACUCCCUUUUGCUGAUUUGUGAAAAUUUCUUAAUCUUCCAUGUAUUUUUUCCAUAUAACUCAGAGGGUUUAAGACCUGAGAAAAAUAAGAAAUUUCACAUUAAAUUAGCUGAAAAAGAGAAGUAUAUUACUAAAACACAAAAACAAACAAACGGGUAUAGUAUCUAUUAACAUAUCUCGAAAACCUUAAUCAUUUGUGGACGGGAUAGUGGGGACGUUUUUGACGAUAUUCAUAAAAAAAAUCAUAUUGCUAAAACACAUACCAUACUCAUCAUCCACAUCAGUCUUUGCCAUUCUAAAGGAUGAUUUUUUCGUCAAAGCUCUCUUUUCUUCAACUACGAACAAAAAAAAAACUAACGAUUAGAGCAAAUAAAAUUAGAUUAUUGAAUUCUGUAAUUCCCCCUAAGAUGCACAAUUCUAUUAUAAAUUUAUCGUAAAAUAAUAUUAUAUGAUUUGAAAAGUUCUAAAGAGUAAGACUAGCUGAAAAAUCAAUUGAUUUGAUCAAAAACUGAAAAAUGAACAAAGAACAAGCACAUAGGUUUGGAUUAUAUUCAACAAUCUGACUCCCUCAAAACUGUAUCGAAUUCAUAGCUUAAAUCGAAACCCUAAGAACCCCCAUCAGAUCAUGGAUGGGCAAUAAACCCUAAAUUCCAAUCUUAAAAUAAAUAAAUAGAUUGUUAAAAAAUCAAAGAAGGACCAGAAGUUCAUUUCUAUUAUGAAAUCAACGAUCGGAAAAUCAUAACCACUCUCUCGUAUUUAAAAACAAAAUUAAAGAAGAAGAAGAAGAUAGAGAUUAACCAUAGAAACUUUGAUUCUGAGUGUAGAGACUCUAAAAAUCCAUCUCUCUAUUCUUACAUAUAAGAUGAUUGUGAUCGAUAAUAACGAUGAAGUGUAUCCUAAAAGAUAUUUUGUUUACCUAAUAAAAUAUAUGAUUCUUUACCUAAAUAGAUGAUUCAUUUUUUGGUAUGAGAGUAGAUUUUGUUUUCCACUAUGAGAAAGGGGUAACGAUUUUUAUGUAACAACCCCAAAUAUAUUAUAGGGAAAAUAUCUUGUCUAUUUGUUUAUUAAGCUUAUAUUUUUUUCCGCAAUUAAUAAAAACAAGUAGGGACCCACAAAAUCAACCUAAAAAUAUGAAAGUAACGAAACCAUCGCUUAUGUGGUGGGGUCUCUCCAAGCAAAAUCGCAUGAAACUUUUUAAUUGUAUCGUCGUCUCACGAAUCGUAGAGGAGCGUCUCUAACUACACCAACAAACACAUUUACAUUUUUCCAAUCCUCAAAAAAUUUCUGAAUCUUUACGCAACCAAAACUAUUCUCUAUCAAUUUUCACCAUCUUCUUUUUUGUUCAUCGAUCCAAAUCAAGAAAAUGGGGGUGGCUCAAGCAAUGGAAGCCCUAACCGAGCGAGCAAGUUUGAUGAAAGAGUCUUUGCAUAAGAGCCAGACCAUCACCGAUAACAUGGUCGGAAUCUUAGGUUCUUUCGAUCAUCGUCUCUCGGCUCUUGAAACCGCAAUGCGUCCCACACAGGUCCUUUCUUCAUGAUCUCUCUGUUUUUUGGAUUUUUAGAGUCUCAAGGUUGUGGAAUUUGAGAUCUAUCUUCUGUUGAAAUUGAAAUGUGAUUCUGGAUUUGGUGAUAAAAUGGUUGGCUUCUUCGACGUUUAAUUUUGGGGGUGUGAUUGUGUUUGUGUAGAUAAGAACACAUUCUAUAAGGAGAGCUCAUGAGAAUAUUGACAAGGCAUUGAAAGCAGCUGAGGUUAUAUUGGAUCAAUUUGAUAUCUCUAGAAAGGUUUGGUGUUCUCUUUACACUCACCAUACAAGAUUCUCCUUUUAUUUGCUUGUCUUUCAAGCUAUCAUUCUGUUCCCCUUAGGUUUCCUCAAGUUAAGUGUUCUUAAGAUGAUAACUGUAGACAUGUUUUCUCUAGUUGAAGUUACAACUGAAACAUUUGUGGAGAAUGCAUCAUGUGAACAGAGUAGCAAAUGUCUGCUUUCUGAUGCUGUGAAACUUAGGAUUUAGGACCCAAUCCAGUUAGAUAUCAAGUACUCUGUUCUUGUUAAGGAGAGUUUUUUUGUCUUCAGCUAAGCCUAAGAUCGUUUUCUUCGUGUGUGUGUGUGUGUGUGUGUAUGGCAUAUUAAGCUGAAUAAUGAUUGAUCAUUUUUUUUUGUCAGGCGGAAGCUAAAAUAUUGAGAGGACCACAUGAGGAUCUUGAAAGCUAUCUGGAAGCAAUUGAUCAACUAAGAGGCACUAUCAAAUUCUUCAGCAACAACAAAAUGUUCAAAAGUGCUAGUGGAGUUAUUAGUCAUGCUCACGGUUUACUUUCUAAAGCUCUAUCAAAGCUAGAAGAUGAGUUCAGACAGAUACUGCAAAACUACAGGUUCGUCUUUCGAUAUGACAGACUUACACUUGUGCCUUAUUGAAGAAAAUUCGUUUUGCUUGUGCAAGGAUUUGGUCUAACACAUUACUUUUUUGUUUCAAUAUUUUAGUAAGCCAAUGGAACCUGAUCGCCUUUUCGAAUGUCUUCCGAGUAAUCUUCGACCAUCAUCAGAAGGUGAAGGUGGUGGUGGAAAGACUCAUGAUCCCCAUCACAAGAGCUUAGAAAACGCUAUUUUUACUGUCCCAACUGUCAUUCCUCCAAGGGUUCUGCCUCUGCUUCAUGACUUAGCUCAACAAAUGGUUCAAGCUGGUCAUCAGCAACAACUUUUCAAAUCUUACAGGUCCAACUUCUCAGUUUUCUUUCAAGUAGAACCUCUAUAGUCACACAUAUUAGUUUUGUAAUCCAUAUACGUUUUCGAACUUUAUUAGGGAUACUCGAGCUGCGGUGUUGGAACAGAGUUUGAGGAAAUUAGGAGUGGAGAGGCUUAGCAAAGAUGAUGUUCAGAGAAUGCAAUGGGAGGUAUUAGAGGCCAAGAUUGGGAAUUGGAUACAUUACAUGAGAAUAUCCGUAAAAAACUCUCUCCCACAAAACAAGAAUACCUUACUAGAUCGCUACUGUUUCCUUCGUUUACACGGCACUUGCUUUUGUUGCCUUGAGACAGGUGAAACUGUUAUUCGCCGCGGAAAAGAAAAUCUGCGACCAAAUUCUUGAUGGUGUUGAGUCUCUCAGAGAUCAAUGUUUUGGUGAGGUCACUGUAAAUAGUGUAGCUGUGCUGCUUAGUUUCGGGGAGGCUAUUGCUAAAAGCAAGAGAUCACCUGAAAAACUGUUUGUUCUGUUAGAUAUGUAUGAAAUAAUGAGAGAGCUUCAGCCUGAGGUAACGUUUAAUGUCUCACACCGUCAAAGAAACUAUGUGUAUUAGCUAGCCCCUCUAAUUGUCUUUCAUUUAUAGAUUGAGUUGCUCUUUGGAAGCAAACCAUGUGCUGAGAUGAAAGAAUCCGCGCUGAAUCUGACAAAGCGGUUAGCUCAGACAGCUCAAGAAACUUUUGCUGAUUUUGAAGAAGCGGUUGAAAAGGAUGCUACGAAAACCGCGGUUAUGGAUGGAACCGUUCAUCCACUUACUAGCUACGUUAUAAAUUAUGUCAAGUUCUUGUUCGAGUAAGUAACUUUACUUAGACCAACGGACAUUGUCAUUUUUGUUGGACUAAUCAGUGGUUUUUGGGAUAUGGAAACAGUUACCAAACGACGUUGAGGCUACUUUUUCAAGAGUUUGAUAGUAAAGAUCCUGAUAGCGAGCUUGGAGCUGUAACAACGAGGAUCAUGCACGCUUUACAGAAUAAUCUGGAUGGUAAAUCGAAGCAGUACAAAGAUGUAGCAUUAACUCAACUUUUCCUAAUGAACAAUGUUCACUAUAUAGUGAGAUCUGUUAGGAGGUUUGGUUCUGUUUCUUCGGCUCCAUCUUUCUUAAACAGAACCAGAAAAGCCUAAACAUAAUCCUGAGUUAGAGUUACAUUUUUCACAGGUCAGAAGCAAAAGAUUUAUUAGGUGAUGAUUGGGUUCAAAUACAUCGAAGAAUUGUACAACAACAUGCAAAUCAGUACAAGAGAGUUUCUUGGGCAAAGGUUUACUCAAUCGUUUUAGGUUUAUACUUUAAAAAUGCUUUAAAAUGUAUUUUCUGAUUAGUCUUUUCUUCUGCAGAUUUUGCAGUGUCUCACGGUUCAGUCGAGUGGGAGCGGUCCGAUAGAAAACUCAAAUAUAUCAAGAGCAUCAGUAAAAGACAGAUUCAAGACUUUCAAUUCUCAGUUUGAAGAGCUUCACCAAAGACAAUGCCAAUGGACAGUUCCGGACAGCGAGUUGCGUGAAUCUCUUAGACUUGCUGUUGCGGAAGUUCUUUUACCUGCUUUCAGAUCGUUUCUUAAACGUUUUGGGUAAGAUCAAAAACACUUUUAAACAGAUUUUGUUUCGCGCUUGUCAAGAAAGAGUUAAAAGUUUUGUUUCUUUGGUUGUGUUGUGUAUCAGGCCGAUGAUAGAGAGUGGUAAGAACCCCCAGAAGUAUAUAAGGUUUAGUCCUGAAGAUCUUGAGAGAAUGCUUAACGAGUUCUUUGAAGGCAAGACAUGGAGUGAGCCAAAGAGAUAAAUAUGUAUUCAUCUUUGUUUUUCCAUUUUGUUGUACAUUCUCUUCUUCUUUGUUUUUGCAACAUUACUCUUUAAUAUUUAUAAGUUCUUUUGUAUUUCUCCUUUUCUUGAAGGUUUUUUUUUUCUCCUUUCAGUUUUAUUUUUCUUCUAACUGUAAAGUUGAUGAAGCUGUCAUGUUUUUUCUAAGCUGUAAAAGUAAAUUGGCUAAUAUCCAUAUAUACUAUUUCAAUGAUGAUUCAGCGUUUUGCAUUUUAUCAUUGUAUAUAUCAUAUAUAUAUAUAUAUAUAUAUAUAUAUGUAAGUUUAAGUCUACACGUAUACAUGUUAUGCAUGCAGUAGAGAAUGUUAAAUCUUCUUUAGAGUAUAAUCUCGUUCAAGUUGUAUAACAUGCUAAGUCAAAUUACUUUUAAUAUAAUGUUUUCUGUUUAUAAACAGUAGACGUCGCAUAUGAUUUGUGUCAACAAAAAAUUAUAGUCUGGAAAGUGGAAACUUAAGAAGAAUUCAAACGAGAAAAAGGUCAUCAAGGACUUAAGAAGAAUUCAAACGAGAAAAGGUCAUCAAGGACAUUAGACAUGAUUUAACAUAAUGCCAAUUAGCUUUAUAUAUGUUCUAGAGUUGACAUAUUCUGUAAAACAAAAUUGCAAACAUGUAGUAGUGUUUAUAUAUAUAUAUAUAUAUAUAUAUAUAUAUAUAUAUAUAUAUAUAUAUCAUUAUUCAUUAAUUAAUGAGUUCGUUAUUCGUACAUGUUGUAACUAAAUCUAUACAUAGUUAGGUUCCUAAAUGAGUUUCUAUUCGUUGUAGAAAGUGUGACUACUAUUCUUUUAGAUUAUAGUUUUGUUCAAAUGGCAUUAAAGAAAUAAUAACAUGCUAAGUCAAUGUCGUGUAAAUAGUGUCAAAUGAGGAAAAAGUAAUGAUGACUUUGAUGAACGUUAUAUAACCAAACUAGUCCUUACCAGAUCACACAUAUCACAAAAUGUCUAAUGUAUUAGACAAGACUAAUCUUCAUGAGCUCUCGAUUGCUCCAAAAAUUUCCACUCAUGAUGAGAAGCUUUACGAAUGUACUAAAUGCGGUAUCUUCUUCCACAGGGAUUCCGUCGAGUCCGCAACAGAGAUUAACCCUCACGAAAACCUAGGAGAGGUAAGAGCGGUUGAAGACAAACCCAACAAUGAAUCUAUCAAGGUAGACGAAAGAGGAACAUGCAACUUUCAUUUCAUAGAUGAACAUCAUGGUAAGGUUGAUGGUAUAAACACAGAAUAUGAUGCGUCCAAGUUCAAACAGAUUCUGGAAAAUUACAGGUUCGUCUUUGGAUAUACAUAAUAGCUUGUCCUUAAUUGAAGCAAACAAAGAAGUUUUAACAAUUAUUUUUGUCUCCUUCAUAAUUGUUUAGCAAGCUAACAGAACCUAAUCAACUUUUCGAGUGUCUCCCAAGCAAUCUUCGGCCACCGUCAGACGAUGAAGGUAGUGACGGAAAGAGCCAUGAUCCACAAUCAAAUGGCUUAGGAAAAACUGAUUAUACGGUCCCAACAAUCAUCCCACCAACGGUUUUGCCUGUGCUUCAUGAUUUAGCCCAACAGAUGGUUAAAGCUGGUCAUCAGCAAGAACUUUUCAAAACUUACAGGUCCAAUUUCUAUUUAACUUCUAACAUUUAAUAGAAACUCAUUUUUUCAUUGGAUAUGAUAAAGAUCAUUUUCAUAGUGUUUAUUAAUAAUAUUUUACUUUUCGUAAUAUUUAAGGGAUAUUCGUAGGGCAGUGUUGGCGCAGAGCCUUGAGAAAUUAGGUGUAGAGAGACAUAGCAAAUAUGAUGUUGAGAGAAUGAAUCAGGACGUCUUCGAGGCCAAGAUUAUGAAUUGGAUCCAUUACAUUCGAAUAUCUGUACAAAAACUCACUUCCAAAAACCAUAAUAUAACUAUAUACCUUUAUAGAUAUAGAUUGUAAUGAUAUCCUUGUUGAUUUGUUGACGUUGAGACAGGUGAAACUGUUAUUUGCUGCGGAGAAGGAAAUCUGCCACCAAAUACUUGAUGGUGUUGAGCCAUUUAGAGAUCAAUCUUUUGCUGAAAUCACUACUAUUAGUUUUGGUAUGCUUCUUAGUUUCGGAUAUGCUAUCGCUAUCAGCAGGAGAUCGCCGGAAAAAGUGUUUGUUAUCUUAGAUAUGUAUGAGAUAAUGAUAGAGCUUCAACCAGAGGUAACAUGUACAGUAUCAUACAAUACUGCGAGUUCAUACAUAGCAUAUAUGGGUAAAUGUAAACGCAAAACAAUUGAGAACAUAUUUUGGUGUAUCCAACCAAAUUUUUAUAGUUGAAUGAUUUCGAUCGUUAUGAAAUUUAGUUCUUUGUACUUUUAACUAGGAAAAUUCAUGUACCAUUUUAAAGUAUAUUAAAAAUGCUUGAAUAUAUUCCAAUAACGAUGUUUAUUCAAAUCACUAGGUUAGUAACAUUGAUUUCUACAAGACUUUAUUAGUUAUUUAUUUUCCUUUGAUUGAAACUUGGAAGCAUAGUUUGAGUUGAUCUUUGGAAGCAAACCUUGUACUGAGAUGAAAGAAGAUGCACUGAAUCUGACAAAGCUAUUAGCUCAAACUGUGAAAGAAACUAUUGCUGAUUUCGAAGUUGCUAUUGAAAUGGAUGCGACUGAAACCGUUGUUAUGGAUGGAUCCGUACAUGCGCUAACUAGCUACGUUGCAAGAUACGUCAAGUUCUUGUUCGAGUAAGUACUUUUUUCAUACACCAUUUCUAAGUGAUAUAGCUUUGCAGAACUUAACGUUGCUUCUGGAACUUGAACAGUUACGAACCGACGUUGAGGCAACUUUUUCAAGAGUUUAAUAGUAAUGAUCCUGAUACCAAGCUUAAAUCCGUGAUGACGGGUAUCAUGAGGGCUUUAAGGAACAAUCUGGAUGGUAAAUCUAGACAGUUCGAAGAUGCAGCAUUAACUCAACUAUUCUUAAUGAAUAAUGUGUAUUACAUUGUAAGAAAUUUCAGAAGGUUUGGCUCUGCUUCUUCGCCUCGAAUAUCUCUAAAACAGAACCAAAACCUAACAACAUGUUAUCUCAGAGAGACUAACUAUUUGUUCACAGGGAAGAAGCAAAGAAUUUUUUGGGUGAUGAUUUGGUUCAAACACAUAGAAGAAUCGUACAACAACACGCAAAACAGUACCAGACAAUUUCCUGGAAUAAGGUUUGAAAAAUUUGCUCUCUAAGAUGGUAAAGAGUCUUUUUUCUGAUUAACCAUUUCUUUAUGUAGAUUUUACAGUGUAUCACGGUUCAGUCGAGUAAGAGCGGUCUGAUAAAGAAUGAAAGUAUAAAAAAAACUUUAGUAAAAGAAAAAUUCAAGACUUUCAAUUCUCAAUUCGAAGAGCUUCACCAGAGACAAUGCCAAUGGUCCGUUUCGGACGUUGAGCUGCGUGAAUCUCUCAGGCUUGCUAUUGCAGAGGUUCUUUUACCUGCCUACGGAUCGUUUCUCAAACGUUUCGGGUACAUAUACAAUUCAAGAACACUUUUAUUUCAAAAUUACUGUUGUUUCUUGUCCUUCAAGAAAUAAAAAUAUGUUGUUGUGUCUCACUGUCUCAGGCCGAUGAUUGAGAGUGGUAAGAACUCACAGAAGUAUAUAAGGUUCACUCCUGAGGACCUUGAGCGAAUGCUUAACGAUUUCUUCCAAGGAAAAAACUUGGAUGUGAGCCCAAAAAGAUAAUGUUUGUUUCCGUUACAUUCUCUAUUUGCUUUUGCAACAUUGUUAUUUAUGAUCAGAUCUUUUCUCUUUUGUUGUUAUUGUGAUUUUUUUUAUUUGUAAAACUUAUGAUGGCUGUAUAAGACAACGAACGUUGUAUACGGUUGAUAAUGUGGUUUUAUUGAUUGUGGCAUUACCGUGUAAUUUUAACUACUGUGUUGGGUCUACAAAAAUAAAUCCGUCGACAGCAGGGUUCGAACCUGCGCGGGCGAAGCCCAACAGAUUUCAAGUCUGUCUCCUUAACCACUCGGACAUAUCGACAAUUUGAUGAAAUUACACUUUGAAAAAGAUAUAUCUUUAUUUUUUCAACGAAAGUGAGCUAUUACACGAGAAACUACAUGGUUUGCAAAGUAUAAAACCCAUGUCAAUUUAAAAUGUAAAUAAAAUAGAAAAAAACAGUCAAGAACAAGAAUGAAUGAAACCAAGAUCGAAAGUUACAUAAGAUGAGGAAAUUGUUUGAAUGACAAUGAUUAUGGAUAUAUAAUUAGAAAAGCAAGGAGAUCUAGAGAGCUCGACUUUUGAUGAUGUCGAGACUCAUCUCGCUCGGGUCAGUGGCUUGUAACUCCACCUGAAUACCAUCCAAUUCCCUCUUGAACCUGUCCUUUGAGCUCGCAUACACCAUCUUCAUCCUUACUCUAGAUGAAUCCGGUGACCUAACGUAACAUACAUAUACAUAUGCACAGUUUAUCCAUAACCAUAAUCUAAAUAUAACAUGAAAAAAUGUUCAAAGUUGUAUUUACCAUGCUAUGAAGAAGAUCUUGCUCUUCUGGAUAUUCUCAGCAGUGGUGAAGUCGAAGUCAUAAACGGCGUAGCGGCAUUCAUUUGGCGGUAGGUAAUUGGUGAAAUCGUCGUAGUUCUCUUGGGGGCUUCCCAGCUUUUCUACCACCACUUGUUGUCCAUCUAUCCUGAAUAUUAUGAACCUAUAGUUUCUCUUCGCUUUUAGCUCCAAAAACUUCAGCUUACACUCGUCCUCCACCGCCAUCCCCGACGCCGCGUUCGCCUUUUCAGUUCAUAUAUCAGUCAAGAUAAAACAAAAUGUCACAACACUGAUACGUCGUUUAAACGUUAUACAUUUAUGCAUUUUGCGUUUAUAUGUGAUUUUUUUUGUUUCAUCAAAUUAUAGAGGACGAUACAUUUUCAUAUUUUUGUAACAUUUCUCGGACGUAUGUCUUUAAGGAAUAAAAUUGGGUUGCAUAAAACAUUCAUCGUUAACAUUUACAAUAAAGUUCAUGGAAAAGAAAUUCCAAUCACUCCUCUAGGAAAAAAACUGAAAAAAAAAAUACACUAGUUCCACAACAAAAUGUAUUAUUUGCAAGAAAAUGAAUAUAUUUCUCUAAAUUUCAUAUUCUAUCCAUCUCUAUCAUAUUCACAUCCAUUUAUUAUUCUUGCAUUUGCCAUUUGAAUCCUUUGUUUUAUUUGGACAAAAGAGAAACAGCAGUAAUAACAUGUCAACGUAAAGAAAGAAAACAAGCCAGCCAAACAAUCGAAGCAGAACAAGAAACAAAGCUGAGAUUUCUAAACACACAACUUCAUUACAAAGAAGAAGAAGAAGAAAGAUAAUAGAAAACAUACCAUUGCGUUUGGUUGAUGAAGGUAACACCUAAGACAACAAAGAGAAAUGGGACUUCUCGUUAUUUGGUUUUUUGUCCUCUUUUGUGGGACGAGAGAUGAAGAAUGAAGAAAAAGAGAAAUGAAAAAUUUGGGGGAAUAAGAGAUUCUUAAUUUGAUUUGAAGAGGCCAAUGGAGACGAACUCGGACAACCAUUAAUACCUCUCCAUCUUAUAACAUCAAACCACACCUUUUUUUACUCUCUAUCCUUCAAAUUCGCCUAACCAUAUCCUUUCUUUCCGGACGUUUUUCACACUAAUUUUAGCAUUUCUUACAUCCUUAUCAAGGACUAUAUGUUAUAAUUUGGUUCUAGGUGGGUUUUAUUCGGUUUAGAAGAUUAUCUGUAACAGAAUUGGCCGUGGUUCCAUUACAUAGCAUUGUUCUUAAUAAAAUAGCAUUUUUUUGUUCUUACACAACUCUAAAAGGGAGAUUAGAAAACAAAACUUCUGAUAUAUCCUACAAAAAUUGAUGACCCUUUUCGAUCCUCUUGUGAUCAUCCAACGAAAUUGACAAUCUUUGGACCUUGUUUCUUUUUCUUCACCUCGACACUCUUCUGAGCUGAAACAUCAGAGGUAUUGAUCUUCUUGCUGCUUAAUGGAUUCAAACUGGUUCAAUAGAGAUUUUAAAAUUGGUUCUUUGUUAACCACAAAGCUAUUGAAUAGAACCCAUCUCAUAUACUUGGAGAUCUUUGGUUACAUGAAGAUAUAUCCAUUAAAGCAAGGACUUAGAUAUAUAUGAUACUGGAUUGGUUCAUAUGUGGAUUCCUAAUAAUACUUUACUAACAUUGGUUCAACCAAAAACUGCUUUCAUUAAAGGUGAAUCAAAACGAUGGUUUUGGAGUCUGUGAUGCAAUUCAGUCCAAGGAAAAAGGGGUACAACUAUGCUUUUUUCGUUAUGGUUGGAAGAAAUGUUAAAUUGGUCCAACAAGACUAUCUUCCAUUGCAUAUAACAUGGAGACUUUCAAAUAUUGAAAAUUUGGAAUUUUGGUUUAGGAUUCACCAAAUUCUGGAAGAUAGAAACUAAAACCUGCCACUCGUAAUUGAGGUCGUUUAUUACAUGUUUAAAACCAGAAGACCUCCUACAAAUCAAGUUCAUACGUAAUAGUAGCUAACCCCACAAAAUCAUAACUCAGGAAAUGUAAAGUCUUAACAAGAAGAAGGAACAACAGAUCAUCAUCCGUAGAUUUCCUACAAAGCUAUCAACGAAUUCAAAGAAACUAUCAAGUCACAACAACUGUAUCUUCUUCUCAAUAAAAGAAAGCGCAAACAGAUUGAUCAACAAGUACCCACAACAGAUCAGGCAGCUUGGACAUGAGCAGAGGUUGUAGCAGGAGCAGUCUUUGACAGGUUUGGGAUAUACUUCCAACACCGUUUGUGAACUCCGCUUAUCUUCUUUGGAGCUUCUGCAGCUCGCAAUCCUGCACAUGACAAAAAGCUUCAACUUUGAGAUCAAGGAGCAUAAAAACUAAACAAAUGAGGAAGAAAAAAGUCACCAUCUUUGUGAACAAUUCCCCAAGCUUUUCCAUGUCUACCAUCCUGCAUUUGAUUCCAAAAUCAAACAAAACCCCUAAUCAGAUAAACAAACUCCAAAUGAUUUCGUUUACAGAAACUUUUUCUCAGCUUAAGAAAAAUGUAAACUUUUCAAUUUUCAGAGAUGAAAGACAAGGAGAAGAAGAACCUUAUAGAGAUUGAUCUUAGUGAUUUCAUAAGAGAUUCCAUUCCAAUGAGCUUUAGCCAUAUGGUAUCCGAUUCCCCAAUUAGGUAAGAACUGAGCAACUUCGAUUAAGUUCUUCUUCUUUCUUCGUUUCGGUUUACUCGAAUCGGAGCUAGGGUUUUCACUCGCCGGCGCCGCAGAGAAAUUUCUUAAGAGAUUAAGCGAGAGUCUGAAAGCACCAACGGUUUCGGUUCUAGAGAUUGCUCUGUUAAUAAGUGUCAUCGCCAUAGUGUCGCUCUCUUCCUCUCUCUCUCUCUCUCAAGUUUCAGCCACUGUUGAAGAUCGGCGACUGAGGUUGAGGAGGAGAAGCACAACUUUUGGUUUAUUCACAAACAGACUAUAUGUUAUAAUUAAUUUGGUUCUAGGUGGGUUUUGUUCGGUUUAGAAGAUUAUCUGAAACAGAAUUGGCUGUGUGGUUCCAUUACAUAGCAUUGUUCUGAAUAACUAGGAUUUUUUUGUUCUUACACAAGACUAAAAGGGAGAUUAGAAAACAAAACUUUUGAUAUAUCCUACAAAAUUGAUGACCCUUUUCGAUCCUCUUGUGAUCAUCCAACGAAAUUGACAAUCUUUGGACCUUGUUUCUUUUUCUUCACCUCGACACUAUUCUGAGCUGAAUCAUCAGAGGUAUUGAUCUUCUUGCUGCUUUUGGGCUCUUCAGUGAAAUCGUCUUCAAGAUCGUCCCCACUAAACUUAGUGAGCUUUCCUCUUGGUGUAGCAUCAAAUCCUGUCAUUUCAGUCAGGGAGAUACAAUUAUGGUCUUUAUAAGAUAAAUGAGAUCGCAUUCACUGUUCCGAAUCACUUGAAAGAGAAACUACUUGACUAGGAUCACAUAAUUAGAAGCUCAAGAAUUGGAAGAGUGAGACAAAAGAAAAUGUUACUUGAAGUCUUCUUUGGUUGGGCUGACUCUUGGUUGAAUUUAUCAGGACAGUCUUUGACGAGAUGCGCCACACUCCCGCACACUUUACAACACCCGCCCUGCAAAAGAAGGCCCACCAAAUCCAUUGUUCAACAUAUCAAAACUCAUCUUCUAUGAGGAAAAGAAAAGGCUCGAAACAAGAUUUGAGCAUUGUACCAUUGGGUAGAUUCCAUGCUUGUUUUCGGGACAGUUCUUGCUUAUGUGCCCUUGUCCCUUGCAUAUGAAACAACUUGCAAAUUUGGUCCCUCCUACAAAAGAAUCAAUACAGCAACCAAAUCUAAUCUUAGUGACUACUCUUAACAAACAAACAAACAAGUGACAGUAUAGCCUCAAAUACGUUUUCAGAGAAUAUAAUGUUAAACUCUCUAAAUAACAUGAACUACACUUCAGAUCAUAAGUCAAAUAUCUGUGUACAGAGGUAAAAAAAAAUACAAAUUUCGAUGCUAGGUUUCCUGAAAUCUUGUAAUAUGAGAAAAGAUAAAUAUUCCGGAUCCAGAGAAGAGAAAAAUUACCAUCUUCCAUAGGGUAAGGACAAUGGGAAAGUGAAUGACCAGUAUCUCCACAAUUGUAACAGAGCUUCUUCUCGGAGCUCUCAUUGUUCUUUUCAGGGCAGUUUUUAAGACUAUGCCCUCUCCUCCUACAUUGCAAGCAUAUCUACAAACAACAAAACCAAAAACAUUCAUUUUCUAGUAACCAACAAGUCUAGUGAUCAUCAAAGUACCAACAUUUCAUGAAAAAUUUCAUCUUUGAGUUCAUAAAGAUUAAACCCUCAACUGAUUCUAACAAGAGCUGCCAAAACCCUACUAAAUCUAAAACUAAAUUGAACUAAAACCCUAAUCCCAAAACCAAUGAUUAAAGAAGAAAAGAACAAACCUUGUUUCUCUCCCACUCAGAUUUUUCAGGACAAAGCUUAGCAAUAUGGGUUUUGGAAUGACAUAUAAAACAGCCUUCUCCAGGUUUCAUACCAGGAACUCGAAGAGGAUGUCUUGUGGAAGAGCCUGUUCUCUGAGGUCUAUCAGUGGAAGAUCCAGGUUUCUUUUUCUUGAACAAGCUUUUCUUCUUCUUCUUCUUAUUAGGGUCCUUUGGUGGCGUUGGUUCUGCUUUUGGAAACAGCUCUGGAUUAGCUUCCUUGUAUCGCUUCUGCGCAAGUCUUCUCCUUUGGUUCACCAUUGUUGACUACUGUAAUUAGAGAAAGACACGAUUGAUUUCGCCGGCGGCGGUGGAGGCAGUGAGACGAGGAAGACACAAGUUUGUUUGGUCGUUGAAGAAGCUCUUGCUAGGGGAUGUUGUGAUUUAAAUGGGCUUCAAUCAUCUGGCCCACUGUUAAUAGACCCAAAUAUUCAUAUACCUAAUCUUGCUAAGGGAUAUUGUGUUUUAAAUGGGCCUAUUUCAAAUUUUAGAACAGUCAGAGUCAGAGUCAAAGUUUUGUUGGAGCCGGUCAUGCCUAACUUUUUUUUUUUUUUUCGCUCAUGCCUAUUGCCUAGCUUACUCACAUAAGCAUAGCAAAACUUAUCCCACUGUAUAAGAACAUUUCCCUAACCAUGUUAACAAGUAUCAACUAGGGUCUAGGGAUGGGCACAUUGCCUUCUAAUAAGUUCCUAAAUAUUUAGCGGUAUGCAUUUAAACUUUUGGCGUUCGUAUACCCGUACCCAAUCGAAAUAUAUACGUAUUCUUUUGGUUACUCGAAUGCUAAUAAACAUAUACUCAAAAACCAAUUGAUUAUGAAUAAAGAAAACUAAUGUACAUACUUUUAACGUAAGACAUUCUAACACCUGUACUUUCAAUUCGAGUAUUUGAGAUCAAUUAUUCGUUUGAGUACGAAUAACCAAACUUUUGAAUUUUGGUUAUUUGAAAUCAUUUUUGGAGUAUAGAUACCCAAAUUUCUACAUUUUCUACUUGUUGCCAUUCUAGUAUCAAUUAAUGAACGGUACAGGAUGUCCUCAAUAUGAGCCAUUGGUGAUAGACAUUACCAUAAAAGGCCUUCAAAUUUGGUAUGAAUCUAGUGGUUGAGUUCAUCAACUACUGAUUUUUAGCUUUAUUUCUUAAAACAAAAUGUUGCACUUGUUGUACAAAAGAUAUUUUUUUCUUUGAAUUUAAUUUAAACAUUAAAAACCAAAAACAGAAACAUAUUAUAUAUUUUCACCAAAACUCAACAUUUUAUUCGAAUCAUAUAUAUUAUAAGACGUUACUUGUGUAAAAGUUACACCAGAACGCAGCCUACUUUCACCAUCUCUUAAUGUGUCGUGGUGUGUUUUUAUGAAGUACAUAUAUAUAAGGACGCAAUAAACGAUGUAAUACUAAAACCGUCGAACUAAACAUAAAUCUCUUAAUUAUUCUCGUCGAAAACUCAUGAUAUCAUACGUGUCCUCUCCAUUUUCCCUUGCCUUAAUUAAUACGGUGAAGGUGCCGGCACGUAAGGCAUGUUGUCCAUUGAAGUAGCCGGCUCAGGUGCUAUCUCGCCCAACAUGACUGGUCCAACCGGUGCAAGAGUGUCCAUUGCAAUUCCCGAGCUCCUAAUUUCCGACAUUGCUCUUCUUGACUUCCCUUCUUGUGAUUCACAUAGCUUUGGUAAAUACACUCCUAUAGCAAACCAAACAAAUAAAUUAUACCAUAAUCUAUUAGAGAGAGAAAAGUAAUAUAACCGUACUGGUCUACCAAUAUCGUACCUUCACCAGCAGCAAGGUUGAAGUAGAGAUCGACUACGUUAGGACAUUGGUUUAAGCAUUUAACCGAGCAGAGUUUAUGUGUGAACUGAGAUUCCAACAAUGCGUCCGAAGAUAUACCUAAAGCUUUCCGGUCUAGACCACACGCUUUAAUGCACUCGUCCGAUUCAAUAAUGUUUGUGACCUUGUUAGCUUCUAUCUCCGAUGAUCGACAUGUGUACACCUCGAUCCCGCUCCUCUUCAUGCUCUUCUCCAAAACGCAACGUUUUCCAGUGGACGAGACCGCGAAGGCACACGUGUUUUCAUCCAGAUUCUCGCACUUCACAUCGUCCCCUACCAAAUUAAUUCCAAUGCUACUUAGUAUUUGUACAUGGAAUAACAAAAGAAUAACAUACCUUUGAAAAUGUCUUAGUUAAGCUGAACAUACAAUCGAGAAAGCUAAUUGGGAUUUGUUAAAAAUUUACGAUGUAAGUUCAAAAUGUUUUAUAAUAGAACUAUAUCUAGCUUGUAUGUGGAUAACUUUGAUAUAUAGAGCGAUUUGAAUAAACUUACCAAACGUCGUUUGCGAAUAGAUGGCAAGGAGAAUCAUAAAAGCUACGAAAACUGUCUUCAAAGCCAUGUUGUGAUGUGAAGUGAAGACACAAGGAGACAAGUAAAAGAAAUGUUAAUUGAAAGAAAAUUCGAAGGAAAGAUGUUCUUUUGGGUGUAGUUAUUGGUGUUGUAGCGAUAGCCUAUUUAUAAAGGGGUAAUACAUCAAAAUUAAUUUUAAAAUAUAAGAAAAUUAUACAAUUGUAUAUUUUUCCUUGAUUUAAUGAGUAACGACAAUAUUGUUGACAAAUGAAACACUAAGCAGAGUUUACAUGGAAUGGUCACUGAAAAAGUCGUAGUUAUAUUAGUUAGGCAAACUCUUUGAUUAAUCAACAAACCCAUAUUUUCACCUCAAUAGAAAAGUACGCAACAUGGAAAAUUGGCUUGACAUAUAUAAUGCCGUUGUUAAUGGCGAAGAUUAUGCAGUCAAAUUUGAGAUGUGAAACCUUGACUCACUUUUCCUAAAAUCUGGCACAAAACCAUCUUCUCAUUUGGUCAUCAUUUUAUUGGACUAUUGAGUCUUUUUUACUUAAUUUUAAAUAUAUAGACAAAGUGAGAAUAGUAGUUUGGAUGAAAAACAGAGAUGUUCUUUCUCCGUAAAUGACGGUAUAGACUUGAGACGUGGAAAUUAACGACAAGUAUUGUACUAUGUUAUUUCGACAGUGAAACUUAAUGUAAGGAUAGUCACGAGUCGUCCUUAUUAAUUAGAUAUUUGUAUACGUGCAAAUAAAUCCAAAAUUCUGUUGUUCAGAAAUUAUACUAAACAUUAAAUUGACGUGAAAUAUGGUUCCAAAAACCGAACCCAUUCUAAAGCGACGACUUUGUCUUUUUAGAGGUUCUAUGAUUGGGUUUGAGAUUCUUAGAGGUAAUUUUGAGAAGGCCGACAUACAAUUUGAUCUCCUAGAUGAUCAUGACUUUAUGAGCUGCCUGCAAUGACCCUAGUGCCCUGACCCGCUCGCCUCGUUGGGGAAGAACAUGUUAUGCAUUUUUAUUCGGGUUAUAGGAGCUCCGGUUUCCAGACCUUUAAUCAAAUACCGAAAUACGCAUCCCACGAUAUUCAAAUUCAAAUAACAUGUUUUAUCUUAUUUUACUUAGUAUGAUUAAAUUCACUUUUACUAUGUUUUAAAAUAAUUACUAUUUUCAUUGAAAGGUUUGAUUACUAUGUUGUUACGUGUCCCUAUAGAAUUAGGAGAUUUAAUCUGUUUUGUUCUUUUGUGCAGUUGAAACUUCCAUGUUUCCUCGACAAAGAAACCUUCCAUGUUCCAAACCUCUGUGUCUUCAUUAUAUAAAUAGUCAUUAUAUGUUUUAAUGUGGUUAGUGGUUUACUAAAGUAUCACUCUUAUUAAUUUGGCGACCUAUCAUGUCAUUUCAACCAAUGCUACUUAACUUUUUUAUUUUGUUUUAUAAAAACUAAACAGUGGAAACGUGGUAACGACAUGAAUAUUGUUACCGAUACUGUCUCUAAUAAACUCACAUAAUUCACGCAACAAACGAACCAUGGGCCCCCAUGUUGGUCUGAGGACGGACUAGCCCAUUCAUUAUGUGUUAUGUUAUGUGUAACAAUAAGCCGUUAUUAUGCAAGAUUAAGAAGACCACAUCUGUACAGAUAAAUCCAUCUUAUUCUAUCUUCCAGAGUUGAUUGCUUCUUAUUCUCAUAAUCUAUUUGUUGCUGCGGCUUGCGCCAUAAGUUCUUUACAAUAAUAAUGAACUCUGUUUGUUUCUAUUAAUCACAGCAUAAGUGUAGUGAUGGAUCACCAUUCUAUACUGUGGACCGCUAUUUCUCUAGAGGAAAUGUUUCUACUUCUUCUCUGUUUUUGUGUCCAAGUGUGAGUAAGAUCAAAUUAGCAAUACAUGGGCUUUUGUUACUAUAUAUCAAAGAUAGACACAUACUUAAGUUACUAAGCAAUCACGAACCAUAACCUAACGUUACUAUAAAUAUCAUCUUUAUAUAAUUUUUAUUGUUUUUUUAGUUCACAUGGCAGGGCCUGUGACUAUCAAGAUUGAUGGUUAUAAUGAAGGCAUCCCUUCCUUGGUCUCUACUUCCUUGGUCUCUAAUCCAUAUUCAUGGACAAAUUAAGGUAAUACUAAAUAUAGUAACUUAUUACAAUGUCUUCUUUUUUUUUUCUCUAUGCUAAUAAGAUGACAUUUGCCACAAUCAAAGCAAGUCUUUUUGUUUCUCCACUUAACAUUUUCUAUUAUAAAUAAAAGGAAAGAGUUUUUAAUUACUGGUGUUACCUAAUUGUUUCAUGGAUUUGACUUUAGGGAGGUGGACACACUCUAGACUUUAAACCAAUGGGGAGAGCUAUAUAAUGUUCCAGAGGUGGAUAAGUGGCCAACUUAUGUGACAAUGCAUAUAUGGACCGUCUUUGCCUUUCUCCAUUUAUACGGAAACUUGGUCUUCAACAAAGUCACCUAAAUAAAUUCCUAAAUUUGCCUUUCAAAGUUUGGGACAAUUACAUUUCACAUAUUUUUAACAAUAAAAAGCAAGCAUAAUAUUGUAUACCAAAUAGUGUUCAUACUUCGAUUUUGCGGACUAUUUUAGCUAAGUUGGGUGGUUGUUGGAAAAUGGAAGUAAUUAAUUAAAUAAGGAAGAGAAGAAGAGAUAGAAGGCAUCGAGAAAAUAAGGAAGAGAAGAAGAUACAUGAAUCCGUUUGUUUUUUCCUUGAUGAGGUGUGGUAUGAUAUUACAAAAGAUAAGCGAUUAUGAUGGAUAUAUUUUACCAAGUAAAUAUGCCAUCUAACCAAAAAAAAUAUAAAAUAAUUUCUUGUCAUUUGUAAUGCACACCACACCAAGAUCAAUUGAAAAUGUCUAAUAUAAUUAAGAAAUUAAAAAUAACACAACAAGUAUGAUGUAACAAAGCUCGGCAGGUGAGUCUUGGAGAUCAUCAACAAGAAGGUCAUGAAUAUAGUAAAACUUUUCUACCAUGCAGUUUCAAAGACGUCAACAAUUCAUUGCUUCUUCAAUCUUUUUUAUUUUAUAUGAUUAUAGGUUUACAACUUAAAAUCAAUUGACAAUAAGUGGAAAUGUCCAUAUUUUGUAUAUAGUAGUGUUGAAUGAUCUCCACUUUCAAUGUGGAACAUUCUUCCACGCCCAUUUAGGAUGAUGUAUAGUUCAUUUGGCUCAUUCCAUCUCAAACUAAAUCCCACUUUUUUUGGAUAGGUUAUACUUGUUUGGGGGAAACUGAAAGUUUUAUUAGAUAGAUGGUCACAAUUUCUUAGUCUAGAUAGAUGGUCACAAUUUCUUAGUGUUUGAUGAAUUCUUCAAAUUUUGUAAUUCCUAUUAUGAUUUCCAUUAUAAAUUACUUUUUAAUCUUGUUUUUACAUAUAAAGUGACUCAUGUUUCAAAGUCAAACCAUCAAGAACAGCCUUUCCCAAUCUGAAACAGCCAAAAGAAUAUGAAAGUUUUCAAAUGUUUAGUGUUUGACACAGAUUGCAAAAAACAGGUUAAAGGUUAUGAAAAGUCAGGAGAGUCACCAAACUUACAAACCAUAUAUAAUUAACGUUCUACGACAACAAAAGGACGACUUUCGUGAGAGAAUAUUGGUGACAUUUAUUCUUAUGGUUUUCAACCCCAAAAUAAUUUACCUAACAUAACCCAACCAACAAAAAAUAAUAAUUGAAGAAGAUGCACUGUUUUAAAAUGGGAGAAUCAUGUGGCGCAUCACGCAUGUAACCAGCUUUAAACGGUAUAGAUUGUUAAUAUGGUACACUUUCAAUUAAACAAAGGUAGAAAUCAAAUGAAAAUCAUUUACAUAUACACCGUGUUACAGUUUUGAUAGUCCUUCUAGUAACGUGAUGCACGUGGGGCAAACGAAGGAGGAGGCAACGUAUAUAUACGUCAUACAUUGUUUUAACACAAACCGAAGAUACAAUUACAAAAUGUUUAACUUUGGGGAGACUUGGGGAACAUAUAACACUUCCUCAGUUUCAAAAAAUAAAUUGUUUUAACAUUUUAAUUUUUGAUUGUGUUCUUAGUUUUCUUUUUAUGAGGAAAGAGUUAGAGCAUCUCCAUGCGAGUAUCUCAAUGAGAUACCCAACAAAAAGAAGAAAAUUAAAAAAAGUAAAAAAAAAAGAGAGUUAAGUUUUGCAAGAGAAACUUUAAGAAACAAUUAAUAUAUCAAUUAUCUAAUUUGGACAGCUGCCAUAACAUUAUUCAAUUAUCAAGUAACAAUUAAUAUAUCUUUUCUGAUUAUUAAUUUAUUUAUUUUUCAAAAAAAUUUCUUACUUUUGUCGAUGGAGAAUAUAGUCUUAUAUCUCCAAUUAGAGAAUAAACUAAAAGCUGAUAAAAAACUCACAAAGAUUAGGGUUUGACCCGAACUUGGAACUUAUCAAAAGUAUAUAUUUAUUUUUGUUUCAUAAAAAAUAGUGUUUGUAUUUAUGCAGAUUAAAAACUAAAUCUUUUUAUAUCCUACUAUUUCAGUCAUCUAAGAUAUAGUAAAAUUUUACUUAGUUUUAUUAACUUAAGUAAAAAUAUUGGAAUGACGUUUUCAAUGAAACGGAAGGAAUUUUAUAUAAUUUAUUAUGUCAAUAAUUUUGUUUUGAUUUCUAGCUUGUAGAGUUUGACUUGCGUUGCAUCGUAGUUAAUUCUAUGAAUGCGCCUUUAUCCUAGCUUAUAGAGUUUGGCUUCCACCCGAGAUUCCGAGUUCAAGAGAAUUUAUUGUGCUUUUAUAAAUGCGCCGGCCACUCUUGAUUCUCAAAGUGGUGAAUAAGUACGGAUUUACAGAAUUGUCCUCUAUGAUUAUAUAAUCACACGAGAUAAAUAACUUUCUUGCGACUAAAACCUGGCCGCUCCGUACUAUCUUGGCAAUAUUGGAAUUUGGGGGUAUAUUUAACGCGUGUGAUGCAAUUUCCAAAACAUUAUUGUUUUGAUUUUGUAUGAGUUAUUUUCUCAACUGCAUAUGUUAUAAAUUUAUAAUGAUCACAAUCCACACAUAGUCACAUACAUCUAGUUUUUGGUAUUUUAUUAUAAAUAAGUGUUUAAGUCUAAAGUUGUAUUUAGUUUGUUUUUUUUGGGUUUAACGAACAAGCUUCUGAUAAUGUUUUUUUAAAAAAUAGUCUCUAUUUCUUUUCUUUUUGGAUAGAUUUACGAAAGUUUUAACAAGAAGGUUUGGUGAUUUAGACAUUCUUAAACUAAUGAGUUAAUAGGUAAUGUUAUUUUUUUUGUUUUGGGACAAAAAAAGGGAUACUCAUGUUGUGUCCUAAUAUAUUAGCUCAGUCGGACUAAUUUAUCUACGCGGUGCAACCAUUUAAAUUUCUACUAGAGAAAAUUAAAAACCCAAAAAUAGUGAAUGUAUAGUAUCGAUGGCUAGUGGACCCAUAAACACGUACUCAAGAACACAAACAAUCAACUAUUUCUUUUUUUUGGUUAAAAAACAAACCAUUAAUUCUGGUUUCGUUCACAUGAGUUUUAUGGUUAAAUCUAAAUAUACGACAAUUUCUGUCACAUGAUUGUCGCUGGUUGAAAUAGAUCGGUAGUCUCUGUUAAUUAGAAAAUGACAAAGUGUUAGUUUUUUAACAAACAAAAAAGAAGGAAAGUAAUGUGUUAGCUAGUGAGAGUUCUGUAAGCCUGUAACAUAUAGCAUAUAGAACUUAAACAGUUUAUACAAAUUUUUAUGACUUAGAUACAAUUUUGAAAGAUUAUAUCUAGUAUAUAUAGUAUAUAUAUGACCAAAUAAUAAAAUAACAUCCAAAACUUAGAUAAUAUAUGGUCCAAAACAUAGAUAAUACAUGGCUCAAAUAAUACAACAUAAAAAUAUAGACAUAGUAUAUUAAACUAAAAAAAUAAUCUAAAACUAAUAUUUUGUUUUUACAAAAAUAUUAUUUAAUGGAUAAAUUAGUACUUUUUAAAAGUGUUUUUAAGCUGUUAAUUAGAUUACAAGGAUGUUCUAUAUGAUGAUAUUGAAAAGGGGCCAAACCUCCCAUACGCUAGGAACGUGGUGGGCUACAACGUGGAAGAAAAAUUUUUCGUUUGUAGAUGGAUUUGCAUUUUCGUAAUCUACAAAAAAAUUAUAUGAAAACUGAAAAUAUCUUAAAUUUCAAAAAUAUAAAUAUUUUAUUCUCAUGAAGACGCAUAUGUUAUGUUUAGAACAGUCGAAGCUCUCAAAUGAUUGAUGAUACUAGUGUUUCACCACUUGUUGUGCUAUUUGUGUGAGUGUGACCUGCAUGGUAUUAAUACGAAUAUUAGACUCUAACCGUAGAUGAACAAAUGGAAUUUUCAUCUACGAACCAAAACUAUAACAGUUGUUUGUUACGACCAAAAAACGGCUGUGUAAAGAGGACCUUUUAUUGUAUUUGUCAGAUCUUGUGUUCUUAUUUCGUAUUUGUCAGAUCUUGUGUUCUUAGUACUACAAGUCAUAGCACCUCUACGCGUGUGAUUAAAAAAAUGUUUCAUACGCGAAACUUUGACUAUUUUGCUCAUUAAGCUCUUUUACUUGAACUUAUAUUAUAAUAUCUGAACUCCAAUAAUAUUAGUAAUAUAUUUCAUUACUAAUCCCAAUUUAUUAGAUAACGCACGUGUCCUCUAAAACUCUAAAUAAAAUAUGGAAAAAGACAAAUGACGAGGCUGUGUCUUGUUGAUAAAGAGAUCCAGUACGUGGUCCAUGCCAGAUAUUAUUGUGUUAUGUGGUUUAAAUAAUAAAUUGUGAAUUAUUGAUGUGUGGUUUGAUCUAUUUUGGGCUUAAACGAUUGAAUCCUAAGGGUUUCACAUUGAACUGUUAGAGCAUUUAAGAUUCAUUCUCACAUUCACAGUUAGGUAGUGAUAGUGAUCGAUUUCACAUAUUGGGUCCAAAAGUAGAGCAUUUCACAUGUACAAUUUCACUUGAUUGUGAUUUAACGCGUAAUUUUUAUAUUCGGCUUUAUAACUAGAAACCGAAAGAUUCUACUUUUUCACUAACCGACCUUGUAUAUAUUAUAUAUCUUAAGUUUUGAACUUUUAGUUAUCAACUAAAUUAGGUUUUAUUUUAAAUUCACCACAUACUUACACGUCACACAUUUUUGUUAAACGGAGAAGUUUGUGUUUACAUUAUGUAAUAAGACUUCCUUAAAUUAGUACUCGGAAAAUGAAUUUUUUAUUUUUUAUCAAAUCUGAUUCGAGUUAGUUCAAAAAUUAAAAAAAGUAAGAUGUGUGAUUAAAGCAAUACGAAAAAUAAAUCACAAAAUUGAAGAGGGAAAAAAAAGCACUACAAAUAGAGGACAUAAACGUGUGAUUAGAGCUAAUUAGUGUUUUAGUUUAAAACGUAGUUACUAGUUAUAACCUAAGAACUUUAUCCGGUUGAAAGAAGAGUAAAUAAUUAAUUUUUCCAGUUGACAAAAAAUAAAAUAAAAAAAUAAAAAGGUAAUGUGUUUAAACCUUUUUGCCAAUAAGGAUUAAAAGACAGCAUCCUUACAUUCACAUCACUUUCAAUAUAUUCAAAAAAGCAGCCAGAGAUACAAACUGUACAAGACACUAUAGAGAAAUGGAAAAAGACAAGAAGCCUAAAUGCCGAUAAUGUUUGACCAGAAAAUGGUAAAGAAACGUUAUAUGUUAAUAUGUUAUGUACCAACAUAAACUCAAAUAAAAUACAAUAAUACACUAAAAUAAUAGAGAGACGAGAAUUUCAUCGGUCAAAGUCUGACAUUCUUCAACACCCGAACCUAGAAAACAUCUAUAAAUACCUCAUUUGGUUCAUUCCCAUAUUUCACCUGCAAACAUUCUGAAUACAACAACCCAUAUUGCACCUAAAUCACUUCCUCAUAUACAAUUCUUCACAACAGUAAAAAAAUCCACACAUAUUUUUUUGUUCUUAUAUACAAAUUUGGAGAGAUUGGGAUGGAGUUUUUUGAGAUGUCUCGAGUUUGGUACAUAUUCUUCAAAGUUUUCGUCGUAGUUAUUUGCCUCAUGUUCUUGAAGCUCUUUCUGCGUUGUUGGAUAUGGCCAGUUCGAGCUCAAAAGAAGCUUAGAGGAAACGGAUUUGUUGGUCCAGCUCCUAGUUUUCCAUUUGGAAACCUUAAUGACAUGAAGAAACUGAAAAUGGCCUCGGUUGUGGUGGAUAAUAGCAAAUCUUCCACCAUCAUCAAUCAUGACAUACACUCUAUUGCACUUCCACAUUUCGCUCGGUGGCAACAAGAAUACGGUAACUAAUAAAUCUAUAUCCUCUUAUUUAAAUUCCGGACAAUUAGACCAUAUAAGUUGUUUAGCUAACAACAUUUGGAUUACCAUAUCUAAAUAUUAACGUAGAUUAUUGGUUACGUGUUAUGUGAUGCAGGGAAAGUAUUUGUGUACUGGCUAGGGAUAGAGCCGUUCGUGUACGUGGCCGAUCCUGAAUUCUUGAGUGUUAUGUCGAAAGGGGUAUUGGGGAAGAGUUGGGGAAAACCAAAUGUUUUUAAGAAAGACAGAGAGCCAAUGUUUGGUACCGGUUUGGUUAUGGUCGAAGGAGAUGAUUGGACACGACAUCGCCACAUCAUCACUCCUGCAUUUGCCCCUCUUAAUCUUAAGGUAUAGAUAUGUACUUACAAUAGUUAAACUUUUUUUAAAAAAAUCGUUUGCAUUGGCAAGAGUCCAAGUUGUAGAAAAUUAAUAGGGUGACUAAUCUAGUUCAACAAUUUAGACUAUAUAGUCCUUUUCCAAAAGCAUGAGCCACCAUUUUUCAUGACAUAAAUUUCAAGGUCUUAUGAUGUUGAAAAGACUAGAAAGUACUAUAUUAGACUCAUUCAAAAUCAAAGAUUCAUACGAAAUAUUCCUCUUUUUCUCAUUACUUUUAAUUAUUCGUCUUAAAAACAGGUUAUGACAAAUAUGAUGGUGGAAUCAGUCUCCAAUAUGUUGGACCGAUGGGGCAUACAAAUAAACUCGGGUAAUCCCGAAUUCGACAUGGAGAGCGAGAUCAUAGGAACAGCCGGUGAGAUUAUCGCCAAGACAAGCUUCGGUGUCACGGGAGAAAAUGGAACUCAAGUCCUCAAAAACCUAAGAGCCGUGCAAUUCGCUCUCUUCAACUCAAAUCGCUACGUAGGCGUGCCAUUCAGCAACAUUUUGAGUUACAAGCAAACCGUUAAAGCGAAGGGGCUAGGUCAUGAGAUAGAUGGUCUCCUUUUGUCGUUCAUAAACAAACGGAAGAUAUCUUUGGCUGAAGGAGAUGACCAAGGCCACGAUCUUCUCGGAAUGUUGCUUAAGGCCGAUCAGAAAGGGAAUUUUACGGCGAAAGAGCUUGUGGACGAAUGCAAGACAUUCUUCUUCGCUGGCCACGAGACAACGGCUUUAGCACUAACGUGGACGUUUAUGCUUCUUGCGAUCCAUCCCGAGUGGCAAGACACGAUCAGGGAAGAGAUUAGAGAAGUCAUCGGAGAUUCCAAGAUUGAGUAUAACAAACUUGCCGGUCUAAAAAAGGUACAUUACCAAACACAGUACACAACAAUCCACGUGCUUAAUUAUACGCAUGCAUACAUUAUGUUUGGACGCGUUCACAAAAUAGUUUACAAUUUGGCUUGGCAUGUUCAUAUUUUCUUAAUAAAUAAACGAAUUGAAUGCACGUAAAAAAGAUGAUAUUAGCCUGAACGCCUGAUACUACAUAAGAUUUCAUAAAAUUAAAAUAAACGAAAAAUAUACCUUAAGUAUACUUUAAGCCUAAUUAAUUAAUACUUUAAUAUACAUCUGAUCAAUGUGGUCAAAGUCAGUGGUCACAUAGAAGUCAAAAUCUACAAAACGUACAAUGAUCAAACCAUAGAGGCGCGUCAACGACUGCGCUGACCAAUGAACACGCCACGUAAUCUUAAAAAAACUGAAAAAUCUAAGCCACGUGGCAAUAUCUUCUCAUAAUGAAUAUUCUAUCUGUUUUUAUUCAUGACUAAAACGUGUGACACGCAUAUCAUCAAUGAUACAAUGAAAUCACAUCUUUUAGUUAAUUAAAUCACUUAACCUCCUGAAUGUUAACUUUGAUACUAAUGAAUAUAACUUCCGAUCAUUUUAUGCAGAUGAGUUGGGUAAUGAACGAGGUUCUCCGGCUAUAUCCACCGGCACCGAACGCACAACGACAAGCCCGAAAUGACAUUGAAGUGAACGGACGAGUGAUUCCAAACGGAACAAACAUUUGGAUUGAUGUGGUGGCGAUGCACCACGACGUUGAGUUGUGGGGAGAUGACGUUAACGAGUUUAAGCCUGAGAGAUUCGACGGUAAUUUGCACGGUGGUUGUAAGAAUAAAAUGGGUUACAUGCCGUUUGGAUUCGGAGGGAGAAUGUGUAUCGGUCGGAAUUUGACCACCAUGGAGUACAAGAUUGUCUUGUCGUUGGUUUUGUCCCGGUUCGAAAUCUCGGUUUCGCCCGGUUAUCGCCAUUCUCCGACGUAUAUGCUUUCUCUUAGACCGGGUUACGGUUUGCCUCUAAUUAUACGACCACUUUAGAUUACAUUACCGCACAAAUAUAAAGUUUUUAUUUUCAAGUUUAAUUAGGAGGAUCAAUUCUUUUCUUCUUUUUUUUUUUUGGUCGGCAGAUCAAAAUUUAACUAUUUAAGUCCUCGACUUUUAGUAUAUUUGUAAACGUGUCUUCUUUUUCCGGAUAACGGAAUACAUCAUCUUUUAUUUCUUGUAAUUUCACUGAUUAAUGCAAUAUACGAUUUUGAGACUAAGAUUCAAGAUUGUGUGUGUGUGAUAAAAUAUGUGUUAAUAUGUAAGAUAAAAGAUGGAUGGGUUACACCUAAUAAAUAAAUUAAGGUGGGUAAAUUUUGAAAGUAGUAGAUAAAUGUAAGGGCCUUUACCGUAAUUAUACGAAAGGUUCGUAUCACGUUUCUUGUCUCGUCUAUGAAGCAACGGACCAAAGUAAAGCGUAAAUGGAAAAUUCAGUUUCAUGCGAAUUUUCGAAUCGUUUGCUAAAUUAUGGCGUCUACAAUGGCGACAUGGACACCAAGCUCUCUCCAGCUCAGAAUUGCCCUAAAUCACGGUAUCUUCAAAGCUCCGGAGAGAGCGAAGAUGACCAAGCUCAGUCGUCGUCUCCGUAUAUCAUGCGUCGCGCAGAACGCAGAGCCAGGUCGCGAUUCGGGUGAGAGUAACGGGUCGGAUCGUUUUCGUGGGUGGGCUGAUUCGGGAGACGAUGAGAACAAUUCUCGCGGUGGCGAUUGGUUUAAAGGUACGGACUUUGGUUAACUUGGUAGAUUUGUAUUCGAAUUUGGUUAUAAUAUUCUGCAAUUUUGUACCUUUUUCAUGGUUUGUUGAAGGAAUUUGAUUUUUGUUCAGGAACCUUGUUAUCUGGAGUUGCUGGAAUGGUUUUGUUCGUUGGGCUAACUUACGCAGCUUUAUCUUCCAAACGCAAUGUCUUAAGUAUGUGUUUCAAUCUUCAUUUAGUGAUACAAUGUAGUUGAUUUUAAUAAUGAAGUUAUCAAAUUUUGGUGAAUGUUUAGGACCAAAAGUAGAAGUGAUGGUGACCACAGUUACUAAAAGUUCAAUUGAUCAAAUCAGCACGGAUGAGAAUGAAGGAAAUAUUGUGACUAGUCAAGAUAACCAGGAAAGCUAUAGAGGUAUAAACCCGAACCGUAUAGGUUAAGUUCUUUGGUGCUUAUUUUAUCUCUCAAUGUGGUUACCUGUUUAACAAGCGUUCCCUUUUCUGGAUGUUAGUUUAGAUUCACAAGUUUUAUCUCCGGAUGAAAUAGAUGUUGCGUCAAAAUCCACGUCUACUAGGAAAGACAAUGAGGAGGCGGAGAAAGCAUCGGUAAGCUCAGCGGAGAGAUACACAUCAUCUACAGAGCUGGAUGGAGUAGAUACACAUACCUCUCAAAUCCCAAACGAAAAGCAGAAAGCCCGCCGUUAUACAGGAAUACCUGCUCCUUCUACAGUUCCACAAGUAGAUUCUUUAAAACCUAUCUUUCCAACGGUUGUGGAUCCAGUUCAAAGUCAAAUGUUUGCAGCUUUACAAGCUUUAAAGGUUACUGCUUUCAGAUUAUUUUGACCAAUCUUUUGAUGUGUGAAGAUACUGAUUGCAUAUUUAUAAAACCCUAUUUAAUUUUCAGGUUAUUGAAUCCGAUGCUCUGCCUUACGAUUUAUGUACACGCCGUGAAUUCGCUCGUUGGGUGGUUUCUGCAAGCAAUACUCUAUCGAGGUAACUAUCAAAAAAUCUCUUUCCUACUCUUGAAACAUUGUGAAAUAUUUCACUGCCUUACAACGUGAAAAUAUCUUCAUUGGUUAUAGGAACUCAGCAUCAAAAGUAUAUCCUGCCAUGUAUAUAGAAAAUGUUACUGAACUUGCAUUUGAUGAUAUUACACCUGAAGAUCCUGAUUUUCCAUUCAUUCAAGGUGAUCAUCGAAUUUUUUGUACAUUCACUCUGAAGUCUGAAUCAGUGAAGUUAUGUUUAAUCUGCUUUCUUCAUUUUUCAUUGGAUAGUAUAGGUUUGGCAGAGGCAGGACUUAUCUCAAGCAAACUCUCUAACAACAAUAUGCCUUCUUCUGAGAGCAGUCGGGUUACGUUCUCCCCAGAAAGGUAGACGUGCUAUUUAUUUUCACCCAGCCAUAUACAUUAUACGCUAUUAAAAAGUAGCUAUUGUUAUGUGAUAUCCACUCUUUUCAUCUCUUUUUCUCCCUCUGCAGUCCUCUAACACGUCAGGAUCUAUUGAGCUGGAAGAUGGCUUUGGAAUUUCGACAGCUUCCAGAAGCUGAUAGCAAGGUUCUUUGUCUAUUCCUUUCUUUUUCGUUUGCCACAUCUAGUCAUUGUAGCGUCGUAAACCUUACACAACUCACUUUUCUUAUUUCAGAAAUUAUACCAACUUUCUGGUUUUCUUGACAUUGAUAAAAUAAACCCAGAAGCAUGGCCUGCCCUUAUAGCUGACCUAUCUGCUGGAGAACACGGAAUAACAGCACUUUCUUUUGGUGAGUGAGAUUCUUGCUUCUUAAGUAAUCAUAUCAUUAGAGUUUCACAACCAAAAUUUGUUUUUAAAAGUCUUGUGUCCAUCAUCUAGGGCGUACCAGAUUGUUUCAACCGUCGAAAGCAGUUACAAAAGCCCAAACAGCUGUGUCUCUUGCAAUUGGUGAUGCUUUUGAAGUAGUUGGUGAGGAGCUAGCUCGUAUAGAAGCAGAGGCUAUGGCCGAAAAUGUGGUUUGUGCACAUAACGAAUUGGUUGCUCAGGUCGAGAAGGAUAUUAAUGCUAGCUUCGAGAAAGAGCUUUUAAGAGAAAAAGAAAUAGUAGAUGCAGUGGAGAAAUUGGCUGAAGAAGCAAAGUCAGAGCUAGCGAGACUUAGAGUUGAGAAAGAAGAGGAGACUCUUGCAUUGGAGAGAGAACGCACAUCGAUUGAAACAGAAAUGGAGGCUCUUGCAAGGAUACGAAAUGAGCUUGAGGAACAACUUCAAAGCCUUGCGAGUAACAAGGCAGAGAUGUCAUAUGAGAAAGAGAGGUUUGAUAGACUUCAAAAGCAAGUGGAGGAUGAGAACCAAGAGAUACUCCGGUUACAAAAUGAGCUUGAAGUUGAAAGGAACGCUUUAUCCAUUGCCAGGUAUAGAAUAUAGUAUCUUGAAAGUUCUUCUUUCUUUCCCAAGCAAGAUCAAAUGAGCAUGAAUAGAUCUUACACAGUGAGAUAGAGGCAAAACAUUUCUUAAUUACAUUGAUUAGUGAAACUCAAAAACUUUUAUAUUGAAAAAUGUGACAAAUCAAACAUAUGAGAGUUUAGCUCUUCAGAUUAUUUACUGUUUUGAGUUUUGUUUUUGAAGGGAUUGGGCUAAGGAUGAAGCGAGAAGAGCAAGAGAACAAGCAAAAGUGCUAGAAGAAGCUAGAGGACGUUGGGAGAAGUAUGGCCUAAAAGUGAUUGUUGACAGCGACCUCCAUGAACAGACAACAAAAACCGAAUCUACUUGGCUGAACGCAGGAAAGCAAAAUCAUGUAGAAGGAACCAUGAAAAGAGCUGGAAAUCUGAUUGCUAAGCUGAAGAAGAUGGCGAAAGAUGUAGGAGAGAAAUCCAGAGAAGUAAUUUACUUGAUCAUAGAGAAGAUAAGCCUUCUGAUAUCAGCCUUAAAACAACAAGUUCAUGGCAUGGAGAACAAAGCCAAAGACCUCAAAAUCAAAACUAAGUCUAAAGCAGAGGAAGUGUGGAGACAAACGAGCUUGAGGGCUGAUGAGAUCAGAAAUAUCUCUAUAGUGAAGGCUAAGGAGACUGUGGAAGAGUUUAAGGACAGAGUCGGUAAACUCGGCGAGAAAUUCAAGUCGAAGUAGGUUUAUGCGGUUUGGUUGAAGAUUAAGAUUUGUUAGAUAAAGAUGCAAAACAAUGAACUGUCUUAAAUUCCAAAACCGGAAAGCUAUGAGCCCCAACUUAGAUAGAUGACUACACUGAUUAUAUGAUUGUGGUCUUCGCCAGUUUUUACUACUACCACCAUUUAGUCUUUGAAUCCAUUCUACAAGCAAUUGAAGAAUAAAUAUGGUAUUGGAUCAACUUCAAAUUUUGAAACAUGAUAGGAAAUUAAGUUGAGUCUCACUAAUUUUUCUUAAUAUCUGACCAUAUAUUUAAAAUUAGUUACCAAAACCUUGGCAGUAAAUUUUUAGUUAGAUAUGAUAAAAGAUACUAUUGUUUUGAUUAAAAAAAGGUAGAGAUGAUGAGAUUUCUAUGUUGAAUUCAAAACAAUAAAAUAAAUAUUAGCUAAGAUAUCACGAAGUGAUAAAGAUGAAUCUUUGAUUAAAUCACAUUAAAAGUUGAAAAACGAUAUCAUAAGAGAUUUUGUGUUCUCUAUAUGUAACGCUAUCUGGCAACAUUCUUUCUGCUUUCCAAUAAGGUUCAUGAAGAAUGGGUAACACAAUUUCGAAUGCAACAACGUUAUCAUACGGUGAAACGACAUGCUCAAAUCCAACUUCUACGAUUGCGAGCAGUUUCACGGAACAUCCUCGCCUUCUUGCUAUUCUGUCAAGAUUGAGAAUCUCGCACAACUUAACAAUGAAAAAUACCAAUCUCGUCGUUUCACGGUAGGCGGGUAUUACUGGUAUGUAGCUAUAAUCUUGCUCUUAUAUAUUACCAUUUAUGUUUUAUGAGACAUGUAACACAUAUAGACCAUGAUUUUACUAUGUACACAUUAGCUCCUGAAGGGUUAAAUUAAAUCUUCAUCAUAAGAAAAGAACAUGAAUCUUUCUUACUUUAUGCAAUAAUAUUUCUGUUAAAAAGAAAACCUGCAGGAAAUUGAUUAUAUAUCCAAAAGGGAACGACGAGGACCAUGGAAGUGGUUAUAUUUCAAUGUACGUAGAAAUAGACAGCACAUCUGAAGUUUUUGCAUAUGUCAAGUUCUUCGUCUACAAUAAGAAAGAACAAAUGUACUUUACUAUUCAAAGUUGUUGGUUUAAAACAUAUCUAUAUUAUUCAAUAUUUAUAUUAACUAUAUAAGACUUGUUCAUUUGUCACAUAUGUCACGUUGAAUUACUCCAUUUUUUCUAAUAGAUACUGAAGUAAAGCGUUUCAAUGCUUUAAGAAUGGUAUGGGGAUUCUCUCAAAUGCUUCCUCUCCACUUAUUCGAAAAUCCAAAAAAUGGAUAUAUAUUCGACGGGCAAAAAUGCGAGUUUGGUGUUGAAGUGAUGGUUGUUCCACCCCUUACCAAUUGGGAAGUGAUGUCUUUUGAUCAGAAACUCUCACCAUCCACAUUCUCCUGGAGUGCCAAUGGUUUCUCCUUAUUGACAGAGAAUCUUUAUGUGUCAAACAACUUUUCAGUUGGAGGAAGAGAAUGGUGAGGCUAAUAAGUCAUUGAAUAUAUAUACACGUCUAUGUAUGCUAAGUGUAUACAAAAUAAUGUGACUUUUCUAUAGGUGUUUGAAGAUGUAUCCAAAGGGAAGAGAGGCAGAUGGCAAAUGGUUGUCCUUAUUUCUGCAUAUAUAUAGCUGAUAGUGAAACCUUUUCGGAGGAUGAGAAGAUUUACGUGCAUGCAGAUCUCCGAGUAUUAUACCCACGUCCACAUGUAUACAACAAUCACGUCACACAGAAACGUAUAAUUAACUUUGAAACACAAUUUUCUAUAUUCUUGAAUAAAUCACUUAGUUGCUUUUUUCAAGUCUUAACUAAAUUUUCAAUACCUUACAUAUAUUUAUUUUUCUUGCAGUUAACGUCUGUUACAAGAAAUCAACUCAAGGGUGGGGUUGCGAAGAUUUUGCGGCUAUAGCCAUCGGGAGUGUAAUUACUUGGACAAUGACACUUUGACAUUGGAGGUCGAAUUUAAAGUUGUUUCUACAACCAAGUAUUCUCACCCAUGAUCUAAGCUCUUCUUGUAGAAUAUCUACAAUAUUCCAUAUUCUACUACAAGUCUAGUAAUCUACAAUGCCUUGUUUCAUACGAUUUCUAGUAAUUAGUUCCUUUUUAGUUAAAUCAAUUCUACAGUUUAUGGUUCCGGAUUCAUUUCCUGCUAACUAAUUAUAUCAUUUUUUAUAACUAGUAAUCAUUGAAGCUUAUAAUUGAAAUCUAUAACUACAAAGCCUAGUGCACUUACGUCCAGAAAGCCAAAAUAAUUAGGCUUCCUAUUAACACAUAUAUUUAUAUGUUUCUUAAGAACUUUUACGAAAUUACCUGCAUGUAGUUAAAAUAAUAAAAUCUAAACUAAUUGUGAGCACAACAAUAAUCCGCCACGUCUUCUAAACCUCUUCCAUUCAAAACUCUUCACUAUCCGCCACGUGUCCCCUUCUUCACACUCUUUUUAUCUUCCUCCACCUCUAAAACUUUCUCACCACAUUUUCCCGAGAAAACAAAAAAAAAAAACUUACACCAAAACGAUGUCUGGAGGUGUCGGUCCAACGUACAACGACAUAACCUUACCCAAAGAAGAAGAAGAAGAACAUCAAACCCAAUCCACCUCAACAGUAUCAUCCACCGGAAAACCCGCCGGAUUCUUCUCAUUCCGACAACUAAACAUCCUCGCAAUAAUCAUCGUUCUCUCCGCAAGUGGUCUCGUAACAAUCCAAGAUUUCAUAUUCACGAUCCUCACUCUCAUCUACUUCUUCUUCCUCUCGAAACUUAUCUUCCCACCACACAACAAUCCAAACCGUGACGCUCCUCUCACAAGCUCCACAAACAAAAUCUUCCGUAUCUAUGUUACAGCGGCGGGGAUCGUCGGGCUUAUCAUUCCGAUCUGUUACAUCUUCGAAGGAAUCGUUGAGGAUGAUAAGAACGGUGUUAGCGCAGCUGCACCGCACGUGUUUCUUUUAGCGAGUCAGAUUUUUAUGGAAGGAUUAGCGACCAUGUUUGGCUUCUCUGCUCCGGCGAGGAUUCUUGUUCCGAUUGUUUACAACGCCAGGAGGGUUUUGACUCUUGUGGAGUGGAUUAUGAGUGAGUUCUCGAGGGAGGAUGUGACGGGGACGGUUUCUGCGCGGCGGAUGUAUGCCGGGAAAGUUUUGGCGGCGGCUAAUUUAGGGAUUUGGUCGUUUAAUCUCUUUGGUGUUUUGAUUCCGGUUUAUCUACCCAGAGCGUUUAAGAGGUAUUACGGUUCUGAUAAGGAGGAUUGAAAUCCCGGUUUAGUUCCGGUUCCAAUAAGGAGAGUCAAAACCCGGUUUAAUUCCUUUGUGGUUCACAGCUCUUGUUGUUUUCCCUUUUUGUUCUGUAUAUUAUUUCGAUGUUUUCUUUUGAACAAUUCAGUUUAUGUAGUAGUUCACAGUUGUAUUAGAUUUCUUACGAUAAUAACCGAAUCUAUGUUUCUGAAAGAACAGAAAUGAAAAUGUUUUAGUAAUGAUAUAGAAUAAGACCAUUCACGAUCUCAGUUCAAACAAUAUAUUUGUAUGAAACAGUAAAACAAGAAAUAAACAAUUUAUAUCAAUGUAACAAGAUUAGAUGUAGGAGCUGAUCCAAGAAUAUUCCAAAGUUUCCAACUACAUGAGUACAGAAGUUAACUGCAAAUCAAAGCUUUAAGCUUAUUUAUUCAGUGUGUAUAAGUUGUUAGAACCCAAAUCUCUUACCUUUUUUCACGAUCCAUGUUCAAGGUUUGUUACUUAUAGGGUUUUAUAUCUCUGUCUUUGGUAAUGAGGAAGAAGAAGAAGAGAUGUCAUUUUAAUUUGGUUAGCUGACUCCAGAUCGUAACCCCGGGAAGAAACUCCAGCUGUUUCCUGCAACCUUCUCGAUAUUCUCGUCUUUCGUGUUGUCGAAUUUAAAUUCUUUGCUAGAUCCAAUCGAUGAGGAACUCAGCUUCUGAAUUCUAUGCUGUUCGUUCUCUCUGUCUCCUGACCUUUUCUCUAUGUUUCUUCUUAUGUCUGUUGAUGAACUCUCCUCUGUUUCGAUCCGGUCAUUGUUGUUCAUUCUGUCGUGUGAUCGAUUUAGCUUGCUUGCAAGACAACGUGCAACGUCUUCACCUGUUAACUCAAACGAAACUCUGUGAUCUGCUACCAUGACUUCAGAGCCAUGAUCCGAAUUUGCCAGUGAAGCGACCUCAGAGAUCUGAUUUUGAAGAGGCCAUGUGGUAUUGUUGGGUGUUAAGUUUCCAGAUACUAUCUCUGGACCAUUUGGUGUCAGAGCGCCUGAAGCCAAACCUGAACCAUGCCCAACAGGUGUGAUCGAUCCAGAACCGAACCUCGAUCCCCAUUUACGAGCUGUAAAGUGCUCAAAACCCAAGAACUUUGGAGGCUCGCCUAUUCGAAACUCAACCAUGGGUGAUUUACCAGGGUAAGGAGAAGAUGUACCAGAGUUUGAAAUCACUGACCCGGGAGAGAUUAGAUUACCACCACCAGGACUCCCCGGACACACCUGAUUAGACCGAAACUCAUAGUGCGAAGACGAAAACUUUUGAUUCAUCCCACUAGUACUAUCCCUCCGAGUUAGCUCCAACGAAGAAGUAAGCAACUGAGCAAAGGGCACUUCAGGUGAAGAAGGUGUAGUUAUAUGGACUGAUGAUUCAGGAGGUGGAGUAUACGGUGCAGUAGAUGGCUCAGUUAUAAACGCAGAGAACACCGGAGGAGUGACUGGUUGAGUUUCAUUAGCAUAAGGUCCAACGGUAAAGACAGAUUGAGGCUCCUUAGGCGAGAAUGUAUUGCUAGUAAGAGAAAGUGGACCAACAGGCGAGUGAGAAACCGAUGAAGGAUCCGAUUGCAAAAACGAAGCUGGAGAUGAAGGAGGAGCUAUAAAGGGAAGAACAACAGUAGUUGAAGUAGCUGAGUUUUGAACAGUAACUACCGGAACUCCAGAUGUAACCGGUUCAGGUACAAGCACAGCAUUACCAAUCCUUUUAUUGUUCUUCUGAGUUCCAAAACAUGAAUAUAAACUCCAACAUUUUCCCCAUCUUCCCUUCUGUACAAAUUAAACACACAAAAUUAGACUCAUCUUGAUCCCCUUUAGAGAGAACUGUUUCAACAAAACUUUCUCAAAGUAAAAGCUUUUGAUAAUAAAGUUAAUCUUGUUUAGUUUCUAAUAAGUAGCUAAACGUUUGUAAUUCACUUUUGGAGAAAUUUAUACUAUCCGUGGAAAAUUAACCAAACAUGAAAUAGAAACGCUUUUAACCUUUUUAAUCAUGGAUGCUAUUAUGACUUGUAAAGCCAAUCCACAAAAAGAUUGAAAAAGCAACAACGCAUCUUUUUACCUUUUUGAGACCACAAUUGUAAUCCAGAGAGAACAAAUCAAAGUCGUGAAAUCAAGAACUAAGCUCACCAUUAGCUCUGAUCUAGAAUCGUAAUCAAAAUCAAAACACCAAAAUCGCAAAUUCAAAUCACAUUCACUACAGUUUCGUAACUAUGAGCUAAAUCAAAACAGCAAAAUCGCGAAAUUCAAAACUAAGAACAGAUCAAAUUUUCAGAGCAAUCAUUCAAACAAAAGCUAUAAAUCUCGGAAUCACGAUCUAAAUCAAGCAAGUAACAAUACUGAUCUAUGAGCAGAAGAAAAACACAUUUCAAUCACGGAAAAUCUGGAAGAAGAAGCUUAGUAGUUUACCUGAGAAGAAGACGGCUGUACUCGAGACUCGGCGGUGACGAUGGCGGUAGCGGCGGCGUUAACAGUCUCAACGCUGUUAUUAACAACGUUCCUCAUCUUUCGAACUCAGAUUCACACCGACUACAAUAACAUCCAGAUUUGCUUGCUUACUACUACUCAGAAACCACCACUUGGAUCUACUACGCAGAGAGAUUUUCCCGAGAAAAUCAAAUGAGAAAAGGAUAAAUAAAUCAAAUAAAAAGCGAAGAAGGUUUUGUAUAAUGAUGGAUCGAAUUCUCUCUCUCUCUCUCUCACUCACACCGGUCGUUAUCUAGUCCAGCUUUUCAUUCAAUUUCACCACGAGCUUUUGCCACGUCAUCACAUUUUAGAUGGUUCAUGGUUCCUUUCCUUCACACCACCACACGCGCUUCACUUAAAAUAGUUAUGCAUCAUUUGGGAGGGUAAAUAACGGUUUGAUCGGUUUGGUUCAAUCCCUAGAAAUGCAGAUUCAAUUUUUAUCUACAUACAUAGUUACUAAAACUUGUUAAAGAAAUUCUAAUAUAUUGGUUGUGAACAUAUAUUUGUCUCUGCAUUGUGGGUUUUCUCAAAUCAAAGUUCCAAAAAGAAAAAGGGUAAUAUCUAGAACUUAAUUUUUUUUGGUAUAUAUAGACUAGUAUCGUAAAAUACUAACGUUGGCCAAUGUCUAUAUGUAGGUGUUUUUUUUAUAGAAUAAUUAUUGGUCUUCAAAUGUACCUAUAAAAUGGAUGAUUCUAUACUUGUUCAAAGGAAAGAAGAAAUAUAUUAGACCAUGGGGAAGAGUUGACCCAUAGCCUUUAUGUACGCAUAUGAUAUGGGGACCGAUCAAUAAGUGAGAGAGGUAAUAUAAUAGAAGCCGCUUCAUCAUUGGAACUCCCAUGUGACCUCCUCUCAAGUUUUGAGCAUUUCUUUAAUCUUUUUAUAACUAGAGUCACUUUUAUUAAUUUCUUUUGAAUGUUCUUCUCUACUGUUGCUAUACUAUUCUCUAAUUAUUCACAAAUAGUUAUUAUUAGUGUUUUCAAUAUAUUUUGUAUCCUUAACUUUGUAACUAUUUAUGCCCAUUAAGUAAAACAAAAUAAAAUAAUUGGAGAAAGGUUGGUAACAAGAAGAAUUAAGAAGCACACGUGCGCAGACCAUCUUGUUGUGUGUGAUGGCUUUUUGAGCAAACCCUCGUGCGUGUGUGUGGCUGCCACUCCUUUACCUUUCUUUUCUACUUUUGUUACUUUCUUCUUUAUUAAGUCUCUCUACAAUGAAAACUAAUUAUUACUCUUUCUUUUUACCUUUUUAGGAUAUGAACCAUGUUGACAUCAGUCAAAACUAAGAGUCUUCCCUAAUUAAUUAUGUUGUUUAAGUUCAAUACCACCAAUCAAUACAUGAAUCAAAUUGGUUGUGUAUCUUUAUAAUACUCAACUUGUUUGGUACUGUAUCAUUAUCGAGUUAAGAUUUCUAAAGAAUAACUAAACUAAAACUUUAAAAGAAGUUGUUGUUGUUGAAAUUUAUCCCUAUGAUUCGACGUUUGAGGAAGAACUAUAAACACAAAUCUCACUUGUUACUCGAUUCGAUUGAGAAUAAAAGAAAACCCGAAACAGAAUGGAAAGAAUACUAUGAUACUUGCACACUCCACUAUGUUUAGAGAAAGUUUAUCCAAGAGAAAGAGAGCAACCAAAGAACUCAGCUCAGGCCCAAUAAAUCAAGCCCAAAUUAAAUAUCAUACAUUUUUAACGGCCCAAUAUUUCUGUGUUUGCGACUAUCUCAUUCAGAUUUUCCAAAGGAUAAUUUAGAUUUUCUCUGUUUUAUCUUUUUGUGUGUGUUGUUAUUUCAUUUUCAAGCUCUGGACAUUUGAUUGGUGAUGAAGCUGAGGGAGUGAAUUUAUGGCUUAAGAUAGUCUUCAAAGCUACAUACAAAACUAUAUUACAAUUUCGAAGCUGCCCAUGGCCAUGGCGUUACAGAUUAUAGCUUCUUCUUCUUCAUCACCAACGAUUACAAAAUCUCACCUUUUCUCUUAUCCUCCUCUGCAAUCUCGUUAUAAAGCUUCGAAACCUAACCUCUCCUCAUGGUUUUCUCUUCUGGGUUCUUCUCGUUUCUCUCCUUACAUUGGUUUAAAGCAUUUGGGCAUCUCAAUCUCGCCGAAAUCUUCAAACCCAGGUUUCGAUUUCAGAGAUAUGAUUGCUUCUUUACUUCUGGGUUUUUGUAAAGUUGUUUAAUUUCUGAAGUUGGGUGGUUUUUUGUGUGCAGAGAAGAAGAGAAGAUGUAAGAGUAUGAUGAUUCGUGCGUCUCUGUUUGGUGUUGGAGCACCUGAGGCUUUGGUUAUUGGUGUUGUUGCUUUGUUAGUCUUUGGUCCUAAAGGUCUUGCUGAGGUUAGUGUCUUUGUGUGUGUAAAAUUUCUUGAUGAUUGAUUUGGAAUCAUAUCUUUUUAGGGUUUAAGCAACUUAUGAAUUAGUACUGUUUAGUUUCUCUUAUGAGAAUUGGAGUAUGGUGUAUAGUUGAGGCUAGAGAUAGAUGACCUUUUGGCUUAAUAGUGUUUGAUUCUCUGUGGAUUUAAAAUCUUAACUUGGAGAAAGUUCGACGUCUAUACGGAGCCAUUUGAGAGUCUGAGUUUGGGAAUGAGAAGAGAAAAGAGCUCAAGAUAUCACUGUUGCUUCUCCAUAUAGUCUUUUAGAGUUGUUUUAGCUCUUUGAAGAAGUGUUUUACUUGCUAUGAUCCGUGCAGGUAGCUCGGAAUCUUGGAAAAACUCUGCGUACAUUUCAGCCAACGAUUAGAGAGCUACAGGUUUAAUUUCUAUCUCAAGACUUUCAGAAAUUAUGAGGUUUGUUUGUAUAUGUUGUGCCUAACUGUUUUUGUUUGUUUACAUGUCUUUUGUUUUAGGAUGUUUCAAGAGAUUUUAAAAGUACCCUUGAGCGUGAAAUUGGCCUUGAUGAUAUCUCAACGCCAAACGUGUACAACCAAAACAGAACGAAUCCUGUUCAACCUCCUCCUCCACCACCACCACCAUCAGUUCCUAGCACUGAAGCUCCUGUGACUGCAAAUGAUCCCAGUGAGUGGUCUAACUAUACUAUGCGCGCAUAUGCUUUUGUUCUUCUUCAUCUUUCACCAAAUUCACACUAAACAAAGUUAACAAAGAUACUGUCAUUUGGUUCUGGAAAUAUUAGAUUCUAUUUGCCAACAGAAUAGGAAGCAUGUGCUAGGCAUUUGAUUGAGACAUAUUAAAAAGUAGUUUGAUUCCUCUAGAUCAUAAGCUCCUCAAGCAUUGGCUAAUCUGUAACCUACUGUCAUUGUUUUAAUGUUUUCUAUAUUCAUCAUAUUCAUGAAAUGGAGUAGUGAACCUAAGCUAAGAUGAUUUCAUUGAAAUAAGCAGAUGAUUCACAAUCACCAAAAGCUUACACAUCCGAGGAUUACCUCAAGUUCACUGAAGAGCAGCUAAAAGCUUUGUCUCCCGCUGAAAGCCAAACAGAGGAUCAAACUCAGACUCAAGAACCGCCACAACCCACAACUGUACAAACACCUACCGGAGAAAGCCAGCCCAAUGGUUAGCCUUGCUUCUGAUCAGCAAAUUAAGAACUCUCUCAUCAUCUUCAAAGUUGUCUAAAACUCGGUUGUUGCAGGUACAGCGAGAGAAACAACAGCUGCAUCUCCUCCAAGGCAAGAUUGAAAGCACCAAAAUAUGACUUGUAGUGUUAAAAAGCAUAAGCCUCUCUAUACUGGGAAGCUGCUGAGGGAAUUUUUUUGAUCUGCCAAAAAGGACGAAGCUAUUAGCUCUCAGGACAUUCUCGCAAAGCUGUAUGUGCAUCUUGAUAAUAUGUCUGUGUAUUUAUGUUACAUUAGAUUCUUUCUUAAUGGUAAUUGAGUUUAUUAGGUCAAAGCUUGGAAAAUAAUGAAAUGAGUAUAAAUUAUUGGCUCUUGCUCUCAUUUCAUCAAUAUUCAGAGUUUAAUCACUGGAUCUAGAAAUUUCAUGUUUUCUUUUAUUACCAUUUCUCUUCCAUAUUGGUUAAAAAUGAUGAAGUAAAAUACAUUUUUUAAACUAUCAAUGACAAUGAUUGAGUGUCUUUGUUGUUAAGAACAAAACACACACAAUGGUUCUCAAAAUACAACAACUGAUCUGUCAUCGACUGCAAAAUCUUUCACACUUGAAGAAGACUCAAUUCUGUUUGUAGCUUUCUUGGCCUAUCCAUUAAAAUACACGAAGAAAACAUUAAUCAUAAUUAAUCUAAGAUCCAUGCAUAGCUUUUAUAACAAAAAGAUAUUUACCUCUUCAUCCCAAUUUGUAAAAAUAGUGACGAGGCCAAGACCAAAAACUUGAACAACGAGGGCACAUAUGAUUCCAAGCCAAAGCCCCUUAAAAUUUAACAUUGUUGAUAUGUUUAACGUUGACAUUAUAAUCAGUUAAAUAAAAAAAAAAAUCUGAUUAAAUUGGGGUAGUUUCAUUUACCCGACCACCAACGUGAAAGUGAAAAGCAAGUAACAAUCCUGAAGGAACUCCAACAAGAUAAUAUGAACCAAGAUUAAUGAUUGCUCCUAUCUUCUGCCAUCCACAUCCUCUAGCAACCCCUGAUUAAUUAACCGGAAAAACAAACAUAACCGGACUUAACCAAGUUUUUCAUGAUUAGUGUAUUUUUAAUUGUCUUUACUUGCAAGCAAAGAAAGAAAAAGAACCUGAGAGAACGCAUUGAAGACUGUCUAGAAAAUUUCCUAAGGCGAGAAUUGGCAUCAUCGAGGCUACGUAGCUGACUACUUCUAGUUCACUACUAUAAGCUAAUCCCCAUAUAUUCCUUAUCAAUAUCAAGACUGAUCCGAUCACUAUACUUUCUGCUACUGCAAUGCAAAUGACCACACGCACCGCAAGCUUAGCCACUUUCGGGUUACCCGCUCCUAAUUCAUUUGAGAUCCUCGUGCUGCACCAAUAUUAAAGGAAAGUCAAUGGUCUAUCAUGAUUUUGAUGUAAGGUUACAUGAUUCAAGUUAUAUAAGUUUACCUUGCAGCGCCACUUAGACCAAAUGGGAUCAUCCACAUUGUUCCUGAUGUAUUAAGGCUGCAAAUAAUUUCUGACUAAACUCAAGAACAUGAUAAAGAAAAUACACAAUUAUUCAUAUGCAUUGUUCUAACCAGAUUGAGAGAACAGAAGUUUCUAGAACCGGGUUUGGAAGAAGUCCUGAUAAGAGAACUAAAAGUUCAAAGGACCACAUCUCUAAGCUGCACUCAAACAACAUUACAUAAGAAAUCAAGAUAGCUAAUUAAGAGAUCCAUGUAUUUGUAACAUUGAUUCAUAUAUAUGUAUUACCAGACCAUAAGUGCAGAAGGAACAGCUAGUCUCAGAAAAGGGAGGAUAUCGCGUAGAGCCUCCUUAGAGAAACCGGUCCAAGUUAGUGAGCAAGAAGGCGAAAACUUGACGUAACAGAACAAGAGAACGACAUUAAGCCAAUACGAAAUGGAGUUGGCAAGAGCAGCUCCUUGAAACCCUAAACCAGAUUUGAAAACCAAGACCCAACAAAGGAGGACAUGUAGAGAAGUUGUUACUCCAGAGCAGAAAACCACAGGAAACACAUUGUUUUGGGCCUGCAAGAACCUGUUAAAGCAUUGAAGAAGACCGUAGGCGAAGAUGCUUGGGAUCAUGAAUUUUGCGUAGGAGCCAGCGAGUGUAGCAAUGGAUUUGUUUUGUCCAAAGAAGACGAGAAGGUGCUCUGUGUUAGCCCAAAUGAUGGAGAGAGGAAUAGAAGCUAGUGUAAGAACAAACAUAGCUCUUUGCAUUUGUAUUCCUAACAUUCCGUACUUCUUUGCUCCGUACGCUUGGCCACAAAGCGUAUCUAACGCACUUGCUGUUCCCAUCUGUUCAUGAGGAAAAUGGAAAAGUGAAUCAGUGUAGUUUCUUGCUUCACAAGUAAAAACGUACAACCCAAUUUUUAAAACUUUCAAUUGAAUAUUAAAAUUUGGAUUUGUUGACAUCGUUCAAUGUUCGACAAGUGGUUUUCAAGUUCAAAUAAGAGCCAUAAGCAACUGCUUAAAGCAUUCAUUUUUGUUUAUACAAGAAAAACAUUUUGAUUUUGUUAUUUUGGCGUUUUCACUUCUCGAUCUGUCCAUAAAAUGGCAAAAAUGUAUUUUGUUUUCUUGUCGCAUGAGUGGCAGAAAAGAUGCUUACGCAACUUGGAUAUUCAAAUAAGGUGGCCUGAUAACUGAUAAAGUGAUAUGUCCAUCAUAGGUGAGGUGAAUAAUAUAUAUUUCUUUCUAAUGAUAUAUAAUUACUAAUACAUCUCUUUUUAGAGAUAAACUAAUUAAAGAUUUAAAGCACUAUAUAUUACUUGCACACAAAAAAAAAAACUCUACAUAUUAAAAAAAUCCAAAGGUUUGCAUAUAUGUAUAGGAAAAAAAUCAAAAAAAAUGAUAUUAAUUACCAAAUCAAGUUUCACAUUCAGACAUUUAUUCCUAAUAUCCUAAAUUUGGAAGAUUUUUUUUUGGUAAAUUAAAUUAAAGAUUAAGAUACAUGGUUAAGAAUAAAUUGAUAUGGGAAUAUGUAAUUUGUAGAAAGACAGAGAGAGUGAGGAAAAACUGACGAGGAAGCUGAAACCGGUGACGGAGGCGAAAGAGGUGGCGAUGGAUGCGGCGGAGAGAGGAAGAGAGCCAAGAUGGCCAACGAACAUGACGGAGAUAACUUGUAGACAAAACUGAAGAAGACUCACGGCGAUGAGUGGGCCUGAAAGCCAUAGCUGCUUCUUCACUUCUUCCUUGACACUACUUUUCUCUCCGAUCAAAGGCCAUGACAAAUCACCCUCUCCUCUUUCUCUGUCGUCCCUCAUUUUUUUUUGAGAAAUAGCAAAGCUAUGACAAAGUAUCUUCCUAUCUUUAAGGGCUUUGUGUUUGGUCCGGUCUCUCUCUUCUCUCUCGCUUUGUCCCUAUUGAUGUGUGAUUUGUGGUGUGUAGGGAUUAGUACUUUUUUAUUUUGUCAACUUUAUAAAUAGAGUGAAUCAUUACUUGGCUAAUAAUGAAAAAUCAAAUGGAUUUUAUUCCUUUUAAAAUAUUUAUUGGCAGUCGCAUACAAGAGCGGGUUGAAUCCAGAAAACAUUGGCAAAUCUAUUAUUAAUAAAAUUUAAAAAUAUAGGAAUUUGAUAAAAUUUCGUUUUAUUCGGUUCGGUUUUCUUUGUAACACUAAAAUUGCAAAAAAAAACUAUCAUUUCAAUUUUAUAAAAAAAAUUUCAGGUUUGUGUUCUAUAACUUCAAAGGUAAAAUCUAAAAUUGUCGAAGUUGGUAUGUAGUAUUCAAUUCCCUCAUAAAUUUGUAUUUUUCUUCCAGAUUCUCGAUGGGCCCGGCAAUGGUAAAAUGUUAUGCAUCAAAGAAACAAUGUGUCCAAUAUGUUCAAAGAAGUUAGAAUAUGUUCCCAUAUAGAUGUGGUUUUGCACCAAAUGGUAAGAGAAUAUACAUUCUUCAUUUAAACACAAGCGUAGACGUUGUUGAAACUCUAGGCAUAGACUUUAAGACCGUUUCUAUCACCUCUCUCUCUUCAAGAUGGAAGGUUGAUAUCUCUCUCUUCAAGAUUGAAGAUUGAAAAUGUUCCCAUAUAGAUGUGACUGUCACUUUCUUUAAACACUUUGCAUUAGCAAAAAUGUAUCUUAUGAGCUGUGUCUCUUCUUCGUUUCCUCUAUAUCCAUGCCACACAAACUCCUCAUCUAAAUGAGCCGACAAGCAUCUGGGAACAGUACCUUGGUUGGUACCAUGACAAUGGGAGAUUUCCGGGUCGAUAUCCACUUACCUGGAUGCAAGUACAUAAAAAUCUAUGAGGUGGAAUCAAAGAAUCAGUUUAUACAACAAGGAGAUUGCGUUGUUACUUGUUACUUACAGAAGUGAUAGCAAGAAAUCUUAGUUUAGGAGAGUUGUUGAGAAUUAGUGGAAUUAUAUCCAACCAGAGAUGGCCAUGUGGACAUAUCACUAAUUUUCCAAGUCGAGUGAAGGUAAAGCCACGAAAAUCCAGAGCCUUCAAUGACUAAAUCAAAAGCCAAUAUAAAUCAAUGUGAUCAAACCUAACAGCCAAGAAGAAAAAAAACAAUAAUAAUAAAAAGGAUAGAUACCAUUGGAUCUUCCAAAGGUAACACAAGAUACGUGACCAAGGAAAUAGCUUUGAGAAACUUGUCAUCAGUAUGACAUACAACGUCGAUAUGUGGCUUUUCAAGGCGAAGCUUAUGCACCUUCGCGAAACGGUAGUCCCGGUUAUCACUGAUGGCGAGGCCCACUUUCGAUCGGGCAAGAACUGAGCAACUUGAUAUAAGCCUCUCUAGAGAAUUUUCAUCUUUGAACACCACAUAAAAAAGGCGUAAUAUGUUGAGUGACGGGAGGCAAACCGAAGAAGGAACAUCCACUAUAAUCUUGUCCGAAAGAGUCAAUUCCACAAGUGUUUUGCAUGUGUAAAGACUCUUAGGCAAGCUGGUAGGCUCUGCCGUCCAGUGGAGCUCUAACUCUAGCUUGCGCACAAAGCGAUCAACUGCAUUUGCAACUAAUUUCCCAACAUCUACCUCAAUAGAAAAUUUUUACCGAGUUGGAUGCACAAAGUUUCUAGAAAAGGUGCCUUGUGAAGUUCCAAUAACUUUUCAAGAAACUUCCACACGCUUUCGCAUUCAUCACCAGGAUCACUGUACUCGAGUUUAGGCAACAACGUCCAGACAUAACGCCAUCGUUUUGACAAUAUCAUUGUCCCAACUGCAUCUUUGAUCGGUACAAGCAACAAAAUCUGGAUAAGCAAAUCGUCGGGCAACGAACUGAUCUCGUCUCUAGAAGCAACAACCUCUUCAUCAAUUCUUUGACAACGUUCGGCCAUUAGUGAUGUAAUAGCUAGCUGAGUUUGUGAUAAAGAUUUCAAAUAUAGGUAAGCAGAGACGAGGAGGAGCAAGUCGAACCCUAAAAACUUUAGAUGAUCGAGAACCUUAGAUAUAUUCGUAAUUUCUCUAUGAGAAAUUGAGAAUAAGUGAAUAACUAACUCUUCUUGUCUCACAAAAAUAAAACCCUAACUUAUCUUUUCCGUGAGACAUAAACAAACCCACUUUGGGCCAAUAAAAUCGGCCCAUUAUUAUCUUGACCCAAUCCGGAUCAAACCCAACUCCAUACUUUGGAGUUUGGACCCAUCGUUACCAAUGUAGUAGACUAAUGUAGUUAAGAUAUAUAUAAUAGAAGGGCCUAUUUAUAAAAUACAAGAAAUGUUACCAAAGCAUAAACCCUAAAAGCCCUAAAAUCUUAAUAUAUAAACCAACUCACAGAGACUCUAAAAUCAGCCACCACCGCACAUCUCUCUCCUUUGCCCUCGUUUUUUUUCGGUUCUCGUCUUUCGUUCUUCACUUUUAGACAAGCAAAUAUGAGACCCCCAGUUACAGGUAAGAACCUUAGUUAAAGUUUAUGUCUUUCUUGUUCUGUCUGCCUCUAGAGUAUAACCCUGUCCGUAUCAAAUCUGAAUUCGUAUCAUUACGGUUUCUGUAGUUUGAAUUGGUAGUUAGGGUUUUAAUUCAUGAGCCUUUUGUAUCUUCACUGUUUCAAUAAAGUUCAAAGAUAAAAGUAGAGAUUUUUAAUAACACUCUGUUCUUCCGUUUAGUUAAUUUUCUGUAUGUUGGUAUUGUUAUAAUCAGGAGGACGUGGUGGUGGAGGAUUCAGAGGUGGAAGAGAUGGUGGUGGAAGAGGUUUUGGAGGUGGAAGAAGCUUUGGAGGAGGCCGUAGUGGUGACAGAGGCCGUAGUGGGCCUCGCGGCAGAGGACGUGGUGCGCCUCGUGGUCGUGGAGGACCACCUCGUGGAGGAAUGAAAGGAGGAAGCAAAGUGAUUGUUGAGCCUCACAGACAUGCGGGAGUGUUUAUUGCUAAGGGUAAAGAAGAUGCUCUUGUCACUAAGAAUUUGGUUCCUGGUGAAGCUGUUUACAAUGAGAAGAGAAUCUCUGUUCAGGUAUGAAGUUUGAGGAUUGUUUUCUUUAUAAUUAAAUUGAGUUUGUUUUUGUUCUUAUAUUAUAGCUACUUCACUUUUGCAGAAUGAAGAUGGAACUAAGGUUGAAUACAGAGUUUGGAAUCCGUUUAGAUCUAAGUUAGCUGCUGCAAUUCUUGGUGGUGUCGACAACAUUUGGAUCGUAAGUCCAUCUAUACACAUACCACAUUGACUCUGUUUUCUUUUUUUGUAUUGAAAGACAUGUGCUUGAAUUGGUUCUUUGUUAAAACUUUUGUAGAAACCUGGUGCCAAAGUUCUUUACUUGGGUGCUGCUUCUGGGACCACUGUCUCUCAUGUUUCUGACCUCGUUGGCCCUGUAAGUCUUUCACUAAAUUAUUAUUUUAGUUAUCCGUAGGUCCAUUUCUAUCCUAUGUUUGAGACUUAUCUUUGUUCUAUUGCUUUAUGAUUUGUAGGAGGGAUGUGUUUAUGCUGUUGAGUUUUCUCAUAGAAGUGGUAGAGAUUUGGUGAACAUGGCCAAGAAGAGAACUAACGUUAUUCCAAUCAUUGAAGAUGCUAGACAUCCGGCUAAGUACAGAAUGCUCGUGGGCAUGGUUGAUGUCAUAUUCUCUGAUGUUGCUCAGCCAGAUCAGGUUUGGUUCUAUAUUUCUUACUAUGAAAGUUUGAAGUUACCCUUUCUACAGUUUUAUUCACAAAGGUUACGUCAUAUUGCAUUGCAUCUUUUGCUUUUAAAAUAUCAGUUCAUUGAAAUCGGCAUAUGAUGACAUUUCAUUUACUAUGAAAUGUUUGAAGCCUUUUUAUUUUACAGUUAUAUCUUCAAAGUUUUUUUUUAUUGCAUUGCAUCUUUUGCUUUUAAAAAAAUCAGUACAAUGAAAUCGGCAGAUGAUGAUUUUACUUGGAUUCCCCUUCAGAACAUUUAUGGGUGUUGCAAACUCCAAGCUUCUGAUGCUACUUUGUAUCUUUUUACUAAAAUUUUUUACUUUGAACAUGCAAAUCUGUUUUAAUCUCAAAGUUUUUAUUUGUCUUCAUUUGGUAUAUCUUAUCGAUUUGGAAGAAGUCUUUUCGGUUUCUUCUGGUUUUCAACAAUUGCAUUUUCAAGUCAUUUAGAAGUUUUACUUUAUUACUAAACUUGGAGACUCAAUUGUUGUAGCAAUAUUGCUGAGCUAGCAGAGAUUGCUCCAAGAAAUCUGCAAUGAUUCCAUAAAUGUUUCUAUGUUUAUGUUAAUGUCUCUCUUUAUUCUCAUUUUGGUUCUCUGUUUAUGUUUUAUUUAAUUGAAUCCAUCUAUUUGCCUAACUCUUGAAGGCAAGAAUCUUGGCCCUGAAUGCCUCAUUUUUCCUCAAAACUGGUGGACACUUUGUUAUCUCAAUCAAGGUCAGUGCUCUUAUCCUUAAUCAAAUUCAACAAUGUUCUCCUCUGUUAUUAUUCAAUUUGUAUUUCCGUCGCUAAAUAAACAUGUCUCAUCUGUUCAGGCCAACUGUAUCGACUCUACAGUUGCAGCAGAAGCAGUCUUCCAGAGCGAGGUGAAGAAGCUGCAACAAGAGCAGUUUAAGCCAGCAGAACAGGUGACUCUCGAGCCGUUUGAGCGUGACCAUGCCUGUGUUGUUGGUGGUUACCGCAUGCCGAAGAAACAAAAGACCCCAGCCUCAUAGAGGAACUGUGGACAGUAGUGCCUGUGUAUUAAGACUUAUUUACUGGGUUUUGUUUUUAUCUCCUUGCUUGUUGUAUUAAGCUAGAGAUGGAUAAUGCUUUUAUGUCUCAUUUGGAAAAUUUUAUCCUCGUUUUAGAACUAAUAUAUAUUGAUGCAACAUUUUCGUCCAAUGAUUGUAUCUCCAUCAGUCUUUUCUAUGCUUGUUUUUGCUUGGCUAUAAGAACUACUGUCCAUUUUAAUCCUACUUGUUUCUGCAUGCUGAAUUGAUUGUUGAAGUAGUUUGUUUUGAACAUGAUUAUGCUCAAGAAAAGGCGUAAAAGUAUCACUUAGCUCUGAAAGGAACUCAUUUUUUUUUGGUUAAUAAAAUUUUAAACACAAACAAACCGACUAAGUGUUAUUGACAUAAGUCUCAAUACAGUUUCAAGUAAUAUUCGGCUUCUUCCACUAUUGGAUCAAAGUUAUAGGCGCCUUCUUCCAUCGGUAGCGCAUUUUUAAGUAUUGCCAAUUGGCGUGACCAAUGAAAAUAGUAAGUUUCAAAAGAAAACGGGUAAUCAGCAGAGGUAGAAUCAUUGUGGCGUCUCAAAUCUUUAAUUUUCUCAAAACAACGCUUCUCUAGAUUCCCGACAAGGUUGAUACAUUGGCGUAAAUCGAGGUGUUCCAGGUGAGGACAACCGUCAAGAAUGGCGUUUAAGCCUGUUUUGGUUAGUUUGUUCCCACAAAGCUGGAGAUGGCGUAGUUUAGGCAUGCUUUCUGCAAUUGCUAUGGCAUCAUGAUCAUCAUCAUCCGAACUUAAGUAAAAGAGGCGGUUUAGCAUCAAUGUCUUCAGAUUUGGACAAGACAGCCCUGCAAGUUUCAUAGACUCUCCUGACAAUGAUAUUCCUGAAACCUCAAGCUCUUCAAGCAUUGGAAGUUUCACAACUGCUUGAACAAAUCCAUCGUCUGUUAUUUCUGAGCACAUUAGUCUAAGGCUUCUAAGAUUACUUGACCUACAAGUAAUGGUGUGUAAAAAGUUAUAAAUCAUAAUCUUGAGAUAUCUGUUUUUAACAGACACUUGAAGACUUACAUGAAAAGUAAUCAAAAGUCAAAACUAGAAUUAGAGGAGAACCUCUCCGCGAUGUAUGUAAGGAGAGAAUCACUCCCGAAGUCCCCAAUGUUGAUCUCCAGCAAGCCACCCUCGCUACGAUCAACGGCGUUACGACAUAUCGCCUCAGGAUUGUUCACCAGUACUGGUUUGUUGUAACUCAAGAUUCGCAUGUCGAUUUUACGCCAUAUGGAUGGGUCUUUACAAACAUAUCGUCACGAUCUACACACUUUCUGAGCGUUCUCCAGUAUCUCAGUCACGCUAAGACGUAGCAGAAUCAAACACAUCAAAUCCGUCGGAAGAUCCGCCCAGUUUUUUGGCUCUUCGUUUUUCAUCAGUGAAGACAGCGGAUCCAUUUCUGAUGAGGAUCAAAAUGUCAAAUCUGUGAAAUAUAUAUAUCAGAAAGUCAUUUAGUUUUAGGCCUUCUUUGAUUAUUUGUAGAUUCUAAGUAGUUUUUGGUUUUAGUUUUAGGCCUUGAAUGGUAGUAGAUUCUAAAAUGGUUUCUAGUUUGCAUAAAAAAGUUUCCUGAAAAGCUAAGAAAUCUAAAUUUUUAAUUUUUUAUUAAUUAAUGAAAAGCAAAAAAAAAAAAUCUAUUUAUGCAAACUAGACACCAUUUUAGAAUUUACAAUCAUUCAAGGCCUUAAUUGUUUAUUAACUAAUGAAAAAAAAAUCAAUUUUAUGAGUUUUUUGUCCAACUUCGUGUGAUUUUUUUUCCUCUUCUUGUUUUGUUUAAACUAAUGAUUGUUUUGGACUUUAAAGUCAGAAGGCAUCUCUGAUUACUUGAUCUGCAAUAUAAAGUUAUAACAAUAAGAUGCAAAAUUUUACAAUCUAGUCCUUAUGGCACUAAGUUUACGAAAACAAUUCAUGUCUAAUAAGCCCAUUACCUGAAUUAAUUAUUGGGCCUUAAGCUCCUAAUAUUCUGACCUUUUGUAUUUCAAAAUCAUGUAUUCCUUGCAUAACAAGAAAUCUGAUGGUGGUGAUUCGAUAAAAAGAGUUCGAUAGGAUCUGAAAUCUUCCUACAAGAAGUAAACUGUUUAACAGAAUUUGUUAAAUGUAAUAAAUAAAAACUUUUCCAUAUUUAUCGGAAAAAUAAAUGGAACCUUUCCAGCUUUCCUAUACCAACUCCAAAUUCCAAUAGAUAAACAUUCUUAAACCCUAGCAGGGGCUCGAUAAAAACUAAAAAAUAAAAAAACCAAACACGAAAGCUGCAAACAUCGAUUAACAUCAACCUUCUCUUUGUUGCUUUCGCUCUCGCUCUAUAGCAAAGAUGAAACCUCCCCAAAGAGGUUAGAACCCUAGCAGCCGUUUUGUUUUACUACUUGUUUAAUUUCUCUGUUCGACCUAUAGUAUAGGGUUGAGGGUUGUUAACUCCAAAUUCGUUUUGUCACAAUAUAUCUACCUGAAUUGCUUGUUACGUAAACUGUUUUGAGUCUUCACUUCUUCAAUCCAAGUUUAAUAGGAGAUUUAAUAAUACUCUCUUCUGAUUAGUUAAUUUCGGUUUUAUCUGUAUGAUUAUGCUCAGGACGUGGUGGUGGUGUUAGAGGUGGAAGAGGUUUAGCCAGAGGCGGUGAAGGAAGUGCCGUAAGAGGCAGUGGAAGAGGCGGCGAAAGUGGCCGUGGAAGAGGGCCUGGAAGAGUUAAAAGUGAAUCGGACGGUGGAAUUAAGGGAGGAAGCAAAGUGUUAGUGACACCACACAGGCACGCAGGAGUGUUUGUUGCCAAAAGUAAAGCAGAUGCUCUUGUAACCAAGAACUUAGUUCCUGGUGAAAUCAUUUACAAUGAGAAGAGAAUCUUUGUUCAGAACGAAGACCGAUCUACUGUUGAAUACAGAGUUUGGAACCCUCAUAGAUCUAAGUUAGCUGAUGCUAUUACCACUGGUGUUGAUAACAUUUGGAUCGUAAGUCCCAUAACUUAAAGUAACAAUCUCUUUUAUUCUUCUGUUACCGAAACUAAUGAAUACUUGUUUCUUGAAAUUGUAGAAACCUGGUGUUAAAGUUCUGUACCUUGGUGCUUCUUCUGGAUACACCGUGUCUCAUGUCUCUGACAUUGUUGGUCCAGUAAGUGAACACUAAACCUUAAACCCUAACUUUUAAGAUUGAGUGAGUGUUUUCUCUCUAUGUUACUUAUAUCUAGCUUUUCUGAUUGGUAGGAGGGAUGUGUUUACGCUGUUGAGCAUUCUGAUAUUUGUGGUAAAGUUUUGAUGAACAUGGCGGAGAAGAGAACUAAUGUUAUACCAAUCAUUGAAGAUGCUAGACAUCCUGCUAAAUAUAGAAUGCUUGUGGGAAUGGUUGAUAUCAUAUUCUCUGAUGUUAAUCACCCUGAGCAAGCUAACAUAUUAAGUCUCAAUGCUUCUUAUUUCCUCAAAUCUGGAGGGCACUUUAUGAUCUCUAUAAAGGUUUGUAACAAAACUUUUUUGACCAUUGAUUCAAAUCAAAAUCAUUCUCUUUUUAGUGUGCAUUGUUUGGUUAACUCUAAGUUACUUGUUUCAGGCGAAUUCUAUAGACUCAACAAUUGCAGCAGAAACUGUGUAUCAGAUGGAAGUGGAGAAGUUACAAAUGGAAGAGUUGAGACCAACAGAGAUAUUGCAUCUUGACUCUUGUGAGGAAAAGCAUGCUUGUGUUUUUGGUGGAUAUCGCUUGCCUAGGAAGUAAAAAGCUGAUACUGCUAUCUAAUUAGGAAGCUGAUACUCUUUACUUAGUUUGUGAUUGUUAAAAUUCAUACACAUUCAUGAGGCUUUAAAAUUAUUAUUUUUCUCUGAUUCUCACUGUGAUUUGUCUUCUAACUAGUAUGAGUUUUAAGAAGUUGAGUUUUGCAAAAACAAAAGGUAGAAUACACAUACAUUUUGAGUUGAAUUCUAGUAUUUAUAUUUUGGUUUGUUUUAUCGAACGUGGAACUAACACAACGUUACAUUGAAGAAUCAUUCAUUGUGAUUUGAGAUUUUCAAUGUGAUUUUAAAAGUUUGUUAUCGAUAAUAUGAUUUUGUGGAAGUGUAAUUUCAAAUUUGUAGACAGAAAGUGAAACUCUGCUUGUUCAUCAAUUUAUGUUUCCUUAGACAUAAUUGAUAAAUACAUUGUUUUGUGUUUAUGACAAAGAGAAGACGAUAAUUAGCUGAAAAUAAUCACAUUAUUCAAAUAUGUUCCAAAGAAUAAAAUUUUUGCACUAUUUGCUAUUUUCAGUUCUGCCUUCUAAUAGAUUAAACUUUCGUAAUGAACUUCAUCCUUGAAAAUUUAAGAGUAAAUUUGAAAUUGGUCAUCAGGUCAUGUAUUAAAGGGAAAAAUAACAAAAUAAAAAUGUCAGAAGUGGGAUUUGAACCCACGCCCUCUUACGAGGACCAGAACUUGAGUCUGGCGCCUUAGACCACUCGGCCACCCUGACUUUUUGUUUGUAUAACUACACUAAACUUAAUUGACAUAGAUUAAACGGAUACUAAUGCAAAAUAUGAAAAUAGGCGCAAUAUCAAUGUCUGCUUGAGCUAUAUCAUAUUAUCAUUGAAAAUAGACCAAUUGGCUGUAACAUUGAAAAUAAAAGAAAUAAGAUGGCUGGACACGUGGAAAACAAAUUGCAAAAGAAAAUGAUUGAAGGAAAUGUGUGGAUUUUCGUGUGUCGAUGGUAAGCUUCUAUCAACUUCAUUUAUAACCUUUUUCUUAUAUGGGUUAACAAUAACACAAGUAACAUGUUCACCAAUUAUUUGUUCUACAAAAAAAAACUAACAAUUUGGUAAGUUUAGAAAGAGAACCAGAACUAACCAUAAUCAAUUCUAAAGCUAUACCGUUUAAACUGACUAGUCUCUCUUCUCUUUUGAUGUCUCAUUCUGCAAAAUUUUCAUUAGGAGAAACAUUCAGUUUUUAGACUAUUAGUACACAUCAUAUACAAUCUAUCUACAUUUUGUAAAACUCAAAUGUGUUAAUUAAUCAGAUCUAACUACAUUUGUAAAUUAUUUAUGCUCUUUAUACAUUUUCAAAAUGUAAAGAUCCACAACAAGAGGAAUGGGUUUGUUCUUAGUCCUAUUCCCCGACCACAACAACAACGACUCUUCUUCUUAUUAUUCUCCGGCAAAAACUACCUUCCGCUCCAAAUUAUCCUCUCGUCUUCUCCUCUCCAAGGCUGAAUCCACAAUCUCAAGCUGCAUCAUCCUCCUCUUCCUCACUCUCUUCCUCUUCACUCUCUCUACAUUCGAAGAACCUUCCUCUCGUUUUCCCGCCAUUUCUUCUCCUCACUGGCGAUUUCUCCUCAACCGCAACAUCAUCUCUCGUCGUUUCGCUCUACAAGGAAUGGGUACUCUGUUUCUAAGAGGAACCAAGAGCAUGCACGAUUUAAUCAUUGCUCAUAUCGCUUCCGUUACAACGGAGAACGAUCUCCGUCUCUUUAUACGGUUGCUUCACCGCUCCGGAGUUACUUCAAAAUCCGACGUCGUUUUACUCUUCAAUUCACCUUCAUCCACUACAAGAUUCACCGAGUUGAUCGAACAAGAGAACAACUCGUUCUUAAAGCUCGUUCAUGUUCAUCGGAAUGAUUCGAUGACAUCAUCAUCAUCAUCAUCUGAGCAUGUUAUUUGGGGGAAGAAGAGUCGUCAUCGAGCUAAUUAUAACUCGAACGAGCUGACUCAUGGCUCGAUAGUUGGUUUCGACGUAACUGAGUUGGAUCCUGAAAACUCUUUAUCCGGGUUUAUGGAUCAAGUUCCGUUAAGCUUGAGGAGAUGGGCUUGUUACCCAAUGCUUCUUGGUCGAGUACGACGCAGUUUCAAACACGUUAUGCUUGUUGACGCUAAAACUUCAUUUUUCAUCGGUGACCCGUUUACCCGGAUUCGUAACCGGAGCCCCGACUCAGUCCUCUUCUUCUUCUCAAAACACAAGAACGCCUCCGAGGUUAAUCCGGAGAUUUUGAUCGGUGGAGCUAAAGGAAUCAGGAGAUUGUCGAGCUCCAUGCAUACUGAGAUUGUGAGAGCGACGAUGAUGAAGAAGAACUCGGUUACGGAAGUAACGGAAUCGGUUGUGUUGAGUCAACUCGUCGGGAAUGUUCAUAUGACGAAGAACUUUCAAGUGGUUUUAAGUGAGUCAGUGGUGCCGGAAGCGAAUUAGUUAUUAUGAAACGUAUUUGUUCAUGUUUAUACUGUUAUUAUGGCGAUAAUUAUGAAACGUAUUUGUUCAUGUGAAUUGGAUUCUUCUGUCUACGAUAAUUAAUGUUGGCAAUAUUUUUUUAAAAAAUUACAAAAAAUAUAUAAAAUUUUUGUAUUCAUUUGACAUUUGUUAGGUUCUUGUUUUUUUUUUUUUUUGACUUAAAAAUCUAUCUAUUCCACUUACAAAAAGAACAAUGAUAUUGUUGUAUUUCUCUAAUUAUCAUAUCAUUUAGCCGUUAUCGUUGUUAAAUAAUUUUCUUUCGUGUAAUGAAAUAAUAACUUUCAACUUCAAAGUCCAAACUAUCUACGUUUAUGGAACAAAAGGUUAUCGCCAUGUGUGUUUUGCUCUUAAUUUUCGGUGAUAUAUAGGCCAAAAAUCUACAUACUUUAAUUGUUGCUCGCAUAAUGAUAUAUUUGUCUACAUAUCUUUACCAACCAAUAUUAACUUAACAUGCAUGAAGAAGAUUACGAUAUACACAAAAUACAACUAAAUAAAGCUGGAACUUCUUAAUAACAGAAAAAGUAAUGGUUGGAACUCCGUAUUUGUGUUAACAACCCCUUAUUAUAUAUGGUGGAGAAGAAUCGAGUUAGGCAAGGCAUAAGUAGGACACGUGCUGAUCAACUAUGCUAAUUUUUUUCACAAAAACCAUUAAGAAAAAUAAAACUAAAGUGGUCAAGAUUUAAAAUAGAAAUUUAAGGUGGAAAGUAUUAUUGGUGAUAUAGUUGCUAAGCGAAUAUUUUACUCAUUAGGUUUUUGCCUUCACGCAACCUACCAAGAAAUGUCAAAAAAAAAAUCUGUGGUUUUAUUUAUGCUAAGCUGUGAUUUUACAUCAUUAACGACCAAUCCGUAUGUAAAUCUAUCAUUGCGGACAAGAGUUUAAUGUAAAUAUGCAAAACAGAAUUUGCAUUAUUUAAUGGACUCGAAGCUGACGAAUUCUCUUCUUCCUUUUGUCGUCUCCAAUUUUCAUGAUGUUCCCUAGCUAUUUUCAACAUAACACGCACAAAAUUAAUGUUUUACUGUUUCAACUCAACGAAAUUAAAGCGUUGUUAAGAAAGAUGUACAUGUUGAAACGUUUGAAUUAAGGAAAGCUAAAAGGUUAACGACCAAUUAGAAAUCGAUUUUAAAUAUUAUUUCAGUUUUCUUAAUAUAUAUUUAAUGUUUUAGGAGAAAAGAUCAUCUUCUCUUUCCAACAACUAUGUAAUAGUAUAAGAAUAUAUUCAAUUUACAUAUGUCAAUAAAUUACAUGUUCCUUAGCUGUCAAUAAAUUUUUAGUUUUCACACAUAUUAAAAACAUACUAAAAGUUGAUUAUAAAUGUAUUGUUUUUUUGGUGAUAUUUUCUAUUAAUUAUAAACCAAAACUAUUUAAGUAUUUUUUCUUGAAGUUUACAACUCAUUUUAUGGUUUGUAUGUUUAAGACAACUUUUUCCUAGAAUAUACAUUAUUUUGAAACAGAGGUAAUGUUUUUUACCAAAAUUUUAUUUUGUAUAUUAUUUCAUUAUUUCAUUAGUUUUUUUGAUAUUUUAUUUACACCAUAUCAUGUUUCAUAACUAAUAAAUACAAUAAAAUUACGCCUUACUCGAAAUUCAAUAUCCCGUAGAAUAUUAUCAGCCGGAUCACAUUAUGAAUUAUAUGUUGAAAAAUAUAAGGAUCAACAAUAUCAUAUUUGCAUUUAUGUUUCUAGAUUUAAUAUUUGUUUGAAAGACCUAAAUAAAUCUAUAAGAAAUUGAUUGAAAUGUUCAAAUCAAUAGCAUCUCGAGACUAUGUUAAAUAUACGUCAAAAUAUAUAUAUCCAAUUAAGUACAUCAAUUAAUUACAUCUUGAGACAUAUAAGUUUGUGGUUCAAACCUUUUCUUAGAAAGUGCAUGAACAAACCUAUAACUCUUUUAGUCCCCCUGUGCCCAUAAUUUCUAUUUUCAAUUGUUUCUAAAUAUUUGCUUUGAAUAUUAAUUAAGUAGCUUUUGGAUUUUCGAUAGGGCCAACAAGUUGUUAAAAGUGGCAAUUUGCUUCUACAAGUUUGGGGGUCCCCUUCGUUCUCAUAGGCAAUUUGAAACCUAUUUUUAUUUUAUUUUAUUUUUGUAAUCCAUUUUCUUCUGUGUUAUACAUAUUUUAAAUACGUUGGCAAAGUUAUGGAAGGUAGGGCUAUUAUAAAAUAAAAUAACCAAUUAUUGUUUGAAGAAGAACGAAAAAAAUGAGAGCUUUAUAAAAUUCGAGAUAGCUUAGUAUAUGAGUAUUAUACUAUAGUGCCGGCGAUCCUUUUUUUCUUUCUUAAAGGUCAACCUGAUUAUGACCAUAAGAACAUAAUUUUCGUGCUGAUGGCUUUGAAAAUGAAUUCUUGCAACUCGAAUAAGAUAAAAUCCAUGCAAUAAAAGUGACGAAUAUAAACACAAUUUAAUAGUUUUUCGUUAUCAAGAAAAUUAAUACGGUUUUCCAAAUAAAACACGUUCGCUUUUAGUAGCCUGUUUUGAAUUGGGAUUAAUUAGUUUUUUUUUUUUUUGUAUAGAACUACAAUUUAACCUUUCGCAAAAAAAAAAACUACAAUUUAAAAGUUGCAUGGUGACAGUGUUUUAUGUUUUAUCGGAAGAGGUAAAAAAGAAGGGUACGAACGGAAACAUCGCACUUGCAUGUGAAAAUCUGAUGCUACUUUGUAACCCAAGUGGCAUGUUUUUGUUAUUUUCUCCUAUUUUCUAGGGCUUUAUUUUAAGUUCAAUGGAUACGCCAAAAUUGAGUUCUUCUUCUUUUUUUUUUGUCACGGAAAUUUCCUAAACCAUAUAUAUUACAUUAGUAAGUGGAGAUAGAUUAAAUGUUAAGUUGUGCAAAGGAAAGAAAAGAUUAACUUUCUUUAUUUCAUAAAUAGAAUUGAAUAAGAAUUAUUUUUCUAAGAUAUGGAAAGUUGGAAACAUUGAAGUUUUAAAUCAAUGAAUUUGAAGAAGAAUAAGUAUUAAAGUAUCUUGUUUGUUGAAUUUAUUAUUUUGUGUUGUGUUUUAUAUUGUAGAAUUAAUUUAAUGAUAAUUUUAAUCAUCUAAAUCGAAUAAAAUUAUCAAAAUUAUUAUAAUUAUGUCGAAAAUAUAUGUUAUCAUAAAUUUAGGCUAUGAAUAGUGACAUGCGAAUAUGCAUUGGAGUGUGGUUUAUCUACAUUAUCCGCAUUUUGUAAUUAUUCUGUACUUUUUAUUUAUUUGUGAAGCGGUAUUCAACGGUGAUGUGCGGUUCAAUUAUAAUCAACUGCCAUUUUUUAAAAACUAUUGUAUGAAUUGUUUUUUUCAAUGAAUACAACUUUGUUUGGAGGAAAAAUCAAUCAUCCAAAAUGAUAAGUAAAAAAUAUUCAUUAUAAUCGUCAUUUAACUUUUGUUUUGUUCGAUCUGCUGACGCAAUUUUCACAUUUAAUUCACUUGAUCUAUUUGACCUCGUGUUUUGACCGUCUAUUCUGUUGUCUCAUUCGAGUUUUUUCGAUGAUCAAAUUUUUUUUCAAUUUUGAUGAGACUAUAAGAAAAUAAUCUAAAGUCAUAAGUUUAUUCAAAAAAUUAACAAUCAAGAACAUAAAUUACAAACUCACAGUUGUUUACAGUAAUGUUUUGAAGAAAACGGAUAUUUCAGGACAUACGUAAUAUUCCUCAAAACUUAUCUAUUUUUUAAUGAGAUCAAAAAUGUAAAUUUCAUGAAUUUUAAAUACUGUACAGAGUAUUUGUUACCGUAAUUGUGACUAUAGAGUUACUCGAAUGUAAUUUACAGUUGUCGAUUUUAUUAAUUUCUUUCAUAAUGGUUACUAAAUAAUUUAAUAACUCGAAUUCAAUUACGGUAACAUAAAUAUUCGAGAACUUACCCAAGUUAACAAAUUAAGGAAAGCAAAGAAAAUUAUGCAAGUAAGUGACCGACACGUGGCCUAUGAUCCUAGUGAGAUUAGCCGGUAAUCUUGUGAAGUAAAAUUACACAAAAAGAGUUAAAAAAGAAAGGAAACAAAGGGCAUCCACAAGCCCAAGCACUGAAAAUAUUUGGAAAAGACCAAACUCAAACUCAGUUACAUACAUACACCACACAGAGUUUAUAACGUAACAGACUGUGAUCACAAUCCAACGCCACAGAUCUUUCCAUUAACAGACACGUGUCGUAAUCAUAGCUCAAGUUUCGUAAAUGACAGAAAACAUUCGGUUAGAAAACGGUGAUGAAACUAUUGCCGUCGAAACAAGACAGAUGCAGGUGUUUGGGAGUCUCAACAACGAAUCCUCACCGUCUGUUUAUUUUCUAAAGGUUAAUAACGUAAAUUUAAAUAUCUAAUCGGACGGUUAUAAAGCCUCUUACUCUUUCCUUUUAUAUAUCGUCACUAUCACCUCAAAAUGCCAUAAGAGAAAGCAACUUCUUCUUUUCUCUCUCUAAAUUUCUCAGAGUAUCUAAUCUCUCUCUCUUCUCUCGUUCCAUAUUAUCAUGCGUUUCAUAAUUCAGUAAAUUUUUUGAAAUCUGAUCUGUUCUUUCUGAAGCUUUUGAGAGAAUAAUAAAAAAUGGAAUCUGGUUUCUCCGGCGGUGGUGGUGGGUCGGAUUUUUACGGCGGUGGUGGUGGUAGAUCUAUACCUGGAGGUCCAGGAACUGUUAUCAACGUCGGUAACAAUAAUCCUCAGACGACGUAUAGAAACCAGAUUCCUGGAAUCUUCUUUGAUCAGAUCGGAAACAGAGUCGCCGGCGGUAAUGGAUUCUCCGGGAAAAGGACUUUAGCAGAUUUUCAAGCGGCUCAGCAACAUCAACAACAACAACAACAACAACCGUUUUAUAGUCAAGCAGCUCUCAACGCUUUUCUUUCAAGGUCUGUGAAGCCUCGAAAUUAUCAGAAUUUUCAAUCUCCGUCGCCGAUGAUUGAUCUCACGUCGGUGAAUGAUAUGAGUUUGUUUGGUGGUUCUGGUUCAUCUCAGCGUUACGGUUUACCGGUUCCCAGGUCUCAGACGCAACAGCAACAAUCGGAUUACGGUUUAUUUGGUGGGAUCCGAAUGGGAAUCGGGUCGGGUAUUAAUAAUUAUCCAACAUUAACCGGCGUUCCGUGUAUUGAACCGGUUCAAAACCGGGUUCAUGAAUCGGAGAACAUGUUGAAUAGUUUAAGAGAGCUUGAGAAACAGCUUUUAGAUGAUGACGAUGAGAGUGGUGGUGAUGAUGACGUGUCAGUUAUAACAAAUUCAAAUUCCGAUUGGAUUCAAAAUCUCGUGACUCCGAACCCGAACCCGAACCCGGUUUUGUCUUUUUCACCGAGCUCUUCUUCUUCGUCUUCUUCGCCUUCUACAGCUUCGACGACGACAUCGGUAUGUUCUAGGCAAACGGUUAUGGAAAUCGCGACGGCGAUCGCGGAAGGGAAAACAGAGAUAGCGACGGAGAUUUUGGCGCGUGUUUCUCAAACGCCUAAUCUUGAGAGGAAUUCAGAGGAGAAGCUUGUUGAUUUCAUGGUGGCUGCGCUUCGAUCGAGGAUAGCUUCUCCAGUGACGGAAUUGUAUGGGAAGGAGCAUUUAAUCUCGACUCAAUUGCUCUACGAGCUCUCUCCUUGUUUCAAACUCGGUUUCGAGGCCGCGAAUCUCGCCAUUCUCGACGCCGCCGAUAACAACGACGGUGGAAUGAUGAUACCGCACGUUAUCGAUUUCGAUAUCGGAGAAGGUGGACAAUACGUUAACCUUCUCCGUACAUUAUCCACGCGCCGGAAUGGUAAAAGUCAGAGUCAGAAUUCUCCGGUGGUUAAGAUCACCGCCGUGGCGAACAACGUUUACGGAUGUUUAGUCGAUGACGGUGGAGAAGAGAGGUUAAAAGCCGUCGGAGAUUUGUUGAGCCAACUCGGUGAUCGACUCGGUAUCUCCGUAAGUUUCAACGUGGUGACGAGUUUACGACUCGGUGAUCUGAAUCGUGAAUCUCUCGGGUGUGAUCCCGACGAGACUUUGGCUGUGAACUUAGCUUUCAAGCUUUAUCGUGUUCCCGACGAAAGCGUAUGCACGGAGAAUCCAAGAGACGAACUUCUCCGGCGCGUGAAGGGACUUAAACCGCGCGUGGUUACUCUAGUGGAGCAAGAAAUGAAUUCGAAUACGGCGCCGUUUUUAGGGAGAGUGAGUGAGUCAUGCGCGUGUUACGGUGCGUUGCUUGAGUCGGUCGAGUCUACGGUUCCUAGUACGAAUUCCGACCGUGCCAAAGUUGAGGAAGGAAUUGGCCGGAAGCUAGUAAACGCGGUGGCGUGCGAAGGAAUCGAUCGUAUAGAGCGGUGCGAGGUGUUCGGGAAAUGGCGAAUGCGGAUGAGCAUGGCUGGGUUUGAGUUAAUGCCAUUGAGUGAGAAGAUAGCGGAGUCGAUGAAGAGUCGUGGAAACCGAGUCCACCCGGGCUUUACCGUUAAAGAAGAUAACGGAGGUGUGUGCUUUGGUUGGAUGGGACGGGCACUCACUGUCGCAUCCGCUUGGCGUUAACUUCACACACUCUUUUUUUUCUUCUUAUUAUUACCAUAUUAUUAUUAAUUUUCGAGAUUAUUCUGAUAUUAUUAUCAUUGUGAUUUUCCAUUUCGAAAAGUGUAGGAAUCUUAUGUAACAAAGAAAAAAAAAAGACUUUUAUGUUUUUCUAAUAAUAAAAGAAAGAGUGAUUGGGUUCUUUAAUAUUCUAUAUUUUGUAAUAUAUCUUAGAAUCACGAAGAUAUCAUAGAAUUUAUGCCUUAAAAAGAUGUAAUAUCUGAGGAAAUUUUGCAAAAGAAUCUCGCAGGUGGAGCAAUAACAACUUGACAAAUAAUGUGAUUCUUAGACCUCAUACCUAUGAAUUAUUUUAUUAGACUAUUAACAAGUGAAUUACUACAUGGUAUUGUAACUUGUCAUGUUGGAUAUGAAAUUCUUUCUUACAGAUAAUCAUAUUGUAUAUAUGCGUGUGAUAAAAAUUUAUGAUUGGACUCAGUUUUAACGUGAGUGAAUGUGUUGGUGAGAAUAUAAGCUAAACAAUACUAGUAUACUUAGAGGAAACAAUGUAUGGCGACUUUUGUGGUCAUGGACCUUAUAGUUCAAUUAUUUUAACACUAAUAAAAGUUGGCAUUCGAUGGGUCCAUAUCCGAUGGCAUUCGAUGUUCUUAUUUUAUAUUAUGCUUAUAAAGUAUCCAUCUUUACGCGAGACUUGUAAAAUCCGUGUCCUUGGAAUAUUUUAAGGCAUAUAUGAAAUAUAACAAACCUGGUCAUUAGAAAAAGAUAAUAUUAUUAUUGUUUGGUGCAAGCUGUUUGCGGCUAAAAUUAUGCAAAAUCUUUUUGAAAGACCUCUCUUCUUAACCUCUUGUUUGUUAAUUAAGAUGAUUUCUUUCUAAUAUACGCAACUAAUACCGUGUUGAGUGUUUGAUUGGAUUGUUAGAUUGUUUUCCAAGAAAAAUCACAUAGACAAAAUUUUAUCCAUAAUUUCUUCAUAGAACAAAUUGAGAUAAACUUUUUGAUCAAGCCAAGUAUGUAAUGUUACCAAAUAUAUAAAUAAAAAACGAAAUUUUCAUUUAUUCAUUCGAAAUGCUACGAGGUCUUAACACUUCCUGGUCCUAUCUGAAUUUGUGAUGUAACCAACUUUCCUGAUGACCACAUUACAUUAUACAUUCAUAUGAAAUAAAUGUUACAUUCAUUUAGUUAGAGAAUUUUAAUGCUUUGUUUUUUGAAUAAACUGAAAAGUUCAUUUAUGACUCACACAUCUUAUGCAGUUGACGUUGGUAUAUCUUUCACUUGAUCUGAAGUACCUAGUAGCUGCAAGAAAAGAAAGUAACAAAAGACUUACACACGCUUGCAAUAAAUGUAAGAUGGUUAGAAAAAUGUGGCCAUGUAGGCCUAGUGCAUUAUAUUAUUGGAGCACUAAUAAGUCAAUAUAUUCUUAAGAAAAUAUGCGAUGUAUUUCAAUAUGGUUUGGUGUGGUUCAUCUUCAAAUAUAUUAUACAGACAAUAUAGAGAUUAUUUGAAAAAUAAUUCUUCUUAGGGAUCAAGCAUGAAGCAAUAUAAAAAAAAAAAUGGCUCUUGUUGAAAGGUAAACCAAGCAUGAGUUUCUCGAGAGUUUAUAAAUGGUUAGUUUUAAUAGUUUACACAAUAACUUAUUUAUAUCAAUGUGGAUUCUUGUAUUAGAAGAGUAAAUUGUUGCUUAAAAAGCUAGAAAAAAUAAAUCAAUUUUGUAUUUUGUUAGUAUUAUGAUAACAACUAACAAUGUAAUGGCUUGAGUAUUAAUAUUAAGUUUUAUGUGUCCAGUCCAACGGGCAAGAAAUGUAAAAGAACCCAGACUCUCACUUUAUUGGGCUUAUAGGUCCAAUUAAUAAAACUUAAUGGGCUUAUCCACACAACGAGUUUACGAGGAGACUGUGAGAGUUUGUUUUCACAGUCAUCAUCAUCUCUAAGAAACAAACUUGUAUGACCUUUAAGCAGCAAAAAAAGAAAAAACCACAAAACUUCUCUGAAAGGUGGAUAAAUGGUGUCGUCGUCUCUGAGACUCCCUUCACUCACUUCGCUUCUAUUUCCCGCCACCACUCGUUAUCCAGCCACUCUCCGGCGAACCGUAUGUCUACGGAACAGACCUCUUUCCGGAUUCGCGACGGCGCCGAGUGGUACUGCUUCGCCGGAGACUAAGUCGUCGGAGGUUGACCGGCUUAGGUCAGACCGAGCCGUUACGCCUCGCUCACAGGACUUUAAUGCUUGGUAUCUUGAUGUUAUAGCUAGUGCUGAACUCGCGGAUUAUGGUCCGGUUCGUGGUACUAUGGUCAUUCGUCCUUAUGGUUACGCGAUCUGGGAAGCGAUUCAGGUGAAAAAAUUGUGGAUUCAAAUUGAUUUUGAAUGUUGAUGUUUCUUCGUAUCGCCUCAAUUUUCGUUGUGAAUUGUUGAUGCAGGAUUAUUUGAAUGUGAAGUUCAAAGAGACUGGUCAUAGCAACAUGUACUUCCCACAGGUACUGUUUCAAGCUGAAAUUCAGAAAAUUAGCUUUAAGCUGGUUUAGUUUGUUAAUAGAAGUAGAAUUUAGUAUAGAGUUAGUAUAAGACUGAUGAAACACUUGUGUUCUUGGUUAAUUAUAGAUUAAUCAUAAUCCAAAUUUGUUUGUUGGUGAAAUUCAUCUUCUUUCUUAUGCUCUUAUGUCACAUUGGGAUUUAUAGUGAUGGUUUGGUCUUUUGUGCAGUUUAUACCAUACUCGUUUAUUGAGAAAGAAGCUUCACACGUUGAGGGAUUUAGUCCUGAACUAGCUCUUGUUACUGUUGGAGGAGGAAAAGAACUUGAGGAGAAACUUGUGGUAGGCAUUUUUCUGGCGUUAUUAUGUUUUACCACAAAGCUAGAAUUGUGAAAAUUCUUUGCCUAAGGUUUUGGGUUUGAUUGUUGCACUUGUUGAGGUUGUGGCAGGUUCGGCCUACUAGUGAAACCAUAGUGAAUCAUAUGUUUACCCAGUGGAUUCACAGCUAUCGUGAUCUUCCUCUCAUGAUUAAUCAGGUCUGGACAGACAUUCAAUUGUUUAUCAUUCUUUGUAUGAAAAAUCUGGUAUUUAUGACUGUUCCUGGUUAUGUUUUUCUUCUUUCUGCGAUUUAGUGGGCCAAUGUCACUAGAUGGGAAAUGCGGACGAAACCAUUUAUUAGGACUCUUGAAUUUCUAUGGCAAGAGGGUCAUACUGCUCAUGCCACUCCUGAGGAGGCAGAAAAGGAGGUUUGUUCUCUAUAGAGCUGUGGUCAACUUGUGGAGAUUUUUUUUGUGGUACUCUCCUGUGACAAAUGAUUAGUUUUGUAUUGCAGGCGAAACAGAUGAUCGAGAUCUACACCAGAUUUGCUUUUGAGCAAACUGCAAUUCCUGUUAUUCCAGGUCGAAAAUCAAAGUUAGAGACUUUUGCUGGUGCUGAUAUAACCUAUACUAUUGAGGCUAUGAUGGGAGAUCGGAAGGCUUUGCAGGCUGGUACUAGCCACAAUUUAGGCCAGAACUUUUCUCGUGCCUUUGGAACUCAGGUACAGAACUAUUAUUGUCUCACAAGUAUGUCAUGCUUAUCGAGACUUGAAUUUGUUUGGAGUUUAGUUCUCUCAUUUUUUUAGUGACGAUAGUAUUGGUGCCUACUGGUUCAUUUAGUCACAUCUUCGUUUUGCAACUUCAUCAUGAAAGAAUGUUAAAUGACGUAAUGAUGAUGCCAGUUUGCAGAUGAGAAUGGAGAAAGGCAACAUGUGUGGCAGACAUCAUGGGCAGUCAGUACACGUUUUGUUGGUGGCAUUAUCAUGACUCACGGAGAUGACACUGGUCUCAUGCUUCCUCCCAAGAUAGCUCCAAUACAGGUUUAUCUUUCUUAAGCAGUUUUCUUUGCUUUAAUCUGAAGUUCGAUUUGCUAGCUAAAGAGAAUUUGUUAUGGGGAAACGGGAGCUGUAGUGAUUAUCUUUAGGAAGUGAUGAGAGACUUGAGAUUGAAUCCUCUCUUUUCUUUAUUUGAAGGUAGUAAUUGUACCUAUUUGGAAAAAGGACACUGAGAAAACAGGAGUUCUCAGUGCUGCAUCAUCAGUGAAAGAAGCUCUCCAAACUGCUGGUGUUAGAGUUAAACUUGAUGACACAGAUCAAAGAACCCCAGGAUGGAAGUUCAAUUUCUGGGAAAUGAAGGUUCGUAACUAUCUUAGAAAAAAACACACACUAGAAUCAUUUUCUGGAGUGAAAAGAUUUUCGUGAUAUUUCAAGCUCUUAUAAUUUACAUUUGGUUUGAACCUUUGGUUUGUAGGGAAUCCCUCUAAGGAUUGAAAUUGGUCCACGCGAUGUAUCUAGUAACAGUGUCGUAGUCUCGAGGAGGGAUGUACCAGGAAAGGCAGGAAAAGUUUUUGGAAUAUCAAUGGAGCCAUCAACAUUAGUGGCGUAUGUAAAAGAGAAGUUGGAUGAGAUCCAAACAUCUCUUCUAGAGAAGGCGUUAUCAUUCAGAGACAGGUACUCUUUUUGUUUAUCUUUCUCCCACAAACUUACUCAAUAAAUGGUAUUAAUUAGCACAUGCUCAAAUUUUGAUAUUGUGCAGUAACAUUGUGGAUGUAAACUCAUACGCUGAGCUCAAAGACGCAAUUUCAUCAGGGAAAUGGGCAAGAGGUCCUUGGUCAGCCAGUGACGCAGAUGAGCAAAGAGUAAAAGAAGAAACCGGAGCAACCAUUCGUUGUUUCCCGUUUGAACAAACUCAAGGGACCAAAACAUGCCUAAUGACUGGAAAUCCAGCAGAAGAAGUUGCAAUCUUUGCCAAGUCAUAUUAAACUAGGUCGUUACACUUUCACACAUUCCCAAUCAUAUCAAAUUCUCUUUAUUAAAAAGGUCCAAAAGUGACAUUAGUUUCUAUUUCCGUGGCUAUUGGAGUGGAAUAAUUGUAGUCCUUUGGUCAUGGAUCCUCUCUGGUAGUACAGAAUUAAAUGCUACUUUGGUCGGAGAUUCCAAUUCAUAUUUUGUUUUGUUACGCAAGUGCAAUAUAAUACGUUGACUUUUCAUUUAUUGUUAUUGUCUUUGUCUUUGAUAGUUUAAUGUGAAAAAAUAACAAAAAUAUCAUUUUGCUAUCGACUUCGUUAAUUAUGACGUAAAUGUUGUUUUAGGUAUUCAAAAGCAAGAGAUGACAUAAAUCGGUAAUGCCGACUCAUAAUUUUAUCAAAGUUUCAUGCCUAUAUAUGCAAAUCUGCCGUAUGCUUCACUGAUGUUUAUCUUAAUUUUCAUAAACUUUGAUAAAAUUAUGAUCAACAAGUUGAGUGUAGAGUGCCCAAGAGUUCAACAAGUUGACUAAAAUUUGAUAGUCGGUGAGCACAUAAAUCUCCUUGAUGCCGUAAGAAUGCGCUUGAGACAGAGUGCCCAUAGUUGUCCAAGCUCCUGCUUUUAGUGCAAUGUUGACAUGACUAGAUGAGUGCGUGUUAUUGAACCGCCAAUUUCAUGGAUAGGAGUAGUAGUCGUUACCUCCGUAUUAACACGGAAAAUCCAACCCAACCAAACCCGCCAUUAGAGAGCCAUUCCAACAUGGUACCCUGGAUUGAAGUCGGGUUACACUUCGAAGGUUUCAAAAUUGUCAACAAAAAGAUGGUGGUUUUCAAUUAUUGUUAUUGUAUUUUUGAAAGUUAAUAUGAAAAUAUGAUGAAAAACUUGUAUAAUGUCAAAAAUAUUGUAAUAACCAAGCGUUAAUAGCUCAAUUGGUAAAAUAUUUCAGGUCUAUGGUUCGAGUGAUACUUAGGAACAAACCAUAUUAAAUGUUUUGAUCUUGAGCAUGAGAGGAGGUUACAUUUAAUUAUAUAGUCGACUUUUAUUUAUUUAAUUUUAUUAAGAUUACGGUAACAUUUGUAAUUGGUAUUUAAUAGUAAAUUUUUAUAAUUUUUGUGUUUAUCAAAAUCAAAAUCAAAAUCACGGUAACAUUUGUUUUUGGUAUAUGUUAAGUUAUUUUAUAAUCUUUGUACCUAUCAAAAUCUCGGUAACAUUUGUAUUUAGUAUUUGACAGUUACCUUUUAUAAUAUGUGUAUCUAUCAAAAUCACGUUAACAUUUGUAAUUGGUAUUUGAUAAUUUUUAUUAAUCAUCUUUGUGUCUAUCAAAAUCACGGUAACAUUUGUAUUUGGUAUUUUGAUAAGUAUUUUUUAUAAUCUUUGUAUCUAUCAAAAUCACGGUAACAUAUGUAAUUGGUACUUGAUAAUUAAUUUUUAUCAUCUUUGUAUCUAUCAAAAUCAUGGUAACAUUAGUAUUAGACUUUUAAAUAUGAUACAUUCUUAUUUGACUAUAAAAUAUGUUUACUCCAUUAAUAUUUAGAUAUACAUUUGAAAUCAUAAUUGGUAAGAAAAAGUUGUUUACCUUUUUACCAGUAAGUUUAUUGCAACAUGUCAUUAAAACAUAGUCCAUUCAAAUUCUAAUUCAUAAUUUUAAGGUUUGAACAUGAAUAACAUUUCAACCUAUGAAAGUUUAGAAAUCAUUUGAUAAACUUUUAUAUUCAUUAUAGCAAUUUAAUUCUUGAAAAUUGGUAAUCUUAGAUUCCUUUGACUAAUCAAAAACUUGGUAAUGUUGAGAUAUAUAUAAGUGAUCAAUCUAGUGAGGGGGUGGCCAUACAUAGGUGUAUUAGUGCUUAUGAGUUGGUAAGAAAUAUAGUCUCAAGAAAUCUCUUCUUCUCUUCUUUAGUCUCCGCAUGAUUAUUAUCUCGACAUAAUCAUGUAAAAGAUUUAUGAUUUAAUAUAAAACUAUUACAUAGAUGAUUUGUUUUAAUAUAUAUUUUUUCUAAAUAUUCUAGAUACCGGAACUUUCGAGAAAGAGAUAAUAUCACAAAAAAACAGCAAAUAGUAAGGUAAAAUUUUCAUUAUUCUUAUUUAAACAUUUUUUUUAAUAACAUAUGGAUUCACCCAAAUGUUAUAAUAUCCAUGGAUAUAGAUAUCCAUAUUAUAUAAGAUUUAUGAAAGUAUAUCUUUGUAUUUAAUUUUUUUUAUAUAAGUCACAUAAUAUGAGAACAAUAUUUUCUAAAACUAUACAAAAUAGAUUAUAUAAAUCUUGAAAAAGACCAUGUAUUUUGAUUUAAAGAUUAAGAUCUCUGGAUGUUCAUCUUCAUAUUUAUUUUUGUAUUAUAUAUUUAUAUUGUAAUUAGUUUUUGUUAUUUAUAAUAUCAACAAAUUCAGAUCCGGAUAAUUGUUUCUCGAGGUAAUUCGAAUCGGAACAUCUCGAAAUUUUAAAGUAUCUAGUUCUGUGUCGACUUUAUUGUAUUAUAUCAUUAUUUACACACAGGAAAUAAGUUCUAAGCAUAUGAUAUUUUCAGUAGCAAAACUUUUUCUUAUAUAAGCUAUUAAAUAUUUUUUUUCAUAAAAUAUACUUUCAGUUUUUAGAAAAUUUAUAAUUGGUAAAAAUUUAUUUACAAAGAGCGGGAGCCAGGAAAAAAGAAUUGUUAUUAUUUCAAGUGUAAUUUUCUUAAACGUUGACAUUUUUUUUGAUUAUAUACUAUACAUUGAUCAAAAUACACACGUGCAAAAUUUUAAUCUAAUCAUUAAUAAAUUUGAUCUUUUUUAUUUUACCGUUACGUUUGAAAUUAUAAUAUAACGAUGAUUAUUAUUUUCUAUAUAUCAAACCAAAAAUAGCUAUUUAUACAAUCCAAAUCUUUUUCUUUUUUUAAUCACACAAAUCAUUAACAUUUGAUGAAGUUGUUUCUUUUUCAAUCUCCAUCAAGAUCAUUAAAAAUAUCAUUUUACAAUAAAAAAAAAUUAGGGGUUAAAACAUAAAUAAAACAGAAAGUAUAGGGGACAAAUAACACAAAAACACCACCACGUCCGCCACCAAAAGUUUUAACUUUCACACGAAGCUAGCCAUGUCACUCUCUGCUCUUCUUGACCAUUGACUUUUUUUAGAGAUACAGAGAUAUGUCUUACUAUUUAAUUUCCUCAUUUUGCAAAAUGGUAAGAACGAAAAAGAAUACCGUCAUUGAGGGUAAAACCGUAAAUAUUAGGAUACAAACGAGGGCAAUUUAGGUAUAAAAGAGGAUGAUAAAUACGUGGUAAUAGGUCACCACCACCAAGCUCUUCUUAUGUUCAUCCCAAAAAAGCUUUAAUAAAAAAAUAAUCGUUUCUCUAUGAAGAAGAAGACGACGACGGAAGAGGAAGACCUAGCAUCGCCGACGAUUUAUUUUUGAAUUUUCUUAGUCUAAGAUAUCUCCGGCGAGGAGACGUAGAUUCAUCGAUCUAAUAUUCAUCGAUCUCGUUCUUGUGGCUUUUUAAAUCGCCCAGACUUUUAAGAGACGCUGGAUUUGAUAUCCGAGAAGAGCCGUUUGAUAAAUACGUAAUCGAUUCGAGCGGUGGAUAGUGAAAUUACGGCGGAGGAGUUGAAUCGGAUCUCGGUGGUGGUGUGUUUCUGUAUUUGAGUGAGGAGGAAGGAGAAAUAUAAAAAGUAGGUGGAGACUCAGGUAUAUGAAAACCCUAAGUUCUUUGAUUACUACUGCUCUUUGUUUAUUGGUUCAAUCAAGGAGAGAUCUGUUUUGCUUAUGGACGUCAAUGGAAGAUCCCUUAGGCUGCGAUACGCUUCGAAUAUUCUUUUCGCCAUGGAAGAUCCCUUAGGUUUCUGCAAUUUUCUUGGGAGAUCUCUUAAUCAUGAGAACGAUUUCUUUUUAACUCAUCUUCCUCAGGAACUUAGUGGACAUGAGUCUAGCCUUUACCCUUCUGAUUUGGCUCAUCUAUAUGAUAGAAUUAGGACACGAUGAUACUCUGAUUUUGGGCAAGUUUAAUGGAUCUUGGCUUCACGCGGCCAUUCAAGUUUUUCCAGAAUCUUCGAUUUGGCCAAGGGCAGUGAUCUGAAGUCAGAUUUAAUCGGACUAGAAACAUGAAUAAAUACUUGUUUUGUAUGCUUUUAAUGUCAAAACUCUGGAGGUUUUUUUCAGACUUAUAGCGCAAUCUGUCUUAAGGUAAAGGCUCAUAGAGUCUUUAACUUGACUGUCUAGCUAUGAAGUUUUUUUGCCUGCAGUGACUCUAUUAUUGUAUACUAGAAGUAGGCAAUAGCUCUUGCUUAUGUUUUUUUUUUAAUAUGGUUUACUAAUGAAAGGUUAUUGCUUGCAGGUGAGGUAAGCGUUCAUAAAACAAAAAUCAAGUUUUGUGGGAGUGCAUUGAAGCAUGACAAGCAAUAAAGGUGCUAUCAUCCCUCCAGAGCUUCCUUGGAAACCGGUGGCUAAAGGUAGCAGAAGUUCAACAAGGCGUGGCAAGAAACUAGUUAAACGAGUUGCAGCUUCAGAUAUUGAGUCAGAAGACAAGAGUUCAACACACACACUAGUAGCAGGAGAAUCAAAGCGUCCAAAGGUUCCUCUUUUACUUUUUGUGCUUUCUUUCUUGAUUUUGUUAGGAAAUUUCUGGUCUCUUGAUUUUAGUUUUUAUUCUUUCUAUUUAUUGCAGCUUGGCGUUUCUGUUCUAGGUCAGCAUUUCGUUGAAAGAGUAGAGCAUGUUCCGAUUAAGAAACGGAUAUUUGUGGUUAGCUCUCCAUCACCAUCACCAUCAUCAUCAAAGAGGUCAUCUGCUCAACGUGAAGGCUCAGAACAUAAGGCACAGAUCAACCAUGUUUUACCUGUUUCGAGAUUAAACCCUAAUUUGGUCUCAGACGUCCGUGAUGAAAAGCCUGAUUACAGUGUUCAUGACUUUUCUGGUAUCAAGAUACUUGCUGAUGCUGCUUGCAGUACUGAUGUGAGUAAUGAUUUUGCACCAGCUGUAGACCGUCUGCCUGCUGAAGAAUUUGCUGUUCAGCUACAAGAUACCUCAACCAUAUCAACUCAUGUUGAAGGUAACGAUUCAUCAGCUGGAACUGCUGAUGUCUCGCAUACUGCGGUUGAUUCCGGUGAUCAGAGUGGCCAAGGAAAGAGCAAUAUUGUAGCGCCUCAGAAACAUCCUCUAACAAAUUUGUGCAAUGAGUUGGCUGAUGAGCAGAGUGUAGAGCACAGCAGAGUAACCUCUGGAGGGAUUAUAGCACCUAAAAAAACCUGCAUUGCUCUUUCAAAUGAAUCCUCAACAGAAAGACCAAAGGAUAAUGUAGAAGCAAGUGAAAGUGAACCUUUAGCACCUGAUAGUGGAGCUGUAACGGUGUCAGAGAAAUUAUCAGCCGAUGAGCCAACUGAAAAAAACAAUGAAGGCCUUAAAGAUGUUAAAUUUCUCUGGGAUUUAAAUAUUCCUUGUGAUGUAGAAGAUGAAGCGUCUCGAAGAGAUGAAGAGGGAGAAAUCACAGAGUCUAUUGCCCCUAAAGGGAGCGAACCUUUUGAUGGAAGUAAACACAGUAUGGAUGGGGUAAUUGCAUCAGAUGAACAUACAAAAUUUUCAUCACCAUCUAAGCCUAAUGAUGAAGCAGCUGCUACAAAUGACAAGGAUUGCCAAUCUGGUUAUGACUCCCAGUUUGAGGAUGGAGAGUUGAGGGAACCAUACCCUUGGGAAGAAAAUGAAGAGGUUGAACAGUUGGAUUACGGUUCUGAGCCAGAGGAUGAGAGAUUCUACUCUAUGGGUUCUGAGAAGGGAAUCUUGACAGAUGAGAAUUUCAGUCAUGUUAAGUGUGAAUCUGGUGAUGCACUGAGAGUUGGGCAGGCUAAUGAAGGAAGUGACAUAGAGAAGCAAGCUGUUGUAAACAUGAGCGAUUCACAUCCUAAGAAGGGCUCUUCUUCUCCUUCAAGGAGUUUUGGUUCAAAACCAUACAAGGAGGUGCCUUCACAUGAUGCAAUCCAGAGGAGAAGGCAAGUUUGCUUUCCCUGAGCCUUUUUUUUUGGUCAAACGCUUAUUAAUAAUUUGUUAGUAACUGAGUCAUGGUUCUUUAUGAUUCAGGCCUGAUACUUAUGAAGAGGUGAGCACGGGUCCAGAUAGGUUUGCUCGGAGAGACGACAGGUCAGGGAUGCGUAUGCGUAAUCGGAGUCCUCAAAGAGGGUAUUUUAGUGGUUGGGAUUCCAAACGACGCUUCUCCCCUCCUAAUUACAAAGAUGGUUCUUAUGGUUCCGGGCGUCCAUGGCAUAAAAGAAUGGCAGAUGAUCGAGGUAUGAUGAACGGCUUUGAUGAGUCAGGGUCAGGACAAGGACCAGGACCAGAACCAGAACCAGAGGGUUAUGUUCGUAGGCAAUUCUCAAAUGGUGGAUACAGAGGUCGGUUUAAGAGAUUCCCAGAUGGUGGGGAUCGUAAAUUCAGGGGCCCAUACACUGAUACAAACCAAUUUUCUGGUCGGAUGCACAACCGGAUGAGUGGUAAUAGGAGAGAGAGAGGUGGCUCUCCGGUUGUCAGGAGAUUGCACCACCCGCAAUCAGAGUCAAGAUCCAGAAGCCGUUCUCCAGUCUUGUGGAAUGGCCGUAACAGAUCACCUCCUCCUCCUCCAGGUGGGUUUAGAGCAGACGAGAGGAUGACGGAAAGAGUGAGGCUGCCUUUCCAGAAACGGUUUCCUGCAGAUCAGGAGAUGGGUUAUAUGUCACCUCCGAGAAACAGAAUGUCGUCGCCGAGGUUCUUUGAAGGGAGGAAUAAUGGUGCUGGAGAGAAUUAUAAUAGCUUCAGAGAAAGGAAGUUCCGGCCUGGACAGAGAUUUUAUGUCGGAAAUUCCAUGAGAAGACCGAAUUCUGACAACAACAACUUAAGACCAUUUAUUCCGAACAGAAGAUUUGACAAUCCGGAAGAGAGCACUGGUGGGAACAGGUUUGAGAUGACUCAGCAGCGAAGGACUCGACGGUCUGAGACCACAGAAGAUGGAGGUGAUGUUAUUCGACGGUUCAAGUUUAAUGAAGAACAACAGUCAGUGGUGGUAGCCAACGACAACAACAACAAAGAGUCAUGAUAACAGAUAACGUAAGAGACUUGUUUGGGUUCUUUCCAAUAGAAUCUCUCUUAUGUUAGUUUAGAUUUGUUUGUUAUGUUUGUUAUCCUAAUUUUAUUUUAGGAAGAGGUAAGAAAAAUGCCAUGGCGUCAUCUGUUACGUUUAUGACUGCUGGUAUUUUUGUUUUCUUUUAAAUUUUCUCAUUUUCUUUCUACAGAGUUUUUAGGGUUUUCUAGGCUUAAUUUGAUGCUGUUUUCCUUUUCUGGAAAUGAUUUCUAUAUUUGUAGAAAAUCAACAAAAUGAAAUCAAUAUCUUUUUUUCUUACCAUAUUUGUAGCUCAAAUGAAUUUUGUCAAUAAAAAAUGAGAAAAAUAGCACCAAUCUUGAGAUGGUACAAGGACAAACUUAUACGUACUUCCUACAUUACUAUAUGGUUCUUAGCAGCUUUUAGAUAUUUUGUUGCUUUGGUUUUGGAGAGUAGAAAAGUAUUUACGAAAAGAAAGGAAAAAGACUUGCGGCACUGUCUACACUGAGAAGAGGUCAUAACCUGCAAGUAAGGCCCAAAAUAAUAGAAAGAGAUAGUAAUGAGCUACGUGGUAUGAAACAAAUUCAUUCGAAGGUACAAAGCCUCAAAAUAAAACACAGUAAGGAACCCUUUGGCAAAUUAAGCCAACUUGAAAUUUUGUGGGGUUUACAAUAUAAAUCAAUAUAUAUAUAUAUAUAUAUAUAUAUAUAUAUAUAUAUAUAUAGAGAGAGAGAGAGAGUGAGCACUGAGCAGAGUCAGGUCCAUAGUUUAGUUAUACUACCAUCUUCACAUGAACUUAAGAACUUUAACUCCAAAUGCAAUUCCUAUGAAAGUUGCAAUGGCGAUCCCAAAUAUUCCGGCCAGAAUCCCGGGAACUAUCAACGAGUUCCAUCCCUUUGCCGUCGCCAUUCCAGCUGCGGUCGUGGGUCCUCCGACAUUAGCAUUUGAUGCUAGAAGCAGUAACCUUAGCUCGAUGUUUAGCAGCUUUCCUAUGCCCAAUAUCACAGCCAGAUGUGUCCCAAUUUGAACCAAUGCAAACAAGAAUAUGCUCGGCGCCGUGUUGAUCACACUCCAUAUGUUUCCGCUUGCACCCACCACUGUGAAGAACACCUGAAAGAAAACUAGCUUGAUUAAUAUCAAGAAGGUUGCAUCGUUCUUGAAUUUCUUGUCUCAUACCUGCAUCAAAAUUAGAGCCAUGGCUUCUCCAGAUGGAGCAAGACGACCAAACUGGGACGGAAAGACAGUUGCUAAAAUAACAACAACCGCUGUUAUAGCCGGUAAGCUACCACCCGAAAUUCCGAAGUACUUUGUUAGCAAAGCCCCAGCCUUGCAGAUAGCUAAUGACACAGCAAUUCCAGUAGCUAUCAGUAGCACAGGAAUUUUAUUUUUAGUUUCAGAAGCUUCGUUCGUCUCUGCAUCUACAACUGCCAUAGGAGAGUAAUACCUAAGUCAGAGUUCAGAAACUGGCUAGAAUCGACAUGAAAAAGGAAUGGAACAGAACAUUUUCCUCUGGAUAUCUAAUCCAAUAGAAAUGACUUUCUAACUGAAUAUUUACACAACCUCAAUGAUCAAUUCCAAAGGAAGCCAAAUCAAACGAAACCAGACAUCACAGCAACAUUCAGACUUACUAGUAGUCGGUGGCGGUACAGCUUCUGCAGGUAUUUUGGAGCCCAAAGCAAACAAUGUCGUGAAAUAUACAGCGCAUAUAACAUUAUCAGCAGCCAGUCCAGCAGCUAAAACCGAUGGUGUAACUCCAAGAGCAUUUGAUAUAGCUACGUAGUUGACGGCUGGAAAAAAAAUAAUCACAAUGCAACUUAUACACCACUAUAGAAAUAAGUGAACAAUAUUGGCGCGUCAAGAAAAUGGAAGAUACAGAUGCAGAUGUUCAAAGACAUGAAUUUUUUGUUACCUCCACCGAUAUGUCUUCCCAUGAGAGCAGCUGCAAUCUUCCAACUAUCAGGGCCAAGUGACUUCAUUGGCACUAAAUAGUAUGCCAGAGCUGUACCCACCGUUGUGGCAACUGUUAUGAAAUAGCAAAGGCUCAGGUUUUUCUGAUAAUUCAAAGUCAGAAAUAUCAAGAGCAUAACCAUAGGAAUAGUGUGAAUGUUAUGAUCCUUAUACCUGAUCCAAUCAAAAAGGCCAAGAGAAGCUUUCCAGUGGACUGAACCACACGACGCAAAUCAGCUCUAAACAACAACAGAGGAACAGCUAAUGGAAGCAGAAAAUUCAACACAACAGCAAAAGCAGGAGCUUGAGAAGAAAUGAUCCCUAGAUUACUAGCUGCAAGACCAACUAGAGUGCUGACUAACGCACCACUCAUAGCGGCUCCGACCUUUGUCUUCUCCGACCUAUACAAUCAAUCCCACACCAUUUCCGAUUUCAAACUUCACAAUUGGUAUCACACAAAAUCAACUUCACUUAAGAAUCAACACAACGUAAAAUUCAAAUCUCCGAUCAGAUAAAGUAACGAUCGAAGUUCUAUAAAGAGUGAUGAUCGUACCAGAGACCGAGAGCACCAGUAGCGAAGAGAGCAGUCCAAGUUCCCCAUUCAUCGUUGGGAGAAAUGAGAGGCGUACUCAACGAACUCACAGUAACCGAUCGGAUCGGAGAUGAUGAUUCCGGCGACAGAAACCUGUCGGUUCCGUUACGAAAUUGCGACAACGAAGCAGGAGAGAAGCUAAGCCUUGAAGAGGUUGAUUUAGCUGAGAAUUCAGGUAGAUCUUGGCGUGAAACAAUGUACGAACGCCGACGAAAUAGUCUCGACGACGACGGUAACGAGUUUCCGAUCACAUUGAGUAAUGGCAAGCUCGUCGCCAUUUGUCGCGUCUGCUUCACGACGAGGAAAAGGUGGAAAAGGGAAGUGAUUAGUGGAAUUGACUCAGUGUGCCUAUUAGUGCGUCAACUUUUGCUUUCCAUUACAAAUUUUAUAUAUAACACUGAGCCAAACCGAAAUAUUAAAUCAAAAUUGGUUUCGAUUAAACCGGUAAACCAAAUCAAAUCAAACCAAAACUGAAAAAUGGUCAGAGUCACAGAGUCACAUAGACCCAAAGUUGUGUGUUUGAAAACCGUUUUCUUAAAUUUUCUGUUUCUUGGGAUCACGUUUCUCAUCUUCUUCCAAAGCUUUGAGUUUGUUCUUAAUGGCAGUUACUUUUUCGUCUCGGCUCAUUUGUCCUGAGCUGCUCCCGUUUACAAAUCUGGUUCUGUUUCCUUCUGGUAAUGAUCUUUUGGAGUGAUCAUGAGAGGAAUCUUCUAGAUGCUUCUCACUAGCUAGACGCACCACUAAAGGCCUACCACAAGCUAAUCUCCCAUGCAUCUUCUCUUUCGCCAAUUCAGCUUCCUGUAUGCUCACUUUAGAUGUAGAAAUCAGGAGAUUGCUCAAUCAAAAUCAAAACAUUUUUCAUUUCUUGAAACAAUUUCAUCCAAGUACAAAUGCAAAACCAAGAGAGCCAGAUUGUUAGUUACCUCUUUAAGGCUGUAUUGAAUGAAAGCAUAACCCCGAGGUUCUCCUUUCUUUGGCCCGCGUGUGUGCCAAAGGAAGUCUUCUGAUAUGAUCUUCCCAUAUGGAGAAAACAUUUUUAUCAACGAAGCCCUGUGACGAAGAGAAACUUAUAAGGUAUUGAGCAAAGUUUUGAUCUAUGGUGUGGAGGUAAUAUAACAAGCUGUGAUUCACUUACUCGUUUAUUCUAAGAUCCAGGUUUCCAACAUAUAAUCUGUUCUCACCUUUUUCAUCUACAAACCCACCAGUAUCCUGAAGUAUAUAUACAAAAAUAUUUAGAAGAUGACACAAAUUAGUAUAAAGAAAGAGUAGUAAACAAGAUCUGUCAUUGUAAAAUGAGUUUUGAAUCGCGUGUUUACAAGUUUGAACAAGCUAGACAAAAAUUCAACUUGAAGAAAUUCUUUAGAGAUUGUAGUUACCAUUUAGUUGAAGAAACAACUAGAGUGAAAAAGGUAUUGUUCCAAGCUCAAGAACUUAAAAAAGAAUGUAUAGUCUGCAAUUCUGCAUCCACCUGAAAAUAACAGCUCUCAAGAAUUCAGUAAGAGUACAAAUGCUUUAAGGCCAAUACAACAAUCAAACUAUUCUUCAACACUUUAGAUGAGAAAGAAUUUAAAAUAAACACUUUCACAUAAGGACCAUAAACCGAAAAUAAUGGCACACGAGACAUGACCAAUCUUUGAUCAAAAGCCACAAAAGAAAGGCAUAAAUCAAUCUAACAAUACUCCAGUUAGUUACUACUCUCUAUAUUUGCUUAAACACUAUAAAAAAAAACAGAGGCUUCUCCAUGAGAAUUGCAGUUGUUUAGUAAGCACAAAAGAAGAUAAACCUUAAGCUCUCUAUCUAUUGAACAAGAUCUGUGGUCAAAUUUAUUGUCUGUUCUAAGUGUGAUUGAUGAACUUAGAGUAACUAUUCCCCGACAUGAAUCUUAAUCUUACAAUAAUCAAUUAAGAGAAACACCAGAAACAAUUCAAAAUUGGACAGAAAUCCCUAAAUUCAUCGCCAAAACCUCAUGGAUUUCGUUGAGUGGUGGUAAUUACUAGCUAGUCAACCUAGGCACCUACUUCGAUUACAACUGAACAACGAUGGAGAGAAGAAGCAGAGAGUUCAUAUGCAACUUGGGAACUAAUAACAGAUGAAAAAUGUUGUAAAGAUUUAGAGAGUAUCCAUGGAAAGCAACUUACAAAGCUAAAGCGUGAUCUCACAGACGCAGACUUCAAUAAAAAAAAAAAAGCAGGAGCAGCAGAAUCGGAAUUUAUGGCUGUAACCAGUAAAGGACUAUCCGGUUAAACGAGAAAACCGAACCGGUGAUUCGGACAAAAUUAGUCAAUUGUCAUUCAUCAAGUUAUAAAGCCAGCUGACUUUAUUAAACGACGUCGCUUCAUUUUAACCAAAUAAAAGCAUCUCCAUAUUUACCAAUUGAAAUAAUACAAAAUCAAAAGUUUGGGAUACAUCUGAAGGGUUUUUACCUUUUAAAUUUUAACAACCUCUAUGAAAAUAUAAACAUUUGAAAAAAAUGUGAAAGUGUUUGGGAUACAUUUGACUCUCAAAACUUGACACAGACUCUACACUCUCAAAACUUGAUACACUCACAAAAUUUGACACACAAACUCAAGUGAAUCUUCACACGACCAUAGCCUAUAUACUUCUACACAAAACAGAACAACACUUGCAUGUACUUGCUAUUUAUGCUUCCUUGAACUCUUGCAUCUCGACAUGGACUUCAUCCUUUUAAACUCUGAAAUCGAAUUUAAAUUCAUUUAGAACAGAACACAAACCAAUCCAUUUGAACACUAACACAAACCAAUUAGAACAGAGCACAACCAAACCAAUUUAGAACAGAACACAAACAACUUAAGAUUCAUAACCUAACUGAACAAAAACAAGUGAAGAAGCGUUAACCGAAACAAAAAAGACUAACUUUCAAGACAUAAAAGACACCAUUCAAGCAUUUGACAAUAUGUCAGUGAUAAGUUUGUUCUUUAAAGCCAUUUCAAGAUCACUAAGCGGCGCUGUUUUUCGAAGUAGAGUCUCCAACAACGUCUUCUUGCUAAGCUUCUCGUUCAAUUCAAAUUCCUUCUGCUUAAUCUCCCACAUGCUCUUAAUCACUGACAGAGUCCUUUUAGCUUUCGCGGCCUUUGCCGCCUUAACACCUGAUGGACGAGACAUUGCUUCAUCUGAAUGGCUAACUGCCUGGGAGCUUGAUGACUGUGCAGAAGCUUGAGAUCCAUCGCUUUCUUCAUCUACAAACCCACCAGUAUCCUGCAAGGUAUAUGUAAAAGUAUUUAGAAGAUGACACAAAGUAACAUAAAGACAGAAUAACAAACAAGAUCUGUCAUUCUACAGUUGGUUUCAAUCGCGUGUUUACAAGUUUGAUCCUCAAUAGAAAAAGCUAGACAAAAAUCAACUUGAAAGAGUUUGAACUGACAUGAACAAAAAUUGCAUUAGAGAUUGGUGUUACCAUUUGAUUGCAGAAACAACUAGAGUGAGAAAAGUAUUGUUCCAAGCUCAAGAACUUAAAAAAGAAUGUAUAGUCUGCAAUUCUGCAUCCACCUGAAAAUAACAGCUCUCAAGAUUUCAGUAAGAGUACAAAAUAAACACUUAAUAGUAAUGUAUCACAUAAGGACCAUAAAACCGAAAAUAAUGGCAUAUGACCAAUUGUUCAUCAAAAGCUACAAAAGAAAUGCAUAAACCAAUCUAACAAUACUACAGUAACUCAAUAUUUCCUAAUCACUAUUAAAAAAACAGAGGCUUCUCCACGAGAAUUGCAGUUAGCUCUCUCUAUUGAACAGGAUCUGUAGUCAAAUUUAUUGUCUGUUCCAAGUGUGAUGAACUCACAAUAAUCAAUAGUUCAAAACAGCUCAAUUAAGAAAAACACCAGAAACAAGCCAAAAUUGAACAGAAAACCCUAAUCACUAGUUAGUCAACCUAGUCACCUACUUCGAGCACAUCUCGACACACAACUGAACAACGCUGGAGAGAAGAAGCAGAGAGUUCAUAUACUUAGGAACUAAUAACAGAUGAAGAAUGUUGUAAAGAUUUAGAGAGUAUCAAUGGAAAGCAACUUACAAAGCUAAAGCACGCAGACUUCAAUAAAAAAAAGCAGGAGCACCAGAAUCAGAAUUUAUGGCUGUAACUACUAACUAGUAACUAGUAAAUGUCUAUCCGGUUUAACAUAAAACCGAACCGGUGAUUGGAACGUCAAAAAUUAGUCACUCACCAAGUCAGAGACCACGUCGUUUCAUUUUAGUUAAAUGAUUCUCGCAACGUCCGAAUUUUUACUUUGAAGUUUGAAGCUAUUGCUAGUAGCCUAGUAGUAUUGAAAAUGCCAGUGAAUUGAGAAGGAUUAAAUUAAGUACAACCACAAAGGAAACAAAAACACAGAUCGUAUGAGUCUCACUUCACUAAAAAGCUAAAGAGAGAUGAAGGAUUUGCACAGUGUAAGAGACGAAAAAGUUGUUUUGGUUGUGUAAAAUAAAAAACAGCACACAAACUUUUAAUAAGUUACAAAUGCUUGGGAAUUAUGAUACAGUCGUCAUCUUCUGAACAUCCCAUUGAAGACAAUUGCGUCAACGUCAGUAUUCUCAGAGAUCUGUAGUGACGACACAGCUUGAGUAUCAAACAAAUCAGCUGAUAUUCCCAUGUUGUUGUUGUUGUUAUCCCAUCCCCUUGCGAAAGGCUCAUAUGAGACUGACGACCAGUUACUGUCUCUUGUUCUGUUGUUAUCAUGAACCGCGUAGCUUGAGCACCGUUGGUGAGGAAAGAAUCUGUUUAUUCCACCACUAAAAAGAUUGAUUUUGGUAGUAUAGUCCCAUGGCUUGAAACCUGUUUCUUGGUUUAGCGUGUUUCGGUAUGAGUCAUCACAAUCUUCGCCAAGUAAGACGUGCAGAGCAACAGCCUCUGCUAUGGCGGCACCUUCCUCAUCCAAUCGCCUUUGUUCCUCAAGUUUUCUAAGCUUCUUCUUCUCUAGCUCAGCCCUGAUGGCUGCAGAAGUAGCGAUGGAUUUCUCAAUACGUCUCUUUUUCCUCUCUGCUUGUUUGAUACGCUCCAGUUCCUCUCUCUCCUGCUUCUUCUUUGCAGCAUAUGCUGAAUCUUCUUCAACUGCUGCGUCUAGCUGUCCUUCCUUCUUCAUUUGCUUCUUCUUCUCUAGCUCAGCGCGGAUCGCUGCAGUAGUAGCAAUAGCUUUCUCAAGACGUCUCUUUUUCUUCUCAGCAAUGGCAGCACCUUCCUCAGCCAAUCUCUUUUGUUCCUCAAGUUUUCUAAGCUUCUUCUUCUCUAGCUCAGCCAUGAUGGCUGCAGAAGUAGCGAUGGAUUUCUCCAGCCGAUUCUUUUUAUUCUCUGCUUGUUUGAUACGCUCCAGUUCGUCUCUCUCCUGCUUCUUCUUUGCAGCAUCUGCUGAAUCUUCUUCAUCUGCUGCCUCUAGCUGUCCUUCCUUCUUCAUUUGCUUCUUCUUCUCUAGCUCAGCCCGAAUUGCUGCAGAAGUAGCAAUAGCUUUCUCAAGACGUCUAUUUUUCUUCUCAGCUUGUUUAAUUGGGUCCACUACACCUUUUACUUUUUUCUUCCUGGCUUUUCUAACAAUUGGCUGAGCUUGUUUGCACAUCGAGCUACUGCUAUCCAUGAUUGCUACAAGUCUUUGUUUGCCUUGCUUUUGUUAACUGGCUUCUUCUUUUAGUUGGUUGUUUCCUUUUACUUUGAUUCUACCAAACUCACUACACCAAGGCGCGAUGAUCUCAAUGACUACUACACCCACUCAGGUAUGUAGGUAUACCUCAUUUUACGGACAAUACAAUCCCAAACAGAAACAACAGGAGAUAAGAGAAGGGAGACGUUGUAGGAGUUUGCAGAGUUAUCCUUUGAAAGCAUUCGUCCUAAUUUCCAACAUCCCUUAACUUCUCCCAUUUUCUACAAAAGAAAACAAUACUAGAUUAGACUUGCGUUAACAGGGAUCUCAAAAAUAAUAUACCAAACCAAACCAACCCAUCUGCUUUCUUAACCUAAUGAAAGCUGCACGACCACACAGUUCUAUUUUCUAUAUGGCUAUAUGCAAAAACAUUAAACAAGAAAGCUUUUUCACAACCAGAUGUUACCCAGCUGAUUACUUAAUUACUCACUCAGGUUACCAACCUAUAAACACAAUUGCACAAGGGACCUAGAAGAUACAGUGAUUCAAAAGAACUAACACUGGUCAACAAACCAAGAUAAAUCAACCAAAGUUGAAUGUACAUACUCUCGAUCAACAUUGAAACCCAAAUUCGGAAAGCUAGCCACAAACUACACAAAGUAAUCCACGAAACAUGGACAUAAAAAGUCAAUUUGAAACAAAUCAUAAGCCAAAUUUAACGAAAUUCAUACUGCGCACACUAAAUCCGGGACAAACUGCGAUCGGAUGAAUCAACCUAUAAUUAUCAUUCAGAAACUAAUGCAUACACCAAAAUCAAAUCAAAGCAAACACGAAACGAGUAGGUCGAUUCAGAGAUCAAAACCUAAGGCAAUCAUAAAGUAUUACAAAAUCGACUCAAAUUGGAUUGAUCUAUGGAAAUUGAAGAAGAUUGAAUCGAAGCAAUUAUGAAAAGGAAUUGGAUCCUAACCUCGGCAAAAUGGCAUAGAAGCAGACUACCUCGACUAACUUCUCCUGAGAUUUAUCGGAUAGAAAGAGAGAGAGAGAGAGAGACCAAAUCGCGGACGUAAAGUUACUACUUCGAUCCAGAGAGAAUAAACGCAGAGACGAGAGAAAGAAGAUUUUGAGAAAGAAGAUUUUGAGAAAGAAGAGACACUGGAGCGGAGCAAUUAUGUUAUAUUUAAUCCAAUUAGAAAGUAACACGUGGUGGAUGAUGUGUUGAGUGGAGGUUUUCGAUUGGGAUUUAGGGACCUAAAACUUGAUUAGUCAAUGAUAUAUGUAUUGGAUCCACAUAUAUUUUUCAGCCGUUAGAUUCGACAAGUAUUGCCAUUAAUAUUUGAUAAUGAACGGCUGAGAUUGGAUCUUAGAGAAAGCAACAAGUGUAUGAAUGAACUGUCAAAAAUAGAAAACCUCGUGGGCCUUUUCUGGGCUAAAUCUUUUAGAUUUUGAUAGAAAAUGUGGAUGGGCUUUCAUCGAGCUCCAGUUCCGCAGCGCUCUUCUCUAAUAUAUCUUCUCCACGGUAAUAAUAUGUUAGGUGGGCCAUGUGUUAUCAGAAAAUUAUUAAAAUUGUGAUUAUUAUUCGUAAAUACAUUGCUUAAAAAGUUAGUUAGAUUUUGAUUCGUUUCCACCAGACGAAUCUUCGUAACGCAUUUUCGUUGAUUCACUUUCCAGCUUUAUCUCAAACUCUCUCUCUGUCGUCUCGAUCGAUCUCCCAAAUCUCAAAUUCUGAAUUGAUUUUUUUUGUUUAUAAACAAAGCAAACAAAACACAUAAUUUUGGUUCGGUCUUCUUCAAUUUUCACCGACACAAACCCGUCUUUUCCUCUUCUCUCUCAUUUCUAUCAAUUUUUCUCUACAAUUCCCCAGUCGUCGAAGAAGCUACAGGUAAACCGAUCUUCUCAAUUUUCAUCUCUUCUCGUCGCAUUAUGCUCAUACCUCGCCGCGAGAGGAUAUCAAAAAGCGAGAUUUGUUAUUUUUGCAUCCGAGAAUUUUGGUUAUGGAUUACACAACCGAAUUAAUCGAAAUUCUCUUUGUUCGUGUUUCCCUUGAUCGCCACGAAAGUUUCAGAUUUUUUUUUGGAUUUCUUAACCGAAUUUAGUUUAAUCUUGCUCAUGUUCUGUUUCAUACCAUGUUCUGAAAUAUUGUUUUUUUGAAUCAUACCUUUUGAAACUCAUCGCCACCAGCUUGCAAUUUGCUCGUGUUCUCUUCCAUCAUUCCUUUGUUAAGAGCCUCUUCAUGGCUUCUACGGUUGAUUCCAAUUUCUUCUCAUCCGUCCCAGCUCUUCACAGUAACCUCGGACUUUUGUCUCCUGAUCAGGUUUCUAUACUUCUGCACUCUGUUAUAUGUUUGUGUCUGGACUAGUGAUCCAUUCUUUUCUUAUAAUUGUCUUCCAUUUCGUGAUCUGGUUUUCGUGGCAGAUCGAACUGGCGAAGAUCUUAUUAGAAAAUGGUCAGAGUCAUCUCUUCCAACAAUGGCCUGAACUCGGUGUUGAUGAUAAAGAGAAGCUAGCUUUUUUCGAUCAGGUUUUUUCUUUAUGUUUUUUUUCUUACAUCUCAGUGUUUUGAUGAAUGAACGUAGAAACAGGACUUAAGACAUCGUUUUGGAAUGAAAAUGUUUAUUAGAUUGCUCGCUUAAAUUCAAGCUAUCCUGGAGGUUUAGCAGCAUACAUUAAGACUGCGAAAGAGCUUCUCGCUGAUUCGAAAGUAGGGAAAAACCCAUAUGAUGGUUUCUCUCCUUCUGUAAGUAUCAUCAAAUCUUCUUUUUUUGUUGGUAUGAAUUCAAAAGUUCAUUGUUUUAUGUUGUCUCUGUUGGUUUUUAACAAAAGGUUCUUGUGGUUCUUGCAGGUCCCUUCAGGAGAAAAUCUCACUUUUGGUACUGACAACUUCAUCGAAAUGGAAAAAAGAGGUGUCGUCGAAGCUAGGAAUGCUGCUUUUGUUCUGGUUGCUGGUGGUCUUGGCGAGCGUCUUGGUUACAAUGGAAUCAAGGUACAUAGUGAACAAUGUUUCAUUUACUUAAUCACUUACCCGUAGAUAGAAUAGAUAGACCUACAAACAGAUUUGACCCAGUUAUGAAUCUAUUUCUUAGGUGGCACUUCCAAGGGAGACAACUACAGGGACAUGCUUCUUGCAGCAUUACAUUGAAUCUAUAUUGGCUCUUCAAGAAGCUAGCAACAAGAUCGAUUCUGGUAUGUUUCUAAUUUUUUAAAUCAACGUAAGUGAAUAAGUACUUUUUCACAUUCCUCAGUGAUUGUAUAUUUCUGCAGAUGGAAGUGAGAGAGACAUUCCUUUCAUUAUUAUGACAUCUGAUGAUACUCAUUCACGUACACUGGACCUGUUAGAGUUAAACUCUUAUUUUGGAAUGAAACCUACUCAAGUACAUCUUCUAAAACAGGUAAAGGAUCAUCUAUUGAGUUUCCUAGACAGAUUUUAUGAAAACGUAAAAUGUUUUGAGAAAUAAUGCACUAUUGGCUACCUUUUUUCUAGGAAAAAGUUGCAUGUCUUGAUGAUAACGAUGCCAGACUUGCAUUAGACCCUCACAACAAAUACAGUAUCCAGGUACUUGUGUUCAUGUUAACGUUUUCAAAGCUAGUACAAAUAUUUGCAGGCUGACCUGUCGUUUUCUUUGCUACUCAUAGACAAAACCUCAUGGACAUGGUGAUGUACAUUCGCUUCUUUAUUCCAGUGGCCUUCUUCAUAAAUGGUAGUUCAUCUAUCAUAUAUAUCUUUUAGUUUUAUAAGUCUGUUGACUAUAACAAUUUUUUUUUUGUUGCAAUUUCAGGCUUGAGGCUGGUUUAAAAUGGGUUUUGUUUUUCCAAGAUACAAAUGGACUUCUCUUCAAUGUUAGUAGCAGCGACUCAACUCUUGUGUCUUAAAGUAUUCAUACAAUUUUUGAUGGAAAUUCACAAUUCUUUAAUGACUUCAUUGGUUCAGGCAAUUCCAGCUUCUUUGGGUGUGAGUGCUACCAAACAGUAUCAUGUUAACUCUCUCGCUGUUCCUCGCAAGGCGAAGGAAGCUAUUGGAGGAAUUAGUAAACUUACUCACGUUGAUGGUAACUUUAGUGAAUAGUAGAAAUCCACACUUGCUCAGUGACACUUUUCAUAUUUUCCGUUUGAUAAUCGAGUGGAUGGAUUUAAAUGGUUUCCAGGGAGAUCUAUGGUAAUCAAUGUGGAGUACAAUCAACUUGAUCCUCUACUUAGAGCAUCUGGAUUCCCUGAUGGGGAUGUUAAUUGUGAGACGGGCUUCUCCCCAUUCCCGGGAAAUAUUAAUCAAGUGAGUGUUCUUCUACUCGACGAGACAAGAUUUGUCUCUGAUCAGGAAAAUUUCAAGACUCUAAAUAUUUUUCAAUGCAGUUGAUUCUGGAACUUGGUCCCUACAAAGACGAGUUGCAAAAAACUGGAGGGGCCAUUAAAGAGUUUGUUAAUCCAAAGUAAUUCUUCUUUUCUCCUCCCUUGAAUCUUCAGUGUUUCUCAAAGUAGAUGCUCUGACUUUGACAUCUACUUUCUGGAUUAUAUGAUAGAUACAAGGAUAGCACCAAAACAGCAUUUAAAUCUUCGACUCGUCUAGAGUGUAUGAUGCAAGAUUAUCCAAAGACAUUGCCUCCUACGGCACGAGUUGGAUUCACGGUAAUUGUUAUCUGUAGAAUAUAACAGUACUUUCCUUAUGCAUGCUUGUUGUGACAGUAAUUCUUCAUGUAGGUGAUGGAUAUAUGGCUUGCUUAUGCACCCGUAAAGAAUAACCCUGAAGAUGCUGCUAAGGUAAAAUACUUAAUAAACAGAGACAAUAACUGAUCAAGAAGGUUCAUGUCUUAAACUGUAACCUGAAUUUGAGAGGAAUACCAAAUAUGAAUGAUGGUGCUUCCUUUCUGACUAAUAUAAUACGUUUUCCCCUAUCCACUGAAGGUACCAAAGGGAAACCCAUAUCAUAGUGCUACUUCUGGAGAAAUGGCGAUUUAUCGUGCUAACAGCCUCAUUCUUCAAAAGGUAAUUAGUACUCUCCAGAGAAACUUGAUUCUAAAUAAAUCGGUUCGAAUCAGACAAUUCUUUCCAUGAUUAUCUAAGCGACAUCUAUUUUCUAUGGUUUUACGAAUUCUUUAGGCUGGUGUCAAAGUGGAAGAGCCUGUGAAGCAAGUCUUGAAUGGCCAAGAGGUUGAAGUAUGGUCUCGUAUCACAUGGAAACCCAAAUGGGGAAUGAUCUUCUCUGAUAUCAAAAAGAAAGUCAGCGGGAACUGCGAGGUCUCUCAGAGAUCCACAAUGGCAAUCAAGGGUCGUAAUGUAUUUAUCAAAGAUCUCUCCUUGGACGGUGCUCUUAUUGUAGAUUCCAUUGAUGAUGCAGAGGUAUGUGAUGUGUAUUUGAAAGCUAUCAUAUUCCAUUGUUAUCUCUUUGAUUAUCAUCAUAUUAACAUUGUGAAAACAGGUAAAACUUGGAGGUUUGAUAAAGAACAAUGGUUGGACCAUGGAGAGUGUAGAUUACAAGGACACAUCGGUUCCAGAAGAAAUAAGAAUCAGAGGUUUUAGAUUCAACAAAGUGGAGCAACUCGAAAAGAAGUUAACUCAACCUGGCAAAUUUUCUGUUGAAGAUUGAAGUUAUCUUUGCACAUUUAUGUGACACUUUUUUAAAAAGUGUUAUUUGGCAAUAUGAUCAAUUAGCAAAUUAGCUAUUUUUUUAAGAGAAUGCCAAAUGAUCCAUUAAUUUGUCCUUCUAAUGGAGAGCUUAAUUCUUUCUUUCGUUUUGUUUCCAACGAAACACUUCCUUUUCUUUGUUUUUCAACAAAACCCGAAUAUAUUGUUUCUUUAUGUUUUUCUAAAUCUUUAUUAGCCUGACUCUUUCUUCUACGUCAUUUUUUAUAUAUACUAAAAGAAAGACUAGUCCCAAAAUGUAUUACAAAAACAUCAAAGAAGUAAAAUUGGGUUUGUAGCAAUUAAGAGGUAGAAGAACCCUUGUUGUAUAAUUUGAUUCUCCGGCUUAUCUCUUUCUCCAACUCUUCUUUUCCUCCCACUUCUUCUACUUCCUGCACCAUUCUCAAAAUCCAAUCCAAACCAUAUGCAAACAAAAAAUAAAAAUCAAUUCACGUGUUAAACAAAAAUAACAUGCAAAUUAUCAAUUGAUAUCUCAUAUGUUUAUUUUUGAAAAGGGUUAUAUAUUCUUGCCUUUGGUCCAAGAAACAGCCCAUAUGGUACACCUUUGAAUUUGUCUGUGUGGUGUAGCUAAAAAGAUAAAGCCAUAAUCGUUAGCAAAAUUUUGUAAAUCAAUAAUAACUAUAUGGAAUGAAGAACGUUAAGAGCGUUGGUUAACGAUGGUAUUAAAACCUGGUGAGCGGCGGCGACCUUUCGAAGGUAAGGAACGUUGGCAAUGGGACCUACAGGGAAUCUCUUGUGCACAAGUCCAUCGUGAACGAACAUGUAAGCCAUUCCAAACAUCGUUAUUCCCAGUCCCUGGUGAUAUUACAAACCAGUCAGCACAAAAAACAAGAAACAGAUAGUACUCGUAUAGUGGUUUCAUUAGUCUAAGUACACCCAAUCUUUCAUGUUUGGACGGGUACUAGAUGAUAGGUCUCACCCAACUCACACGUUCACACUCUUUGUGGGACGGUGAAAAGAAAAAAAAAAACCACAAAAAAUUUUCAUACUUUCGGUUUCCGUGACUUUAUUUAAAGAAGUCAAAUACCAAUUUACUAUUGCUUCUCUCUUUAUAGAAAAACAAAAGACUUUUGAUCUUUUCUUUAUAAGUUUCGGAUAUUGUCGAAAGAGAGAAAAAAGACUUACGGCACCGAAGCAGAGACCAGGAACAAGUCCUUUAUUCAAGAAUCCAUAAUAGAGUAGACCAAUCGCAGGAACCGCGUUUGUUAUAGCAAACACAUCGUUUAACUCAAACGCUCCUUCUCUUGGUUUGUGAUGUGACUGCCACAAACCAAUAACCGGCUAUGAAUAUUCUUAAUUUGUUAGCAGUAAACCGGAAAAGAAAAACCAGAAUAAUGAGAAAAAAUGAAAUACCUCAUGCAUGUUCCAUAAAGAAUCAUGCCAAAGAGCUCUAUGAGCCCAUCUUGCCCAAAACUCCAUCCCAACCUAAAAUUCAAAUAUACGAAAAUAUAAAUGAAUCGGAAUAAGCAUGGACAUUGGCUUUUUACGGUUUAACUUGUUCUGGUUAUUGAACUUCGUUUUUUUCGGAUGUUAGAAAAUAGGCUGAAAACAAAUGUAUUUUGAUAAGUCUAGUUAAAAAUAAAAUUUCUUAUGAAUUUGUGGUUUAAUUCUGUUUGUUUGCAUAGAAUUUUAUUUAGUUUGAGUUAUAAAUAAAAUUUGGUUCGGAAUUAGAUUGACAUAUUUCGGUUUGGUUUGGAUUUUCCCACCCCAAAAUGGGAAUAUAAUGUAGGAAUGAAACUUACGGCAGCACCAACGGAAAGAGCAAAUGUACCAAACAUCUCUAACACAGACACUUCACCUCCCUAAAAAAAAUCAAAUUUUUCACUUUUGGAAAUUAGGACAAAUAGUAUUGAAUUUUCGUUAUUUAUUUAUUUAUUAUAAUUUACCUUCAUUUGCCAAGAAAAUCGGUAAUAAACAGCCAUUAUAGCCAUAGAAGUGAUACCAAAGCUCGACAUCACAGCUGCUAUUAAAUAAGUGAACCUCUCUGAUUUCUUCUUCUCCGCUUUCUUGAGAAGCCGCGACGUCAUCAAGAUCUCAGAAGAGCUUGUCGUGCUUUCUGGUUUGUUGUCAUCGUCCAUGGGAGAGCUUUGUUUCCGUUCUUCCACGACGAAACAAACGGUGAGAAUCUUUCGACGUCGGAAGCCGUUGAAUCUUAGAGAUGGAGGGAAAACUGCGGUGGAUAUAGGGUGGUUUGCGGAGAAAGAAGAGCGGUUGAGUGGUUUGAGUGUUACGGCGAUUGUUGAUAGUCCUGCUGCCAUGGAAGGAGUUCGUUGAGGUUUUAUGAAACUUUAACGAAAGAGAGUUAUAGAGACAAAUAUAAAGAGAAACACAAGGAGACUAUUGUGUGGUAAAGCUUUGCAGAGAGAAGAGCUAAAUGGAGAGAGGCCACAUUUUUAUUUUCUUUUACAAACAAAUUAUAUAAAAACUAUACCAUUUUGUUUUUUUUAUAUGUUGAGUCAAUUACAAUAAUAUUGUUAAUGUUUAUAAUAAGAAAAACAUUUCGCAAAAGCAAGCAUAUAAACAAAUACAAAAAGUGAGUUUAUUAGAAUUUGAGGUAAGGAGAGGUGAUGGCCUGAUGGGCCAUUUUCUAGGAUUUUCCCAAGUCAUCGACAGCGAAUCACUCCACUUCUAUUUAAUGGCUCCACGUGGCCUCUUCUUCCACCGAAUAGGCAAGAGGAGUAUCACCAACUUCCACAUGUCCAAUCCUUAUUUGUUCAUAUUGUUUCAUCAGAUGACACUCUUCAAAGGUAAAUGAGGUAUUGCUUGACAUGAAGCUUCUAGUUCUCGUUCUAAACUUGUGCGACUUAAAAAGGAUCUCAAGUAUACAACUACAGGUGGUUUAAUUUACACAAGUUGUUUCCAUGCAUUUUCAAAACAGAUUUCAGCUUGAUUUGUAGUUUUGACAAGUUACUAACAAAACAAAAUAGCAAAAGUUAUGACUGAAAUAUAUGAAUGUGACUAUGUGAGUGAUCAGAGCCCAGAAAAGUUACUAAAAAGCCGCAGCAUAAACUAAUUGUUUAAAGUUACAGAUCAAUUUGCUUUGGUUUUAACUAAAAGGAAAUAUUAAUUUGCUCUGUUUGAUUAGUAUGUUACUCAACUAAAAAUAUGCAUUUCUGAUAAAUUCUGGUUAAUGUGGUUCUGUUACACCAAAUUCGCAUUUUACUACUAUAGUAAAGAAACUUAUUUCGUAUUAUUCGGAUUAUUAUAAAGUUGACUAAAUUCGAUUCGAUUACAACUUGGUUCGGUUCGGUUCGGUUACAACGCCGACCUGUAAUUAAAACCUUUUUAACUGCAAAAUUAAUGAAGAUACACACACGUAAUCGAAUAUUCUCAACGACGCGUAAGCUUCCUCUCUAAUUACUUACUUCGUCUCCAGGGUAAUCUGAUCUCUCUCAUCACCUCUCUCUUCUCCUGAAAUCACCAUGAGUAUGGAAGCAACGGAGCUACAAGAUCUCUCUGACGACGCCGAUUACGCCGCUUCUCAACAACAAGUUUGUUAUUCUGACUUUGUCCUUCUUCUCGUGCUUUCUCAAUUUUGAUUCAACAAUUCGAUCGUAAUUUUCCGAUAAUAAAUCUUCGCCAAUGCGAAUUUGAAUCCAUUAUCUAUUUGACUUGAUCGUUUGAUUGUGUUGCUAUGGCUCUUGAUUUUGUUAGGGAUCGGCUAGUAUGAUGCGUAGCGAUAGCGGAAAGAGAAGUUUACAAAGUGAACACGAAGACGCUGUAUUGAUUUAUUUGAAAGAUAACGUUGCAAUUCAUCCUACACAGUUCGCAUCUGAGAGGAUUAGUGGUAGAUUGAAGUUGACUAAGCAAGACUCUGUUCUCUUUCUGGUAAUCAAUCACUGAAAUUGAUUGUUUGUUUGUAUUAGUUUUGUAUUCAUUCACUUACUUGUUUCCAUUUUUUGAUAUAUGAUGGCUAGUCGUGGAUUCCGUACAAGGGACAAACAUCAAAUGCAAAGCUAUCAGAGAAAGGUAUUUAGGAUUCCUUGAACUGAAUUAGUAUAUGUUAGUAUUGAAGAUUAAUGCUUUACCUUUGUUCUUAGUUUCUAUAUCUUUUCUAGACAGGAGUCUUUAUACCAUCACCGCGGUUCCGUUUACUGAAGUGAGGUCCAUUAGGAGACACACUCCUGCUCUCGGAUGGCAGUAUGUAAUUGUUGUCCUGUCUUCUGGUAAGCAAAACUUUUGGCUGUUGCUUUUUGUGAGAUAUAUAUAAUGAAUUACUAUACGGGAGGGGGUUUCCCUUUUCCUUCUCGACAAGUCGAAUGAUUCAGACUUAAUGGUUUAAAAUGACCUGCAGGACUUGCAUUUCCACCUCUGUACUUCUACAAUGGAGGAGUCAGGGAGUUUCUGGCCAUGGUGAAGCAGCAUGUUUUUCUUGCAAGGUUUGUGUCUGAUAUGAGAUAGUUUUUUGUUCUGUAUUGAUAUUCUUAUUUAUAACCUGUCUUUAUAGUCUGUUUCGGUUACUGUAUGAAAGUAGCUUAGGAAUGCACAGUGUCAAUGUAUUGACAGGCUUUUAUAGCACUUGUUACUUACUCAUUAGAGAGGUCUAACAUGAAAACUUUUGGUUCACCCGAGUUUAUUAUCGUAUGGAACUGGGUGGCUCGUUACAUAGUUAUGUCACAAAGAAAAUAUUCAGAAUUCAUAGUCUUACAUGAUACUAGCUUUUUAUAGGUCGUCAGAAGAUCAAAAUGUGUUCAUUGUGAAUGAUUUUCAGAGUCCCUUGCAGGUAAUCAUAUCAGAUCAUCUCAUGUUGGGUGCAGUGAUGAUUUUUUUUUAAUUCUCUUAUUGGCUAAUACAUUUUAUCAUAAUAUCCGAUAGAGAACUUUGUCUUCAUUGGAGCUGCCAAGUUCACUGCCUGUAGCAAGUGGACAAUCCGUAUACCCAUUAGACGGAGGUUCUUCUAGUGAAAAUCAAAGGAGAACAAGUUCAGAUGUUGGUAAUAGAGUAUCUAGUGUUUCCCAGUCUGGCUUCAGAAAGCAAAAGAGUCAUGAUCCAACUCGGGAUCUUUCAAUCCAUCUACUAGAGAAGUUUUCUCUGGUUACCAAAUUUGCUCGAGAUACAACUACUCAGCUGUUUUCGGAAAACAAUGGCUUUGGUUCCAUUGACAAGAGAUGGAAUAACCAACCCGUACAUAGUUAUCCUGAAAAGUUGUCGAACAUUGCUGAGGAAAAGCAUCAUGAAAUCCGUCAUAGUUAUUCUGAAAAUGACCUUCUCAAGGAUGACGAAAUUUCUUAUAUUGAUGUCCCUGCUGAUCCCUUAGAGGUAACGAUCAUUUUUUUUGUUAUAAGCAUUACCAUGUUGGUGGAAACUAUAUUGGUAUAUUGUGAACCAUCCUGUGUACGCAACAUCUAGUUUUUUUCGUCUCGUGGAUAGAUUGUCAUUUAUUCUAAAGCACAGGGUGAAAUUUUUAUAUUACCUAUUGACUAAAUUCCAUACAUCAUAGAUUUUUUUCCUUGUGUCUGAUUCAUUCUAGAUCCCCAAUUGACAAUUACCAUGACCUUGGUACUCUAGUUAUCCUACUGGGCAUAAUUCGAGUGCUUAUAUGGGUGGACUUAUGCAUGCAUUUCAGUUGUGCUUGUACUUUCAAUUAGUUGGAACACUACCUUAGAUACUAGUGACUAUUGAAUUACAGCACUUUUGCUUGUUCUUGUUAAAGUUUGUUGGAAACACAGCGCUGAAAGUUCUUUUUAUAUAUUCAAGGGCAAUCACUUUGUAGACUAAGCAAGUUAAGCAUUGAUUAAAACGAUCAGCUUUAGUUAAUAAUCACUUCUGCAAUAUAUAUGAAUGAUUCACCUUGUAUAAGUAAGAUAAACAUUUACGGAUGGAAUGCUUUCUAUGCUACCAAACACAACUGGCCACUUGUUACGACAAGUACAUAUAGAGUAUGAUACUUAUGAAUUUUUUGAAGAUUAUGCCAUUUAAUUCGUCCUAUUUUGCAGUUUGAUAAAUUAAGUUUGAUGUGGGGAAAACCAAGGCAACCACCAAUGGGGCAUAAAGAGGUAAGCCCUUCCGAAUAUUGCAAUUUUUCAAAGUCUGGAAAGUUUAGAGAGGAAGCUUUCUUGGGUGCUGUGUUUUUUUUCUUAAUACUAAAUUUUAGAGAAGAAAUGAUAUAUCACCAAGCAUUAAGUGUAGAAUAUCGACAGAGUAUGUGCAACCUGGUAGAGAAUAUGGUUUGCUUCUUCGUAUGCUAUAAGCCUCUGUUUAAAUUCAAACUUUUGCUGGUUCUUAGUUCACAGCAUUGUUGGAUUCUGAAGGGCGAGUUGUGGAAUCAAAAGCUCUUCGGGAGAGAGUUUUCUAUGGAGGCAUUGAGCACCAGUUGCGUAGAGAGGUUAACUUUAUAUUUCAUAUGAAAUUUUAACUUAAAAUUAGGCUUGCGUGAUUAUAUGCAGAUUAAUUUUGGAACUUGGGAUCAUCAUUGUAGGUAUGGCCCUUUCUCUUGGGAUAUUAUGCAUAUGACUCGACAUAUGCAGAGAGAGAAUAUCUUCGAUCUGUCAAACGGAUGGAAUAUGCAACAUUGAAACAGCAGUGGCAGGUUCAUUCAUCAUCAUUUCUAGAUUCUUUAAUUGGCUAUGUAGUUCUUUUGCCCAAUGAUGCCUGAGCUAUUUACAUAAAAUUUUGAGGCGUUCCUAGAGUAGUUUAUUUCCCUCAUGUAGAUGCACUUUUAACUAGUAUAUUUUUUUUGGCAGAGCAUUUCCCCUGAACAAGCAAAAAGGUUCACAAAAUAUCGGGAGAGAAAAGGAUUGAUAGAUAAAGAUGUGGUAAGAAGAGUUUGAGAAUUGUGAUAUAUGUGGUGUGCCUUAUUCACCGAAUUCCUGUUGAGUUAUUAUAUUCCUGGUUUCUUCUUGUGUAGGUAAGAACUGAUAGGGCAUUUGAAUACUAUGAAGGGGAUGACAAUCUACAUGUCAAUAGCAUGCGUGAUAUUCUGUUGACCUACUCCUUCUACAAUUUUGACCUGGGUUACUGCCAGGUACUCAUCAGUUUUCAAAGUUCAUUCUUAGCACUGAAUUACAAGUUGGCGUUGUCCUUACUGUUAUGAAUCCAUAUUUUGGGUCGGUUGCCCCACUUAGCGUACAAAACAGAACUGCUGGACACUCUUCUAUUUCUGGCUUUUGCUUUGAAUUUUUCCAUUGUGUUUAACUGACAAAUGUUUUUUUAUCUGGUUGUUAGGGAAUGAGUGAUUAUCUGUCUCCUAUCUUGUUCGUGAUGGAGGAUGAAUCAGAAUCUUUUUGGUGUUUCGUGGCACUGAUGGAACGACUUGGACCCAACUUUAACCGUGACCAGAAUGGGAUGCAUACUCAGCUCUUUGCACUCUCAAAGGUCUAUAAUUUUUUUUCUUCGAGAACCCCUCUACAAUUUACAUUUUGCAUUUCUUCCUUUCUAUCAGCAUUCGGCAUCAAUGUUGGGGGAUCUGAACCUGAAGCAUUUCUUUUUCAUUUUCACUGUCACACAGCUGGUAGAGUUGCUCGAUAGCCCGCUACAUAAUUACUUUAAGGAGAAUGACUGCUUGAAUUACUUCUUCUGUUUCCGCUGGAUUCUGAUUCAGUUUAAAAGGUUUGUUUCUUCUUUUCUGCCUCUUUUUCGUUAUUGGUUAGAUGUUUGUACCACAACAUCAUUUUGGGAUGGACAAAAUUACUGCUACCCUACCAAAAAUUGGGAUAUCAUCUGUGAUUAGUUAACCAGUUUACCUACCCAUUUUGCAGUACUUGGCUCGAAACCCUUCCAAUGUCUGACAUAUCUAAAGAAAAUAUACUGUCUAAAAUACCUGAAAUACGUUCCAUAGCACUUUGAAUGUGAAUGACGAGAAUUCCCAAUAUUAUUUUCUUAAUUUCAAGAUUUUUUUUUGUUUCUUUUAAGUUUUUACUGUGUUGUAUUUGAUUCUGGUGACAUUGUGUUUUAGGGAAUUUGAGUAUGAGAAGACAAUGCAGCUGUGGGAGGUGAUGUGGACCCACUACCUCUCGGAACAUUUUCACCUAUAUGUUUGUGUGGCGGUCUUGAAGCGAUGCCGCAGCAAGAUAAUGGGAGAACAGAUGGAUUUUGACACUCUCUUAAAGUUCAUCAAUGAGCUGUCUGGGCAUAUUGAUCUCGAUUCAACAGUCAGAGAUGCCGAAGCACUUUGCAUAGAAGCUGGUGAAAAUGGUGCUGCUAGCAUUCCUCCAGGAACCCCUCCUUCUCUACCCCUUGAUGACGGUACCUUAUAUCCUCAGGAAGAUGAUGUUUUGUAAGUAAUACGACUUUUCUUUUUUCUUCUGGACAUGUUACCAAAAUUUGGAUUGCUUUUACUAGAAAUCCCAUACAAUGAUUAAGGCAAAGGACAUAAGCUUUUUUUCUUUUUCCCACUUAAUAAUUACUCUGGUUCGCAAAUCGCUAGGGAUAAGUAUUCUGCUGCAUUGUGCUGCAGUUGCAUAAGGUAAGAAUACGAUCCUCAGCGAAUUAGGACUUGUCACAAUUUAGGAUUAAUUCUUGCGUAGGCUACGUAACUCGAUGUAAAUUGUAUAAGUAAAGCAAUAAUAACAUAAUGACUCGAAAAGUCUAUGCAAGAAUUUAUCCUUCGAGAUAAAUCCAGGAAAGUCCUAAAGCAGAGGAAAGAAAUCGGUAAAGGAAAAACAUGGGUCAAACACGAGAGUGUUGUCUGGGUAGUGGGAAAUAAGUGGCAAGGGAGAUCCUACGUGGACGUCAUAGCCAAAGUGGUUGGUCUCCUCCAUCCAGGUAUUGCUCUCCUCUUCUCCUCCUUCUCCAUGGCUUCUUCUCAGUUCUGUAGACAUAACUGGCUUAUCCGUGAAAGGAGUGGCGCCGACGAUUGAUUCAGGUGCAUUCUGUCUUCGGGAAUUAGGUUUCUUGUUCAAAUGAGUAUUCCAGUAGUUCUUCACUUCAUUGUCAGUACGACCUGGAAGGCGACCAGCGAUCAACGACCAUCUGAUGGAAAAGAAUAAGAAGUUAGUAUCGGUAAACUUAUGAGAGGGAUGAUCAGUGGUGAAAGAGGAAAGACCUGUUUCCAAGAAGCUUAUGCAUGCGGAUGAUAAGGUCUUGUUCUUGUGGUGACAUGCUUCCUCUUUUGAUAUUUGGUCUUAGAUAGUUCUUCCAUCUCAGCCUACAGCUUUUUCCUCCUCUCUUCAACCCUGAAAAAAACAUCAUGCAGAAACACAAAUUCUUUAAUGUCCCAAAAUCCCAUCUCCCCUUUACUAGUAAACACAAAAAUUUGGAAAUCGAACCGGAUCUACGAGAAAUGUCUGCCCAGUUUCCUUCACCAUGAGUCUCAACAUAGCUUUUUAAUAUCAUAUCUUCUUCUGGUUUCCACAACCCUCUCUUCACGUAAGACUUCCCUUCUUCUCUUUUGCAUUCCAUCUUUUAUUUUUUCUUCCACAGUUUUGCAAGUGAGUGAGGCUGUUUAUUAACUAUAUACACAAAAAGUUUGAGGUUUCCAACUUUAACUCUUACAUGUGGGGACUAUCUACUAAAAUUAUUGAAGAGAAAAAGAGAACAGUGGUUUGCACUUUUCCGACAGUAACACUACUGUAAAUUCGUGCAAACUAGAGCUGUAAAAGCUCUAUUCCCUUGUUUUUAUCCUCAACAUUGUCACAAAUUAUUGGCUUUUAAGGCAAACAUAUAAGCACGGGAGAUCAGAGGUUGAAGAUUGCCAUCAACCUCGAUACAUGCGUUAGUCCAUUGCAUUGCAGAUACAGUUUGUGCGUUUACAGUUGUUGCGUUUCAAAUAUUCUUUCUCGCUCAAAAUGCUUUUCCAAUAGUCAAGACUAGUGUAUAAGGGAUAACAAAUCAAUAUCUAAAAAAUCUAAGAACGAAAAGAGAGGUAUAUGUCUAAUAUACAUAUUUGAGUGAUAUAUGCAUCUACGUCCUAGCUAGUUCUUAGUUUUCAGAUUUUAAUAUUAUGGAAUUUGGUAACUUACAUUUAAAAAGAAAACACGAUUCAACUUAUUUUCUUUUUUAAUAUGAUAUCAUAAGAUACACCACGAUUAAAAUCUGAAAAUUCCAUAUAGGUCAAUAACUUUCGAAAAACAUUAUAGUACCAAAAGAUAAUUAUUACAACAAGAAACCAUCUUUUUAUUUUGUGUAACUUUUGUUUGGCUCACAAAGGGCAUUCAAAUUUUAGUACACAAUGACAUGCCUAGAUCUCAUUGAUGUACCUUCCUAUAAAAAAUGAAGACUGAACAAAAUAUGUGGUAUCAUAUUCGAUUCAUUAUAUCCACUUUGAUCCGAUCCAAAAAUCUGUAUAAUCGUAAAUUUGCGGAGCAAAACAAAUAAUAAAAUUUAAUAUGUGCCAAAUGUGAAACAUAUAACAAAAACUAAAAUACCAAAUUGGAAUCUUUGAAUAUUUCUUAGUAAAAUGUAGAUUACUUUUAGUAGGAGUUUACUCUGUCGUAUCAAACAGCAACUCAUGCCUCUAGUUUUGUUUGCUAUCAUCAUCAUUGUUAUUGUCUUUCAUAUAAAAUAAUAGCAUUAUGACUACUUUCUGACUGAUAAAACUUCAUAAUUGCGUAAUCAUUUUCAAACAAUGUAGUUAGAUCUUUAUUAAUUUUCGAACAAUUUAUCUUUGUGUUAUACGUAUGACCCUUAUUAAUUUUACAUGAUGCAUAUUAACCGGAACAAUUGCAAUGACAUAUAUGUUUAUGUUCAAAAAGUUUGCAAAAACCUCCUGUUUCGCACCCUUCAAUACAAAAUUUCCAGCAUUUCCCAUCCUUCUCAGCAUCAUCAUCGAUGCCUGGAAGACACCUUCCAACACUCGGAUGUUCUUUACAACAUAUCGAUUUGUCUUCAAAUAUCCAGGGUGCGAUGUGUUUUUGUCCAUCUAUUUGAAUGGAUCCUACAUUUAAUCAAAAAUAAUAUUACAUGAAUUAAUUUUCCAACAUAAAAACUUCGGAAAAAAAGGUUAACGCUUUAGUGCUAAAUACAAAAAAAACAUAGUAUACAUAAUACAAUAGCAGCAAAUAAAACAAAAGAGACAACAUUUGUUCUAACCAUUCUUCUCUUUUUUCUUUGUUAAAUCAAAAUAUUAAGAAUUUUUUGAUAUUUUUGUAUUUGAAUGAGAAUGAAGAAGGAGUUGUUUCGUAUUUAUAAUUAGAAUUCUAACUAUAUUCAAGGGAUCCUUCGAAUUAACAUUAUCUCACAUAAUAAAUUUGUAAGGAAUACAAUAUAUUUGGUCAACCAAAUUAAAAACAUGUUUCCAAAAAGAUUGGAUAUUCCAACUUUGACUACAUUAUUACAAGACAUACAUGACUUAUUUAGAUAAACGUUUUUGGUAGUUUGCAAGGUAAUGCAGACUAAUAUUUUCUGUGGGUUUAUUCUGUCAAGAGAUAUGAUUAGAGACUCAUUCAUUUCUCAAUAUUCCAAUUCACUAGUUUAGGAAAUUAAUAUAAUCUUGAGGCUCACGCCUAUUACUUGUAUAUAAACAAGCUCUGUAUCUCUUUGUGAAAUACAUCAAACAUACAUCUUCUACAUAUCCGUUGUCGUAAUAUUCUUGUUUGAACUCUAAACCAAAACUUAGAUCGGUUUGGUUUACUCGCCGGUUGUUGCGCUCUAUGACGAACUUUUAUAUAAACUCGUUUACUCGCCGUUAUUACAACUUACAACUUCUGCUCAUAUUAUUUAAUACUCAUGCGGUGAAGAAGAAACAAGACGAGGAGAUGAGCAUAUAUUAUUAUUACAUUAAAAUUAUUACAAAGGAUUCACUUGGACAAGACUGACCAACAUUUAUAUUUAAAAAAAAGAACUGACAAACAUUAUACGAAAGAAGAAUCCAUUAACUCAUGUGAUCAUGCAAGAUCAUCACUCUUCUUGUUCUUAUUACAAUAACAUAAUACUUUCAACGUAAUCCGUGAAAGUAAGCACUAAAGAUGAUCGAUCUGAGCAUCUGAUCCCUCCGAGCCAAACUUCCCUUGAACGUUUCAUCUUGAGAUCAACAUAGACAAGAUAAAUCUGAUAAAAUCGAUCAUGAGCUGUAACUAUAAGCUCAUCACUACCAGCAACAAAACCCACCGCACCUAGCCAAACAAGAUCAUACGAAAACAUCUCUCGAGUUAAAACGAUAGAAACCUUAGACCAUUCUUGUUUCCCGGCAUCUUCCAAAACCCAUAAAUCAUACAUGCUCAUACUUUUUGCAGCAAGUAAAGCUAGUUUCCCUUGAUAGUUCACAAGUUUAGAGUAACCAAAGUUCAUAUCAUAAACAUUACUAGCCCCGACCGGUAUUUCAAUGAAAUCACCAAACUUUUCAGUAGCCACGUAGAAUCUAACAAGCCUCAGUCCAUGCGCCGUCUGAGCACCGUAAUACACAACCCCAUCGAUGCAUAUUCCUCUGGUUGAGGGAGAAGGAAUAUUCUCAACCUCGAUCAUUUUCCAUGAACCUUGACCUUCCAAUGUAAACACUUCCAGUUUAUAGGGAGAUAAUAAAUAUUGUUUUGAGAAAAACAAAACCUUGUAUUGAUAAUUGAUAGGAUCAUAUCCCAUAUACCAUUUCCUGAACUUUUGAUGUGGAGCGGAUUGGGGCACGAGUACACCCUUACGCGUGGCAGGAUUGGAUAUCCACAGUUGAGACAUGUAUUCGACACAUAUCAAGCCAUUGACACAAUCAGGCGUAUGAGAAGAAUUAUUGGCGCUGCAUGUCGCCUUGGUAACCAAAGAAGGUUGGGAUGACGAGAAGAAAUGCCAACGACAAGAUGUGAAUAUAUCACGUAAAGCAAACAUGACAUAUGGCUGACGAGUAGAGGAUCGAGAUUGGUAUAAGUUGAUGAAAUAUCGACUGCGGAUGAUUGUGGCCCAAAGCUUGCACACACAUAGGCAUCUAGCUAGGGGUUUCACAGGCAAUCUUAAGAGAAUUUCGACCAAAAGGUCUUCAGAAAUCAUACUUGAUAAGAAAAAAGUUUAGUAUUUUUUUUUUUUUUCUGUUUGAUAAGAUAGAUAAUCUAUAAAUCAAGAUUCUAUCUUAUAUAUACAAAUGCAAUGGGAGAGUAAUUUGCUUAGUCAUUAAUAUAUAAGAUUGACUUGACUACAUUUUUUUAAAAAUGUAUAUUAAUUAAAUUCGUAUCUAAAUGAUUAAGUCAAUACAAUUAAUAACCGCGACUAGCUUUUUGUAUAUUACUCCCUCGGAUUCAUUUUGUAAGACUAGAAAUGCGUGGUUUUAAUACUACACUAUAUUAUUUUGAAAAAUUAUUUUAUUUACAAUUUCUGUACUUAAAAAAUAUAAAUGGAAAUGAAUAAGUGGAUAAUCAUCUAAAAUUAUUUUAAUUUUGAAAUUUUGUUUAAAAUAAAAUAUCGACUGUCGAUCUGGUGAAACAGAGCUUGGACUGUCUUAUUGUGUAGUCCGGUUGUUGCGCUCUAUCUCUCUCCAAAGAAACAAAAAACGGUGGGUUGGACUUAAUAAUCCAAGCAAUUAAGCUUGUUGUUCAAAUUUUAAUCACCACCUUUCUCAAAAGAGAGUGUUAAGCCUUUGACGAAGUAUGAAUCGUUAAUUUGCACAAGAGUAAAGAAUUAUAUGCGUGUCAAAGUUUUAGUGUUUGAGAAUGAUUAUAAGCUGUCUUGAUACUCAGUUAAUCAUCAUAUAUAUAAACAAGAAGAGUGAGUUCACAAGUGUAGAUUUUAUAUUAUACUUAUUUUUGGUCAAAACCAAAGUGUAGAUUUUUUUUUUUGAAGUUGGGGACAAAGAGACGGAUGUCGUUUCGGGUAUAAACCUAUAAUUUCUUAGAAACGAGAACACAAAAUUGAUAGAGAGAUCUUAAAAAAACCUUAUAGACUAUAAUAUCAUUUCCAAAGAGAAGUUUUAUGAAAAUGCAUUUGAUGGAAGGAUAUAAAACAUUAUCAUGUGUUCAAGUAAAAUAGAGAAGAAAACCUGGGAAAACAAAUUGCCAACAAAUGAUGAAGCUCACAACAAAACUUGUCUGAUGAAAAGUCACAUUUCCAAGUAAACUACCUAGACUAUGAGUUAUAUAAACUUGACAUCUUCUGCAUAGUCAACAAAGGUGUAAACUCUACUACUAAGAUUCUUCUCUGACCCUUCAAAACCUUGGAUUUCAACUUUUUCCAGAGUGUUUCUUUCGGGGUUGAAGUAGUAAACAAAGAAGGAUUCCGAUGUAUAAUCCAUGGAUAAAAUAAUUUCACCAGUAGCAGUCACUCCAACAACGGAAACAUUGCCGUGAACGAUAUUCACCGGCAAAGUGUAUUCACGUUUCAACCAUUCUUCUUUCUCGGCAUCUUCUAGAACCCACAACCACAACAUAAGUACCUUCCACCGAAGCGGCUUUGGAUAAAUUUGAUUAUCCCAUAAACAACUAAGCACGCAUAAUUUACCCUUGUAAUUAAUCAGUUUAGCAAGCGCAGGACAAAAGGUUACGUCAACAUCCGCAUUAAGAAACUUAAGUGUUUCAUACCUUACAUUAAAGGAAGCUAUCUUCACACCACUGAACUGGAAUUUGUUGCUAGCCAUGUAAUACAACACCCCAUUGAUGCAUAUCCCUUCACUUUCAGGAUAAUGGUCUACGAGACAUCGGAUACUCCUCCAUGCUACUUUUCCAGUUCCUAAUGUCAGAAUAUUUUCUGGAUCAAAAUGUGAACUGCUUGGUGUGAUUACCUUGUAUUUUUUGCCAAUCGGAUCAUACCCUAAUAAGCUGCUCAAAUUGUUCAUACUACUCCUUUGAGUUAAUCUUGCGUAUUGUCCCGUGCUAGGGUUACAUAUCACCGGCACUUCGCCUGUACGCGUAUUAGGGAAAUAGAGCAAACCAGAGACAAGGCCAAAAAUCUCUUGUCCCAUGUCUCUACGUAACUCCAUAUGAAAAUCGGCUGAUACUACAAGAGAAUGAUUCUCAUCUGGAAACUGAGACUGAGGCGACGAGUACAAGCACCACUUAUCAGAAUUUUGAACCGCGAAUAAGAGACGUGGACGACUCAAGGGCCUAGUAAUUAGGAACAACUCAAUGAAAUCUUGACCUCUUAGUAUAGAUCCACAGAACUUGGAUGCGAGACCAAACUUAGCGAUUGAAUUAGUAGACAAUCUCGAGAGUAUAUCGAGAAUGAUAUCAAUCGGGAUUGGAUCUGAUUUUCCUUCUCUUUCCAUCGUACGUUUUUCAAAGAUCGUGUAUUUUGGAUUUUGGUUCCAGUUCCAGUUCCAGUUCCAGUUCCAGACUUAACGUAGACGACAACCUAGGGUUCAAAGGCAAUUCAUUCAUACCUAAUGGGCCGAAUGAAUUCAUGGGCCAUGUUAGAGGCAACUAAAAGGCUGGACGAAACUAUCUAUUUUAGCCUUUUAGGGGAGGUAACGUAUUAAUGUCCCCAACUAUCUUUUAUAGGAUGCAUAGUUGGUUUUAACUAACAUUAAAGGUGUUACUAACAAUGGGCAAUGAUGGUAAAAUUAUAACGCAGUGGACACAAUAUAACUUAGCCAUACCAAUGCAAAGAAUCUUGAAACUAGUAUUAAACUCAGUCACGUAUAUGCUCUCCAGUCUAUGCUUCGAAGAGCUUUCUUCUAAUCCCAUACGAAGAAGCUCUCUAUGUUUUUCUAAUUUAAUCAGGCUUAGACAACUAGUUUCAAAGUCAUAAUUCUUGGUGUCUGAGUUGUCUUCCCUUUCCAUCGAGUUUUUUAAAGAUCGUGUCUUUUGGUUUCCAGUUCCAGACUACGUAGGCGACACUUCAGGGUUUCAAAGGCAAUGGCACUAAAAGUCACUAAUGGGCCUAACGACUUAAUGGGCCUUGUGAAACGUUACCCAAUAAGAGACCUGGUUUCUCACUGAGUUCAACCAUCUUCUUCCCCAUGGCUCUGAAUUCUUCAGCUUUCUUCGUUCCAUGUCACAAUUACAAUCAAAUCUGUGAUCUUCUUCUUUCUUCAGCUCGAACCAGAUCAACUAUUAAAGGACUUCAGCUUCAUGGCUAUGUCGUUAAAUCAGGCCUUUCUCUUAUCCCUCUCGUCGCUAACAACCUCAUUAAUUUCUACUCCAAAUCACAGCUUCCGUUUGAUUCUCGUCGAGCUUUUGAAGAUAGCCCACAAAAAAGUUCGACGACUUGGAGUUCAAUCAUCUCUUGUUUUGCCCAGAACGAGCUUCCAUGGAUGUCACUCGAGUUUCUUAAAAAAAUGAUGGCGGGAAACCUUAGACCUGAUGAUCAUGUUCUUCCAUCAGCUACAAAGUCGUGUGCGAUUUUGAGUCGUUGUGAUAUUGGUAGAUCAGUUCAUUGUCUAUCGAUGAAGACUGGGUAUGAUGCUGAUGUGUUUGUGGGGAGUUCUUUGGUUGAUAUGUAUGCGAAAUGUGGAGAAAUUGUUUAUGCGAGGAAGAUGUUCGACGAAAUGCCUCAGAGAAAUGUUGUUACUUGGAGUGGGAUGAUGUAUGGGUAUGCACAAAUGGGUGAAAAUGAGGAAGCUUUGUGGUUGUUUAAAGAAGCUUUGUUUGAGAAUCUCGCUGUUAAUGAUUACUCGUUUUCGAGUGUUAUUAGUGUUUGUGCAAAUUCGACUCUACUUGAGUUAGGUAGACAGAUUCAUGGAUUGAGUAUUAAGUCUAGCUUUGAUUCUUCUAGCUUUGUGGGAAGUUCUUUAGUCUCGUUGUAUUCAAAGUGUGGUGUUCCUGAAGGAGCUUAUCAAGUUUUUAACGAGGUGCCUGUGAAGAAUCUCGGGAUUUGGAACGCUAUGCUCAAGGCGUAUGCGCAACAUUCACAUACUCAAAAGGUUAUUGAAUUGUUCAAAAGGAUGAAGCUUUCUGGAAUGAAACCAAAUUUCAUAACUUUUUUGAAUGUGCUCAAUGCUUGUAGUCACGCGGGUCUAGUUGAUGAAGGGAGAUACUACUUUGAUCAGAUGAAAGAAUCGAGGAUUGAGCCGACGGAUAAGCAUUACGCUUCCUUGGUGGAUAUGUUAGGACGAGCUGGUAGAUUACAAGAAGCACUUGAAGUUAUCACUAAUAUGCCGAUUGAUCCCACGGAAUCUGUAUGGGGAGCUUUAUUAACGAGUUGUACAGUCCACAAGAACACAGAGCUUGCAGCAUUUGCAGCAGACAAGGUCUUCGAAUUAGGACCAGUGAGUUCCGGUAUGCACAUUUCGUUAUCCAAUGCUUAUGCAGCCGAUGGUAGAUUCGAAGACGCAGCUAAAGCUAGAAAAUUGCUUCGAGACCGAGGGGAAAAGAAGGAAACAGGGCUAAGUUGGGUUGAAGAAAGGAACAAGGUUCAUACAUUUGCAGCUGGAGAAAGACGUCAUGAGAAAAGCAAGGAGAUAUAUGAGAAGCUGGCUGAGUUAGGGGAAGAGAUGGAGAAAGCGGGUUACAUUGCAGACACAAGCUAUGUUCUGAGAGAAGUGGAUGGUGACGAGAAGAAUCAAACCAUAAGGUAUCAUAGUGAGAGAUUAGCUAUUGCUUUUGGACUGAUCACGUUUCCAGCUGAUAGACCGAUCCGAGUAAUGAAGAAUCUGCGUGUUUGCGGUGAUUGCCAUAACGCGAUCAAGUUCAUGUCCGUAUGUACGAGACGAGUGAUCAUUGUGAGAGAUAAUAAUCGGUUUCAUCGGUUUGAAGAUGGCAAGUGUUCUUGUAAUGACUAUUGGUGAAGAAGACAAAUGAGAGUUGGUUUAUAUUUAACCAUAAUUUCAUUCAGUUCACACUGAACCGGCGAAAUUUCUUUGCCAGACCUAUUCGGAAUUGAAACAAGUGGAGUCUCGAAACGAAAAGAACUUUCUGGAAUUCGUUUGCUCACAAAGCUAAAAACGGUUGAUUUCAUCGAAAUACGGCGUCGUUUUCAAAGAACAAUCCAGAAAUCACUGGUUUUCCUUUAUUUCAAAAGAAGAGACUAGAACUUUAUUUCUCCUCUAUAAAAUCACUUUGUUUUUUCCUCUCUUCUUCAUAAAUCAACAAAACAAUCACAAAUCUCUCGAAACGCUCUCGAAGUUCCAAAUUUUCUCUUAGCAUUCUCUUUCGUUUCUCGUUUGCGUUGAAUCAAAGUUCGUUGCGAUGGCGGAUGUUCAGAUGGCUGAUGCAGAGACUUUUGCUUUCCAAGCUGAGAUUAACCAGCUUCUUAGCUUGAUCAUCAACACGUUCUACAGCAACAAAGAAAUCUUCCUCCGUGAGCUCAUCAGUAACUCUUCUGAUGUAAGUUUCCCUUCAAAUCUCUCUCUGCUCGGUGUGACUCGUCCGCUUCCUAUUUUCUUGCAUGUUGUUUGUUCUUUAAUUCCUGGAUUCGUUGAUAGCGUUGGAUUCGUAGGUUUAGCGUUGUGAUUGCUUAUUCAAAUAAAUCGUGAUUUGGCUUGUGCAUCACGUUAAGUUUAGAAUUCUUAGCUUGUGCUCGAUCUUCAUGUGUUGUAGUUACAUAUAUAGAACGGUUCUUGCUUCGAUGUAGUCUUUGAUUUACCCUAGAGGAUUGAGGAAAGCUUCUGAUUAUCUUUGUUUAUAUGAAUGGUUUUGUAGGCUCUUGACAAGAUCCGAUUUGAGAGCUUAACGGAUAAGAGCAAGCUCGAUGGACAGCCUGAACUCUUCAUUAGAUUGGUUCCUGACAAGUCUAAUAAGACGCUCUCAAUUAUUGACAGUGGUAUUGGCAUGACCAAAGCAGGUAACGAAUCAAUGCCUAAUAAUCUCUCGUUGGUGAGAUGUUUUAGUGUAUGUGCUGUGGUUAUGACUCUCUAUUAUUUUUUCAGAUUUGGUGAACAACUUGGGAACCAUUGCGAGGUCUGGAACAAAAGAGUUUAUGGAGGCGCUUCAAGCUGGAGCUGAUGUAAGCAUGAUAGGACAAUUUGGUGUUGGUUUCUACUCUGCUUAUCUUGUUGCAGAGAAGGUUGUUGUCACUACAAAGCACAAUGAUGAUGAACAAUACGUUUGGGAGUCUCAAGCUGGUGGUUCCUUCACUGUCACUAGGGAUGUGGAUGGGGAACCACUUGGUAGAGGAACUAAGAUCACCCUCUUCCUUAAGGACGAUCAGGUAAGGAAUCGUAGCUUUGAGUGUUUUGGGGAUUGUUUCUUUUCUUUUGGUGUUUUCUGUGUUCUUACAAGUGUGUUUAUUCAUGCAGCUUGAAUACUUGGAGGAGAGGAGACUCAAAGACUUGGUGAAGAAGCACUCUGAGUUCAUCAGUUACCCUAUCUACCUUUGGACCGAGAAAACCACCGAGAAGGAGAUCAGUGACGAUGAGGAUGAAGAUGAACCAAAGAAAGAAAACGAAGGUGAGGUUGAAGAAGUUGAUGAGGAGAAGGAGAAAGAUGGUAAAAAGAAGAAGAAAAUCAAGGAAGUCUCUCACGAGUGGGAACUCAUCAACAAGCAGAAACCGAUCUGGUUGAGGAAGCCAGAAGAGAUCACUAAGGAAGAGUAUGCUGCUUUCUACAAGAGCUUGACCAAUGACUGGGAAGAUCACUUAGCCGUGAAACACUUCUCAGUGGAGGGUCAGCUAGAAUUCAAGGCCAUUCUCUUUGUACCAAAGAGAGCUCCGUUUGAUCUCUUUGACACGAGGAAGAAGUUGAACAACAUCAAGCUUUAUGUCAGGAGGGUGUUCAUUAUGGACAACUGUGAAGAGCUAAUCCCAGAGUACCUCAGCUUUGUGAAAGGUGUUGUUGACUCUGAUGACUUGCCACUCAACAUCUCUCGUGAGACGCUUCAACAGAACAAGAUCCUUAAGGUGAUCAGGAAGAAUCUAGUGAAGAAGUGCAUUGAGAUGUUCAACGAGAUUGCUGAGAACAAAGAGGACUACACCAAAUUCUAUGAGGCUUUCUCCAAGAAUCUCAAAUUGGGUAUCCAUGAAGACAGUCAGAACAGGGGAAAGAUUGCUGAUCUUCUACGGUACCACUCCACAAAGAGUGGUGAUGAAAUGACGAGCUUCAAAGAUUACGUCACAAGGAUGAAGGAAGGUCAAAAGGACAUUUUCUACAUCACUGGUGAAAGCAAAAAGGCGGUGGAGAAUUCUCCCUUCUUGGAGAGGCUGAAGAAGAGAGGAUACGAGGUACUUUACAUGGUGGAUGCGAUUGACGAAUACGCUGUUGGACAAUUGAAGGAGUAUGACGGUAAGAAACUUGUUUCUGCGACUAAAGAAGGCCUCAAACUUGAAGAUGAGACCGAAGAAGAGAAGAAAAAGAGGGAAGAGAAGAAGAAGUCCUUCGAGAAUCUGUGCAAGACGAUUAAGGAAAUUCUCGGGGACAAGGUUGAGAAGGUUGUGGUCUCAGACAGGAUUGUGGACUCUCCCUGCUGUCUAGUAACUGGUGAAUAUGGAUGGACUGCAAAUAUGGAGAGGAUUAUGAAGGCACAGGCGUUGAGAGAUAGCAGCAUGAGUGGUUACAUGUCGAGCAAGAAAACAAUGGAGAUCAACCCCGACAACGGUAUAAUGGAGGAGCUCAGGAAGAGAGCUGAAGCAGACAAGAAUGACAAGUCUGUUAAAGAUCUUGUCAUGUUGCUGUAUGAGACAGCUUUGUUGACGUCUGGAUUCAGUCUUGAUGAACCGAACACUUUUGCUGCUAGGAUUCACAGGAUGUUGAAGUUGGGUCUGAGUAUUGAUGAGGAUGAGAACGUUGAGGAAGAUGGUGAUAUGCCUGAGUUGGAGGAGGACGCUGCUGAAGAGAGCAAGAUGGAGGAAGUCGACUAAGAGAUGAAGAAAUUGCUCUUAUGGUUCUGAAAACUUCUAAUAUGUCGAGUUGUUCUGAGUUUUAAGAUUUUCCAAAAUGUCUUUGUCUUUUUUUUUAUAUCUUUAGAGUUACUUGAACAUUGUGACUACUUCUAGGGUUGGGUUUGUGUCAGGUCUGUUAUAUCGUGUGGUGGGUCUGUCUAAUACUGAUUCAAGUUUUUGUUAUUCAGCUAAGGAACUUUUCUUGUUUCUGAACAAAUCUUUUGGUUCCCUAGAGUAAAACUUGACUUCCAAAAGAUAGACUUCCUAAGAUCACUGGAAUAGAUAGGAGUGACAACUUGACGUGAAAGGUAGCUUGGCUAUAGUAAUUUUAGAUCUGACAAAACGAGAUCAAGAAGUUAAUAAUUUUCACAACACCAAUUUGUUAUCGCUUAAAGGUUGAUUGAUUUGUUCAAUAGGGGGAAUCAUAUUCUCGCAUGCUCGAAAAGGGGAGAGAAGAUGGAAUGAACAUAACUUUAAAUCGGAUGUUUGAUUCAACAACAAAACUAAACUCAGAUAGAGAUUAUGAAGGAUUCCGGAAUCUGAAUUACAAAAGCAAAAUUUAAAGCUGAAAACUCCUCCAUGGUCUUACUGUCACCUAAAGACAUUUCUUUUUCAAGGCAAACCUGAACCAGAUGGUGCAGCUGCGCUGUAGCCACCAGCACCACGGCCAAAACCACGGCCACUUCCCUGAUAAACAAGAAAGGAUGUUAGAACAAUGGCAACCAAACAAAGAGAAGGCGGGUAAAUCAAAUCACAAGGCAAUUAUAUAACUAUAGACUUUGAAACACUUCACAGCUAAAGUAAAAGAUUUAUGUUCCUUGUAACUAAAGUGAUAAAGAGAGACUAAAUAUGUUCAUGGUUUCUCAGGUUCAGGAGCUCUAUGAUAAAGACUUCAAGAGUAGCACAUUAUAUGACGUUGGUGAGAUAGAGAAGUAAAUAGAAGGUAUGGUCAGUGAGAAUUUACUUGGAAAGAUGGCUGGUAAUCUGCGGGAGCUCCACCCUUUUCACCUCCAAACUCACCACCAGCUCGAGGACCUGCACGGUACCCAUCACGGUCACCAAACCUGGGACGGUCUCCUCCUUCAUGGCGAGGUCCUCUGAAAUACAAAGAAACCCAAACCAUGUCAAACAAAUUAAAAAAAAAAAAAGUUUUUGCCAGACAUGAAAUGGGUUAAGCAAAGAGUUAAUCACCUUGAGCGAUCACCAGGUGGGCCACCAAAUGGACGACCACCAGGCUUAGCUGACUUCUUCAAAGUAGCAGGAACAACAUCAGAUGGAAGAUUAAGAUAAGUUCUCAAGAACUCGAUCCCUUCAUUGGUCAAAAACCAAUAGUAAUGCAUCCAGGCAAAUGUCUCCCUAACAUACUCCUUGGAUUUGAAACUCUGCAUAAGCUUAAUCACUUGUAGGUUGGGGACAUCGAUCAACGGAUGCUUAGCAAGAUUGAAAUCCUUCUUCGCAAAGCAAACUCCUUCUGCAAAAAUCAUAGAACAUAUGAUAAUCAACACAAUGUUCACCUUCUAAGCCAAACAUCAUAAUUGCUACCAUAACUAGUUAACCUAAACUAGUUCAAAAAUCACAAUGUUCAUCGGCAUAAGCCUAAAAAUGAAUCAAUUUACUCACAGAAGCUGAAGAAAACAGAGAUCUAAGAACAAAUUUAAGAAGAACGAACCUUUGAAGAGGUACUUGCAGAUUUCUUUGCGGUUAGCCUCUGAGAUAAUCUGAGAGCAAGAAGGAAGAAGAAAAUGGUCAAAAUUCAACGAAACAACAUUCUGAGACACCGGAGAAUAUGAUGAGAAUAGAGAAAUAGAUCAAAAGCAGAGCUUGUGUGUUACCAUUGUAUCGGUAGGAGAUCUUGCUCGAGCAGAGAGUCGCACGGAACUUCGAGAGAGCAAAAAACUAGGGUUUUCGCAGGACUAGAGAAGACGAUGACUUUAUAUGCUUUGUUUUGGGCCUAUAAUGAGUUCAUUAAAUAUGGGCCUUAAGUUUGGGCAGUAUCGGAGACUGAGAAACUCAAAAUGAUCUUGUCGAAUUGAAUUAAGAAUUGGGGGUUUAUCAAAUUAUUUGAUGAUAACUAUAUUUAAUAUUUUAUUAACCAAUACUUACACUCGUUGUAUUUAUAUUUACGAUGGUUUAUCCUCUCUUUUUUGAAAAGUUUAUAUCUUGUAAAUUUUGUGACAUACGUUUAAAUAUUAUUUACUAUAACUUUGAUUUUUUUUUUUUUUUUACUAUAACUUUGAUUACUUUAUAUAUUUUUAUCAGAUUAGUUAAUUCUAUAAAUUAACAUAUAUUUUUAUUAAUUACAUAUAUUAUCUUGUUAAAAUAAUUUCCAGUUUAAUUAAUUUAUUUGCUCCAUAUUGUAACAAAAAAAUCUUUGAGAGAUAAAUGUAUUUUUGUGUUGUUUCAACAAAAAAAAAAAGAAGAUAAAUCUAUUUUUGUGUCAAAAAUUUGUUAUGAGAAAUUGUGACAUAUGUCGAAAGAGAUUGUGAAAUUGAGAGAUAAAUGUACUUUUAUAGAUUAUUUAACAAAAAAAAUCAAUUUUCAGUAAUAUAUAUAGAGGUUGAUGAGCAAGCGAGUUUGUAAUCACAUUCUUGUCCAUCAUCUUCUCUUCUCCUUCCAAACUUUUGAGUUUUUCAAAAAAUGGUUAGUUAUUUUUCUUAGUAAACCUAUUUAUGUGGUUAUAUAAUAAAUUCACUAAAGCUUUAGUUUUAUUUCAUUGUUUGUAGUCGAUGACGAUUGUAUUCAAGCAUCCAGGAUAUCCCGAAAAAAAAUGGCGAAAAGGAUUCAAAAUUGCAGGUGGUUUUCCAGGUACAAACCUACACACACCCAACAAUUAUAUUCAACAAACGAAUUUUGAACAAUGUGAAUGAUUGUCAUCUUUUUAUUAUUAUAUUAGGAGUUGAUGUCAUAAGUUGUGGUAUCAUGGACGACGUAUUUGCAGUGAAGGGAGAAAAUAUUGAUCAAGAUAAGUUACUGGAGAAAAUAAAAAAGGUUUUAAAAUCUGUCGAAAUCAUUGAUCACACCAAAUACCCUCCGGAUUAUUUUUUCUAUGAUUUCUAAUAAUGAUGUUUAUUUUUCUUUGGGCAAAUAAUGAUGUUCAUUUAUGUUUUCAUAUUCUAUCAAAGUAAUUGGAUUUGGUGUAAGUCUUAAGAUAUAUUAGUCCAUUCUUAUAAGUUGUAAGUUAUAAACUUUUUGUUCAAGAAGAUUGAUUUUCCUUGGAUGCAUAGUCGAGAGUAUGCCACUAAAAAUAGCUUAACCAUAUUGGUCUACACUGUCACCUUAUUUCUUCCUCUAUAAACGAAUUAAAACGAAAGCAUACAACGCUAUUAUGAGAUUUGAUUUGGUCUCCCAUCAAAGAGACAGAUACAUACUUUAACAAAAGCUCAAAACAAAUUUGAGAGAGGGAAUGGUAUAUGAUUACAAUUCUUGUUUAAAAUAUGAUUAAUAACUUCUUCUAGAAAAUGUUUUAUAUGCAAACCAGUCAAACCAUCAUUUGAUUUACAUCUAUUUAGAAAUGUAUUUAUCUAUUUCAUCACUAAGAAUGUGUUUUAUCACCACCUCCAAAAUGUGUUUACAAACAAAUGAAGCCAACUACAAAUUAUUGAUCUUGAAAUCUGUCGAAAUCAUUGAUCACACUGAAUACCCUGCAAAUUAUUUUUUUUAUGAUCUCUAAUAAUGAUGUUUAUUUUUAUUUUUUACUUUUAUUUUUCUGAGGCAAGUAAUGAUGUUUAUUUAUGUUUUCAUAUUCUAUAAAAAAAAUAAUUGGAUUUGGUGUAAGUCUUAAGAUAUGAUCAAAUUAAAAUAUAUAUUAGUCCAUUCUUUAUAAGUUAUAACCUUUUGAUCAAGAAGAUUUGAUAUUCCUUGGAUGCAUCUUUUCUUAUAGUCGAGAGUAUGCCACUAAAAAUAGUUUAUCCAUAUUGUUAUACAAAUGGUCACAGUCACCUUAUUUCUUCCUCUAUAAACGAAUGAAAACGAAAGCAAAGACAACUCUAUUAAGAGAUUUUGGUCUCCCAUCAAAGAGACUGAUACAUAUGUUUAAACUUGAGAUCUAACUUAUGAUAAUACACUGUACAUAUACCAUCCUUAACCCAACAGACUAUUUAUAACAGUAACAACAACUAAACCGAGUAACAUCAGCUUCAUCUUCUUCCUAUGUACAAACAAAAAACCACAACAGAAUCUCUGUAUUUUGUAGCCAUCUGGUUGUUGGCUGGCUCACCUGAGACACUUUUCACAGUUCUCCUCUUCUAUUAAACAUUAAGUAGAGAUUUCAGGUGGGUCUUUGUUUAAGGUUUUAUUCACUCCACCAUGAUCAGUUGCUGUCUCAGAUCCGAUAUCAUAAGACGAAAGAAGCCGUCUCUAUUGUUUUUGAAAUCAAUAAGAGUCUUGAGGUUAGUUCUGGUAUAGGGUUUCGAGUUAAAAUUGACUAGUAGUUUGUGGAGUAAAAUACUUACAUGAUCCUCAAAGUCAGGACUAGACAAGUUGAUGGAUAGAUUUCUCAUCAAUAGUAACACCUGUUUGGUGGGGGCAAACAAAGGAAAAAAAUGAUUAGUUUAACCAUUUGUUCCAUUGGACCGACGUGGUUUCAAUUAAGAUUGAUGUAAAAGUGAAAACUGAAAAGACAAGAAACGUACUGUUUCAACAUCUAUGGGGUCCAUCUUCUUCAGCUUUUGUAGAUGAUUACUUGCAUAUGGGUCAAACACACUUCCAAUGAAGCCGUAUACUUGGGCAAAGUCCGGUAAAACUGAAAAAAAAAAAGGCGGAACUGUCUAGUAAGAAAUGGUAAAUAUGGUACAAACAAAAAGAUUAACAGGAGACGAUGUAACGAUGCUUACCUCUUAAUGAAUGGCCAACAUUUCCAUGGUCUCUUGCGUCCCUGUUGGAUCGUGGUCUUGGAGUAUUUUCAGAACUACUAGAACAAUUGUUAUUAGCUCCUGCUCCUGCUGUUUCCAUCAACGUGGAACAACAAUAUGCUUCAUUUAGUAAAAUUUGAAACAGAGAUUAUAUUAAGAGAGUAACAGUAAUUGCAUAAUGCUUGUAAAUGAGAAUAGAACCUUUUGGGAGGGGAGUGAAGCUAAUUGUUUGCGCAUUAUUUGUCCAUGGAGCCGCAGCAGCAGUGGUUGGCGAAGUCAUCAGCAUUGAAGAAGACUCAGGCCUAAACAUAAAACUUGGGUCAUUUGGUUCAGAUGUUGACUUGAAUGACCCUGGUACUUGCAGUUGCACUGCACAUUGCCAUAAACAGUGCAUCAAUAUAGUUUUCAGUAAGCAAACAACAAUACAACUUCAAAGUUUUUAAAGCAGUAGCUAUAACGUACCAUUCUUGUGAGCCUUCUGAGGAUAUGGAUGAGCGGCUUUCCUUUUAGGUCGAGGAGGAGGGAGAUGUUCACCGGUCCCACUCUUUUGUACCUUAAGAAAAUACUUCUGAGCAUGACUUCGUAUCUGCAGUAUUAAAGGAGUCCGUAUAAGAAGCCAUAAAAGAGCUCAACGAGCUCACUUGUCUAAUGCAAAAAUAACUACAUAUAACACUUCAUUAAGUGGUGAUAAGCGACAAACGCAUGUGACAUUCUUUCUCCUAGUAGUAGUAGUUCAAAACAGUUACAGACAAUAAAGAUGUUUUAACAGAACACUUUGUGGAGAUAUCAAAUGAGAGAAAACAACCUCAAUCCAAAGUAACACUGAGGGCCCAAGAGAAAGAUGACAGAAUCAAACAACUAGAGUAGGCGAAAAACAGAGUAACUCAGAAGAUAUAUCUACUUUUUACUGUACCUGAAUCACUGUCUUUGAACCAAUAAAAGCUUCAAUCUUCUUCCAGUCUCUAUCAAACCUAAAAUAAUCAAAACACAAACAUAAGAGAUAUCAGAUCCACCACCAAACAACCUGGAUAUAGCAUGUGUCUAAUCCUUGCCUAAGAUUGUACGCAUCACAAUACACAGAAGAAUAAGCAAUGAACAGUACAAUCAUCAUCGCCUCCCCUAGAACCUACCCCAAGGACUUUCCCACUACAUACCAACCUUAGUACUACAAUUACUCACUUACCAGUGUUUAUAGACACUAUUGUAACCAAAAAAAAAAAAAACGCAGCUCUAAUAGUUUUCACUAAAUCCUCUUUUUACUAAGAUACAUAUAGUUUGCGUCGCUAUUUCCUCAUAAUCUCAGCUCAAUUUCUUGCCUGUUUCGUUCUUCACUAUCAAUGAUCAUACAGGUCUUAGAAGAACAUUUAGCUCAUCCAAUUUCAAUAGCUACUACACAAAUUCAAUACAGUCUAUACUCAUUUUUCGACAUCCUGAUCUUCUCAAUUCUUAUCAGACGCCUAAUUCAACAAAAUGUGCAUACAUAGCCAAAUCCAUCUGCCUAAAUCCAACUCUCGAUUCCAAUUCUAUGUCCCAAAUCCAAUCUAAUUCCACUGGUUCAACACAGUACAAUUCAGAAACCUACUGAAACAUAAAGUUGCACAUUAUCCUAAUCGAAACUCCACGCAUAUUCACAUGAUUCUAUAAAGUCCACCACAAACCCUAAUCAACCAAAAUUGAUGCUAAUUCUUCCCAAAUCAAAUCUCCAAAUAGCCAUUAACGAGAAAUGGUAAAGCACAAAAUGAACAAAACUCACAAUUGAAGAGCUUCAAGGAAUUUAUCAUGCUCAGGCUCCGUCCAGCUCUCUCUAGACUUAGUAAUAGUAUAAGGCUUCCUAAUCUUCUUACUCAAAUCCUCCUCCGAAGAAGAAACCAUCGCCGUCACAUCCGCCACAGCCACGGCCGUAGAAGAAGUCGUUGGUGAAGAAGAAGAAGAAACGGCGGCUGUAAAGGAAGGUCCGAGACCAGGAACAGUCAUACCGGUCGGAUCCAAGAAAUAUCCGUCAGAAUUUCUAGAGACCAUGAAUAGAAUUUGAGGAGAUUUUUGUUGAAUCUUUUGCUUUUUUGCUCUGUUGGGUUUAAAAAGCUGUGUUGUGUAGGAGAGAAAGAGAGAAGAAAUGUGGCUUAUGAGAAAGAAGAAGACGGCAGAGAUUUUAUUAAAAUAUUAAUAAAUUUAUAAGCUAUAGUUUUUUUGUGUAUAUGUUGUGUUUCUCGAUGAAAGAAACUUAUUCUUGUGAUCGUUUUUGAGGUCGGCAAAAUAGUUCUUGUGACCUAAUAUAACGUGCCACGUAUUUGGAUCUUUAUAAUAAAGAUUUUUCCAUUUAUGUUUUGUAUCCGUUUAUACCAAAAAAGGGUCUUUUCUUUUUGGUUGAAUUUAGGAUUGUUUUGUAGUUUAGGUAAAGGUUUUCUAAUUGUCCAAAUUUUAUGUUUUGUGGAGCCUUUUUAGCUAAUGGGCAACUUGCCCGUCAAAAAAAAAAAAACUAAUGGGCAAAUGGGUUAUAUAUUUAGCCCAUUAUGAAACAUCGAUAUGUCAAAAAAAAACUUGGUGAUGCCACUGUUUUUGUCUUAAUGUUUAGCCCAAUCAACAAGACAACAAUGCUUUUUUUCUUGGCAUCCUUCGAUUAGAACGAUUGAUUUGUGAAUGAGAAUUUAAAUGGAUGGUUUACAUUGGUUUAUAAAUUUCUUUAACAAAUGAACAUAUUUUAACCUCGCAAAUAAAGGAAGAAAUGCAAAAAUGUGGCAUGUUAAAGAAAGAGAUCAACCUUCACUAUAUCUUUUAGGUUUCUAAUUGGUUUCGAUGUGAGAACAUCUUUGUUGGAUUGUUGGUAAUGCCACGUUCUUAAUAUUGUUUAUACUAAUGUUUUGGCGUUGGAGUCUGUUACGUAACUGAAUUAAUGACAUUGGCUAAAGCGCAGUACCAAAAGUUAUAGUAUAGAUUUGUAUAACUAUACUGAAAAUUUCCUAAAUUAUGGCGUUUACUAAUACUGUAACGCUUCGUAUGAGCCCAAGUAAAUGACGAUAAUGUCGUGUGGUUUGGGAGUUGUGUGGUUCCUCAUGCUUUCACACAUUUUUAUUAAGGAAUGUAUAAUUUUAUUAAAAAUCUGAAGCUGAAAUUUACGUAUCAACAACAUCUCUAUUUAUUAAUACAAAGAACAUUUGUAAACAUGAUAGCAGCCGUAGAUAAUAUGAUUUAAAUGAUUAAAUUAGGGGAUACAAACUUAUUGUGAAAAAGAAAAAAAGGCGAUACAAACUUAUCCCAAUUUUAUUCAUAUUUUCAUUAAACGAAACGAAAUAGAAAACUUAUAUUGUUAUUAUUAUAUAGGGUUGAUUUAAUCGCUCUUAUUAUCUUAUAUCGACGAGAUGAUAAAAGACAAAAGAUCUUACAUAUGCAUAAUUAUGAGUUAUGACACGGUAUUAGUUGAAGCUACUAAAGUACUAAACAAAAGAGGCGCAACAACACAUUCUAACAAUCUAUUAUAUAGAAAGACUCAAACCUGUUUUAUUAAUCAUCUUCAUUUAAGCGUAUCAAAUUGACUAUUUCAGUUUCUUGCUUGGAUGGCUUGACUUAACCAUUUCAUAUUCGCUAAUUCAAGCAAAGGAUAUCGUGUAUAUAUAUGGGGCGAAACAAAGGUUAAUGAGCAAGCUACGAGGUUGAUUUCAUAUUCCUUUACAUCAUAUCUCCUCAAUCAUCAAACUUUCUAUACUUUCCGAAAAUGCCGGUAUGUCUUUUCUUUUAGUUACUUAAAAUCUUAGAAAACUAAAGGUACUACUUAUACACAAUGAACUGUCUAAAGCUUCAAAUCUAAAUCUUUGCAGGAGAAAGUUGUAUUCAAGUUGGAAGUUUUUGAGGAAAGAAUCAAACGAAGAGCUAUGAAAGUUGUAUGUGACUUUCCAGGUAUAUUAUAAUAUGUACAAACAAUGUCUAUAUAUAAUAUAAGUAAUUGAAUCUAUUUAGGCUUAAUACAAAUUAAGCAAUAAUGUUUGUUGUUGUAGGAGUUACUUUGAUAGACGUGAAGGAAAAAGGUAAACUAAAGGUGAAUGGAGAAUUUGAUAAGUUUGAAAUGACGAAGAAACUUAAGAAGGUGUAUGAAUUUGUUGACAUUAUCGCGGUUGGGCCGGAUGGAGAACCGGCACAAAAUCAGAAGCUGGUUAAAAAGCCUGAACCUAAAGUGAAGAAAGCACCAUCUUACCGUGGUUGGAAUUUGGGUUUCUUUAAGUGAUCAAUUUGAAGACGUGAUCGGUUUAUUUUCCAUGGACUACUGUAUUCUGAUGAUAUUUCAUCUCAUUUUUUCUGAAAAAAUUGUUUGCCCGUUAUUUGUAAUAAUUAUGUGGCUCUUAUAUUCAUAUUGGCGUUAUAUGUCUUUUGUUAACAUUAUUAAGUUCUGAUCAUCCAAUUGAAAACAACAAAAACAAAAUUUUCAUCUAAAUUGUCUAAGUUAAGUAAUAGAGUCUCAUUGUUGUGUCCAAAAAAAAAGAAGAAGUAAAAGAGUCUCAUUGAUCGCUUUUCAUAAGCAACACUUAAUUCUUAUCACCAGCAACUAGAUGCUCAAACUAAUGCUGGCCGAAGUGUCAGAAAAGAUAGUCAACGUUUGAUAGAUUAUUGUUAUCAUUCAACUUCGUUCCACACUUAUUCCAAGUAAUUCGUUUAUAUUAUAUCGUCAAUAAUCGUGUUAUUAUAUCACAAGUGUUUCUUUAUAAUAGGUAUUUAUGUUUUUUGGCACAUGCAAUAAAAUUCAUUAAGCCCUGUAAUUCUGUCGGUUUUCUUAAAUAAUAAAAAUAAAGUUUAGAAGAUUAGUUAAAGCUAUAUACUAACCUUUCUGUUACAUUUGGAUCAUCAUAACUUAUAUACUUUUUCAUCAUAUUCAUCAGCGUUAAUUGUUAGUAAAUUCAUGGAAAUCCAUAGAGAAUGAUUGUGAGUUUGUGAUUCACCAAAGAUCUCCAUCAAUUAGUACUUCAAAAAAACUCGUCUUAAAUAGAUUUAAAACCAUUGCAUUGACGAAUAUCUGAAUAAUAAAAACGAUGAAAUUGUACAUGUAUUGGGAAAUAGUUUGUUAAUCAAUACAUGGGGUAUCAAGAAAUUCAUAAAGAUUUAGGAACAAUAUUUAUGAAAUUUCUUUGAUUUCCUUUUGCACCUCCCAUAAAUGUUUUCCUUUAUACAAUAUGUUUUAUGCAUAGGAUAUUGUAUUUCCUAGCUUCGAAGAAAUUGUAAGGCUCUUUCGUAUAUUCUUUACGUCUUGAGUGUACUAGUUGUUCUAAAUUAUACUACAGAAUUAACGAAAAACAAAAUAUCGUAUAUUUGACUAUAACACGGUAUUAGUUGAAGCCACUAAAGUAAGAGACCAUGCCAACUUCCAUUCUAUUAUUUAGAAAAACCUUUUUUUGAUAAUAUUCAUUUAGAAAGACUUAACUUGAAAAAAAAAAAAAAAAAAAAAAAAAAAGACUUAACUUGUUUCACUUUCUACCUUUCUUAUUAUACAAAGAGACUCAAAACUGUUUGUAUUGGUCUUGAUGUAUAAAAUUGACUAUAGUUCUUAUGGUUGGACCUAAUUAAUCAUUACUAUAUUGAGCACUAGUUACAAACAAAACAUUGUAUAAAUAAACGGGGAAGCAAAGGGUUACUAGUGUGCAAUCUGUGUGGUUACAAUCAUAUAACUUCACUGUCCAAUCUUUUAAACAUUCCAAAUAUGCAGGUUCGUUUUUUUUUUUUUUUCAGUUUCUAAGAUUAGUUUUAACUUUUAAGCAACUAAAAUUCAAUGGUUCUAAAAUAGUUUUUGAUUAUUAUACAAUGAACUGUUAAUAUGCAGGUGGAGACAGUUGAAUUCAAGAUGGAUGUUUCUGAUGAAAACAUCAAACGGGAAGUUAUGAAAAUUGUCUGGAUGCCAGGUACACCAACACAAAUCUAUGGUUGUAGUAUUAAUGAAACCAAAUAAAUCAAUAAGUAAUCUAUCUAAGCUUGAAAGCAAUAAUAUUUGUUGUUGUUAGGAGUUACUUUCGUAGACAUCAAGGAAAAAGGUAUAUUAAAGGUGAAGGGAAAAUAUGAUAAGAUUCAAAUGGGGAGCAAACUUCAUGAGCUAGAUAACUCUGUUGACAUUAUCAACCAAAUGGGAAAAACGGGGCAAUAUCGCAUUCCGAGUUUAACUUCAGUCUACAGUUAUUUUACCACUCCAAAUAUACAGGUUCGUUUAAUCGUUUAGAACAAAUUUUUCAGAUUCCCUUAUUUUUGAGCAAUUAAAUUUCAAAUGGUUCAUAGUAUAUUUUAAUAAAAUUAUUACUUGUAUCAUGACCUGCUAUUUUGCAGGAGGUAGUUGUAUUCAAGUUUAAAGUUCUUGAUGAAAAAAUGAAACUUGAUGCUAUGGAAGUUAUUUGGGAGUUUUCAGGUACACCAAAACAAACCUAUAGUAUUAUUAAUUAUGGCUGGUUAUUCUGUUAUACAUAAUUUUUCAUCUAUUUAGUCUUUAAAACAAAGCACUAUUGUUUUUUUGGUUGUUAGGAAUUACUUCAGUAGAGGUGAAGAGAGAUAAUCAACUAGAGGUGAAGGGAGGAGAAUUUAAUAAAAUCGCAAUGUCGACGAAGCUAAAGGAAAUAGAUGAAUCUGUUAGCGUUAUCAUCAAGUCUGGACCAGAUGGACAAGUUGAUGUGACAAAUAUUAAGAUCAACAAUGCGAGAAAAACUUCACGUGUCCCUGCUCCUGUACCUGUUCGUGCGCCUGCCCCUACGCCUAAACCUGCCCCUGCGCCUCCUUCUGUUCCUGCGUCUGUGGCUGCUUAUGCGAACAUGCGUCUUUAUGUGCAUAAAACACCAAUUUGGAAAAAGUGCUUUCGAGCAAUUUCCUGUGGACUUUAUCGUUGAAAUCGGUCACUGGAAUGACUGGAUAAAGGAGUCAAUUAAUUUGUUGUAAUGAACAUUAUAAGAUAUCCUAUUUACAAUUGAAAAUCGAAGUUAAAUUGAAUGAGAUAUGAAUGUACAAAAUGGCUAGAUUGAAAAACUUUUAAAACUUAGUAAAUUUAAUUUGAAUAGUUCUGAAAUUUGUCAAAAGUCACACAUUAGAAUAAUGAAUAUUUGUCAAUUAUCAAAACGUUUAAGGAAUACAUAAUUUCCCUUUGGCUAGUUUGUAAAACGUCUUUUCACAAACAAUCUCCGUGAUCUAAAAAAUAGCGUUUAAGAAUACCUUUUUCCGAUUUCUAUGAACGUGUAUUAGUGAGUUCUGGAGCAUGGAGAUCACUCUCUACAUCGUGAAGCAUCAGACAAAAGGAAGAACAUGAUAUUUGGGACUCUGAUGAGUAAACACGGAUUUGUCAUCUAUCAACUUUGAGUCUAACCAGCUGAUCCUUAAGAAUAAUGGUGUUUUUAUUAUAAAAUGUAUUUCGUUAAAUGAGGAUUGAUCUAUCGCUUCCAUUGUUGCAAUGAAUAAUAAAAAGCAAGUUGAUUAAUAUGUGGUCGAAUUCUCUAAUAUUUGGCAUGAACCGUUCGAAUAUGUGAAUUAUAAGUAUAUACAAAGACUAAUUAGUUUGAACAUAAUUCCAAAGUGCAAAAUUAGUAAAUAUCAUAUACAUUUUAUACUUACUAUAUAACACGGUAUCAUUUGAAGCCACUAUUUUUUGUUUAGAAGCUACUAAAUUUAUACGUGAAGUAGAACUAAACUCAAGACGUAAAUUUAGUGGCUUCUUAUAUUAUCACCUAAUUGAUACAUCUACUUCACAAAUUUUUCCUACAAUUUAUUUGAUUUGUUUUUCAUAAUUUAAAGUAACAAAUAAAAAAAAAUCAUACUAUUUUACAAGAAAAUAAAUUAUCAUAAUGAAAACCAUUUCUUGGAUGGAAAAUGGUAGGGUUUAAAUAUAAAAUUAUGCCUUUAUGUAAUUUUUAUAAACAUUAAUUACUACAAGUUAAAUGCAAGUAAAAAAUCUAGAGUAAAUGUUACGUUUAAACAGUUGAAUCCUCUCAUUAAAGCACAAAUUAAUAUAAGAAAUUUCAGUUAAAAAUAAUGUAUUAAGGCCAAUUAAAAAUCAUCAAACGUUGUCUUUCACUAAUUGAGUAAGCAAUUUGAAAGUCAGCUCCACUUAAAUCCUAUUUAAAUCCUAAUAACUUAUGAAUCAAUAACGUAUGAGUUAAUAACUUACGAAAUAUGAAAUAAUAUCAUGCUCCACUAAACUCUUCUUUACCUAAAUUCAUUUGUUAUAAAUAGUAGCUUAUCCUUUAUUACAAUACACAUGUCUACCCCUAAUUGUUUUUUUAAUACACAUAUACUACUAUAACUCUUUUUUUUUGGGCAAAUAUACUACUAUAACUUUUAUAUUUAUUCAUAAAAUAUUAAAAAUAUUUUAUCAAGAUAGAUGAAUUAUUAUAUUAUUUUUAGACUAUAUCUUACCAAAACCAAAAAGGGAAACAUGAAAUCAAUCUGUCUAGAGAUUUUUAAAAUUAUUGUCGUGUAUGAGCUAUAGAGUAUGGACAAUAAUUCAAUUGUUGUCAAAAUUCUCUAUUUAUGUGAUCUUCUUCAGUUUUUAUGGUUUUUUCUUUCUCAUUUUUAGUUGGUGAAACUAAGUUGUUGCAAAAACUUUACUUUCUAAUCACUACAUUACGGCACCAAGAAUGAGUUUGAUGAACUGUUUUUCAUCGAAAACGGGUUUACCAUAUUUUGAGACAUGUUCACCCAUCGAAUGUCAAUGAAAGACAGUCCAUCGAACUCAUCUUUGGUGUCGUAAUUAGUAAUUGAAAGAUCAAGUUCCUGAAGCAAUUUAGUUUCAUCAACUAUAAAAAGAAAGGAAAAACCAUACAAAUUUAUUUUCUUAAAACUCCUGAUGAGAGAAAGAGAGAUCAUUUCUUGCGCGACACUCAAGAUGGAUGUUACAAAACCAGGAUUUCCAUUUGGAGGGACAUAUGAGUUCCUUAGUUGCAGGUACACCAACACAAAUCUAUGGUUGUAGAAUUGAUAAAAUUAAAUAAAUGAAUAAGUUAUUUGAGUUUGAAUUGAAGCAUUCUUGUUAGGAUGUACUCUUUCGUAGACAUGAAGGAAAAAAGUAUACUAAUAGGAUAGCGGAAAAUUUGAAAAUAUUGAAAUGAGCUAGAUAAAUAUGUUGUCAUAAUCAACACAAUGGGAAAACCGGGGAAAAAUUACAUUUCGAGUUUAAAUGCAGAUUACAAUUAUCUUACCACUCCAAAAAAUACAGGUUCUUUCGUUUUUAAUAAUUUUCAGAUUAUUUUCCGACAAAUGUGAAGUAUGCAUUCAGGCAAAGUGUCAGAAAAGUUAGUCAACGUUUGAUAGAUUAUGUUAUUAUUCGAUUUCGUUCCAAAAUAACCACACUUAUUCCAUCUAAUUCGUUUAUAGUAUAUGGUUAAUCAUGUAACCAAACUGAACUCAUCAUCAUAUUAUAAUAUCACAAGUGAUUCUUUUUAAUAGAUGUUUUUUUUUUUGCCACAUGCAAUAAAGUUCAUUAAGCCUAUAUGUAAUUCUGUCGGUUUUCUUAAAUAAGAAAAAAAGGAUUAGUAUUUUUUUUGUCAAAAAAGUUUAGAAGAUUAGUUAGAGCUUCUAACCUUUCUGUUACAUUUGGAUCAUCAUAACUUGUAUAUAUAUUUUUUUUGGCCAAAAAAAAAAAACUUAUAUAUUUUCUUGAUAUUCAUCACCGGUUAUUGUUAACAAAUUCAUGGAGAACCAUAGAGAAUAAUUGUGAGUUUGUGAUUCACCAAAACAUGUAUAUCUAGAUUUUCAUCAACAGCUAAUGCUUGUAAAAGUUCUCCUUGUGAUAGAAUUGUAACUGUUGCAUUGACGAAUAUCUGAAUAAUCAAAAACGAUGAAAUUGUGUGGAAAAAAAUAACUUGUUAAGCAAUACAUGUGAUAACAAGAAAUUCUUAAAGAUUUAGGAAAACUAAUUAAUCGAAAAUAUAAAUAUUCAGACCUCUUGGAUUUCCUUUUGCACCUAUUCCUUUAUACAAAACAUCUUUAUGUUUUAAUUUUUCGUGAAUGUAAUUAUGAUGCAUUAGAUUAUAAGAAGAUAUUAUAUUUCCUAGCUUCGAAGAUAUUGUAAGGUUAUUCCGUAUAUUCUUUACGCUUGAGUUUAGUAGUUGUUCUUAAUUAUAUUAUAGAGUUAACGAAAAACAAAAUAUCGUAUAUUUUACUAUGACACGGUAUUAGUUGAAGCGCACCACUAAAGUAAGAGACCAUGCCACCUUCCAUUAAAUAUUUCAUUAUUUUGAAAACUUUUUUUUUGAUAAUAUUCAUUUAGAAAGACUUAACUUGAUUCAUUUGUUUCACUUUCUACCUCUCUUGUUAUACAAAGAGACUCAAAACUUUUUGUAUUGGUCUUGAUGUAUAAAAAUGACUAUUUUGUUUUAUAGUUCUUAUGAUUGGACCUAAUUAAUCAUUACUAUAUUGAGCACUAGUUACAAACAAAACAUUGCAUAAAUAAACGGGGAAGCAAAGGGUUACUACUGUGCAACCUGCGAAGUUACAAUCAUAUUCCUUCAUCUCCAGUCUUUUUAACAUUCCAAAAAUGCAGGUUCGUUUUUUUUUUUUUUUUUUUUCAGUUUUCUGUUUAGUUUCAAGUCAUUAAUUUUCAAUGGUUAUUAUUAUCUACUGUAGGAAUUCUAAUAUAGUUAUCACUUAUACAAUGAACUUCUAAUUUCCAGGAGGAGACAGUUGAAUUCAAGAUGGAUGUUUCUGAUGAAAGCAUCAAACGGGAAGCUAUGAAAAUUGUCUGGAUGUUUUCAGGUACACCAACACAAACCUAUGGUUGUAAUAUUAACCAAACCAAAUAAAUCAAUCAGAAAUUUAAUCUAUCAUGAUGUAUUUAAGCAAUAAUAUUUGUUGUUGUUAGGAGUUACUUUGGUAGACAUCAAGGAAAAAGGUAUAUUAAAGGUGAAGGGAAAAUUUGAUAAGAUUGACAUGGGGAGCAAACUACAUGAGAAAGAUAAAUCUGUUGACAUAAUCAACCCAAAUGGAAACCGGGGGCAAUAUCGCAUUCCGGGUUAUACUACAGUCUACAAUUAUCUAACCACUCCAAAAAUACAGGUUCGGUUUUUCAAAUUAUCAAAUUAUUUUUAAGCAAUUAAGCAUUAAAUGGUUCAUAUUUGGAUUUAAUAAAAUUAUUACUUGUACCAUGAAUUGCUAUUUUGCAGGAGAUAGUUGUAUUCAAGUUUAACGUUCUUGAUGAAAAAAUCAAACGUGAUGUUAUGGAAGUUAUCUGGGAGUUUUCAGGUACACACCAACACAAACCUAUGGUUAUAUUAAACCAAAUGAAUCAAACUAUGGCUGGUUCUUUUUACUUAAUUUUAAUCUAUUUAGUCUUUAAAACAAAGCACUAUUGUUUUUUGGUUGUUAGGAAUUACUUCGGUAGAGUUGAAGAGAGAUCAUCAACUAGAGGUGAAGGGAGGAGAAUUUAAUAAAGUCGCAAUGUCGACAAAGCUAAAGCGCAUAGAUGAAUCUGUUAGCCUUAUCAUCAACUAUACGCGAACAAAGAAAUUGGGCUUUAGUUUAUACGAUCUAUAUCGAUGAGAAUCUGAGCAACACAAGUAUUUGAGCAAAAAUAUAUAUGACUCCAUUUUAUUUUCUGAUGUUUUAAUUUUCUUGGGAAUUCUUUUCCACCUCCCUUAAAAUUUUUUUUGAAUGAAUGUAAUUUUUUUUACCUGUAUUACAUUAAGUGCAUCUUUUUUGAAACUUUGCUACGAUUGUAUUUGAUGGUUCUACAGAUCAAAUCCUAGUGGAAAGCCAAUAUAUGAAGAGGUCUUCAUAAUUUAUUUUCCAGUUUUCCGAAUUUCAGAGUUGUGGAAUUAACUCCGUAGACAUCAAUUUUUUGCGUAUCAAACCCCAUAUUUUGGUUGAGUGUUGACAAUAACGUCAACCUUAGCCACAUGGAGUACCGUGUCUUGAAACUUCCAUACCAUGAUAUCCUCCCAUAGCGGCGUAAGUACGUUUUCGAUAACCUCAUCAGGAAUCUCCAUUGAUCUGUGUCUUUAAUUCCGAAGUUGAAAUGUUUAGAUCUUAUUUUUGAGAAUAUGUUUGUUUUGAGCCACUGAAAUCCACGAACCCACUUCCUUUGUGCCAAAUUUAACCCGUAAAUCCAAAACGCAGCGUUUUUAAGUAAUGGAUUUGAAAGUUUUUCAAUUCUCUUAUCAACUAAUCCACAUUAUACAAAAAAGCAUCUAUGCUUUAAUUUUUAUAACAAACUUUAAUUGUGACGAAUUGGGUAUUUCAUUUCCUACCUUCUAAGAAAUUGUGAUGUUCUUUCGUAUAGCCUUUACAUCUUGAGUUUAAUUUUUCUUAUGUUGUGGAGAUAACGACAACAAAUAUUGCAUAACACGCUGUUAGUUGAAGCCGCUAAAGUAAGAGACCAUGCCACCUUCUAAUAUUGCAUAAUCAUCUAUUAUUUAGAAAGACUAAAGUAAGAGACUCAACAUGGUUUGAUUCUACUAUCUAUUAUAUAGAAAGACUUAAAUUGUUUGUAUUGGUCUUGAACUCUUGAUGUACAAAAUUGACUAUUUCCUUUUAUUUCCAAAUAUUUGGACCUAAUCAUUACUAUACUCACUAGUUUUAUAUUUAUUUUAUUUUUCUUGUGUAGCUAGUUACUAGUUACUAGUUACAAACAAAAUAUAGUAUAAAUAUACGGGGAAGCAAAGGGUUAUUGUUGUGCAAGCUGUGAGGUUGCAAUCAUAUUCCUUUGCGUUUAUCUCUAAUCACUCUCCAAUCUUUUUAACAUUUCCAAAAUGCAGGUUCGUUUUUUGCAAUUUUCAGAACAAAUAUUUAUAUGAUUGUCUAAUAUAGUUAUUGCUUGUAAAAUGAACUGCUAAUUUUCAGGAGGAGACAGUUCAAUUCAAGAUGGAUGUUUCUGAUGAAAACAUCAAACGGGAAGCUAUGAAAAUUGUCUGGAUGUAUUCAGGUACACCAACACAAAUCUAUCUUUAUGUUAGUGAAACCAAAUAAAUCAAUAAGUAAGUUAAUCUAUUUUGGCUAUAAAAAUGAAGUAAUAAUAUUUGUUUUUUAUUAGGAGUUACUUUCGUAGAUAUCAAGGAAAAAGGUAUACUAAAGGUGAAGGGAAAAUUUCAAAAGAUUCAAAUGGGGGGCAAACUCUAUGAGAUAGAUAAAUCUGUUGAUAUAAUCAACCGAACGGGAAAACCAGGGAAAAGUUACAUGCCGGGUUUAAACACAGUCUACAAUUAUGUCACCACUCCAAAAAUGCAGGUUCGUUUUUUCUAAUUUUCAGAUUAUUUUUAAGCAAUUUUGUUUUUGUGCACCAUUUUUAGCAAUUAAUUUUUUUUUACACUAUGCAUAUGCAUUAUGCAUUAUGUAGAUAUACAUUAAAAUUAUUACUUAUACCAUGAAUUGCUAUUUUACAGGAGAUACUUAUAUUCAAGUUUGAAGUUCUUAAUGAACACAUCAUACAGGAUGCUAUGGAAGUUAUAUGGGAGUUUUCAGGUACGUAUACACCAACACAAACCUAUGUUUAUAUUAAACCAAAUAAAUCAAUGAUUGUAAGAUAUAUUCAGUUUACAUCAUUUUGCAUUGUACGAUGUUUGUUGUUAGGAGUUACUUCGGUAGAGGUCAAGGGAGUUGAUAAACUAGAGGUGAAGGGAGGAGAAUUUAAUAAAAUCGCAAUGUCGGCGAAACUAAAGGACAUAGAUGAAUCCGUUACCGUUAUCAUCAAGGAGGGACUAGAUGUACAAACACCUAAUAUUGGAAGCUCAAAUGGGACAAAUUUUAAUAUGAAAAACGCGCUAUCCUCUUUCCGUGUGCCUGCGCGUGUGCGUGUGCCUCCGCCUCCACCUGUGCGUCCAGCUUCCCCUGUGUAUGCUGCUGGGCGUGGAAAAAAAUUUAACCAAGGAAAUGAGUUUCCAACAUAUAAGCAGCCAAUUUUCAAUGCUAUUGCUGCGCAAGUUCGUGACUUAUUGCCUAAAGCAAACGCGAAUAAGUUUAUGUUGGGGCAACAUAAUGCAGAGAUCCUUGGAAGGAAGAAGGCACAACCUGAAGUCAAGCAGCAGAAUCAUAAUGAUGCACAGGCCCCUGAUAAGAAGAAGCAACCACCUGAAGUCAAGCAGAAUGAACAAGAAGGAGGAUUCUUUGGAUUCUUUGGUAAGAAAAAGCAACAACCUCAGAAGGAAAAAAUCGUCAGUGAAAUCCCAAAACCUCAACGAACAUCGAGAAAAGGUACAACACUGAACUCAUGUGCUUGUGUAAACAUGCCUUUUCUAGUUUGAAGUAUGUUUUAAAUGGAAGAAUUUGAGGUGGUGAUUGGUUUGAGCUCCAUGGACUAGAAAUGUCAUCUCUCAUCUUCUAAGAUAAAGUUUGUCUCAUUAUUUGUUGUGGGGCUUUAUCACACAUUGGCAUAUUCUUUUGUUUCUAUUAACCUUAAAGAUUUGUGUUAAACCAUCUAAUGCAGAAGGCGAAACGUCACAAACACAGACACAAAGUUCGUGGACCGACUCAUCAUGGCUUACGGGCUUAACCAAUACGUUGAAUCCCUCUCAAUACACAAAAUCAAGCAGUCAGACGAUAUCCUAUCAAACCUCAAAAGCGGGUGGAUCCUCAAGAAACCAACAUUCAACACGAAAGGGAACUUAACCUACAACGCGAGGAAAGACCGAUGAUUCUAUUAAAUUAUCUAAUAGAUUCUCUUGUCUAAGUCGAAAGUACUGAAUCGUGUGUCGAAUGUUCAUCGGAUGGGAUUUUCCUAUAGGACAGUUGAGCUCCUUGGACUAUCGUUUGUUCUGGACGAGAAUUUCAUCUCAUCUUGUAAAAUAAAAGUUUGUGUCCUUAUCUGUUGUGGUGUUUACUACAUAUUUCAUAUUUGAGUAUUAUUGUUUUUCUUAACCUUAAGUUCGACUUGAUCAUCCAAAUUGUGAGUAGAUUGAGACAUUGAGUUAUUUCCUUUUUCUUAACCUUCAGAUUGCAUCAUUAUAAUCAUUUUUCGAGAUAUAGUAAUCAUUCUUCCUUGAACAAAACCGCUAUCAAAGUUGCAUUUUACCCAGCCCGUUGGAGGUGGUUCCCAACGUCUACUUCGAUCUUUUUGCUGUUGAUUAAGACUGUUGGAUUAGUGAUACUUACCUCAUGAGGAUUUAUGCAUUAGUAAAUCCAUUGUGACUUAUCAAUGCAUGGAUAUAUCUCUAAAUCUUUAUCAACAAUUGCAACUUCUGAAAAAAACUUCUUGUAAUAGAAUGAAACCAUUAAAUUGACAUACAUAUUGCGAUAAAACAGUUCAAAAGGUAAACUUAAUCGGGAAUCAAACCCUUUUGCACCUCCCUUAAAAUUUCCCUUCAACUAUCCAAUGUACAAAACAUCUCGAUUUUUUUAAUUCUCUGAAUUUUAUUAUAACAAAUUGCAUAUUUUAUUUCCUAGCCAUAUUGCAAGACAAAGUGAGGUUCUUUCGUAUUAUCGAGACCAGGCCACUCUCAAGACAAAAUAUAUCGCAUAUUUAAUUUUUAUAUAUAACACGGUGUUAGUUGAAGCCACUAAUGUCAGAGACCAGGCCACACUCUCUAACCAUAUAUCAUAUAGAAAGACUAAUCUAGACUCAACUUGUUUUUAUUAAUUCUACCAUCUAUUAUAUAGAAAGACUCAAAUUGUUCGUUGGUCUUGAUGUACAUAAAUUGAUUAUUUCCUAUUAUAGUUCCAGUGGCUGAACCUAAUCAUUACUAUAUUCACUAGUUGCAAACAAAAUAUCGUAUACAUAUAGAGGGAAGCAGAGGGUUAUUUUGCAAGCUGCGAGGUUCCUGUCACAUUCAUUUACGUUAUCUCUCUUAACUCUUCACUCUCCAAUGUCUAAUCCUCAUUACAAUCUGAAAACACAGGUUAGUUUUUCUCAAUUUUCAGAUUAGUUUUGAGCAAAUAAAAUUUCAUUGGUUUUAACGGUAAGAUUUCUGCAGAAACAUACAAGAAAGUAAUUGUAUUUACAUAUUUACGUAAACUAUGAACUGUUAAAUUGCAGGAAAAAACAGCUGAAUUCAAGUUGGAUGUUUCUGAUGAAAACAUUAGAAGGAACACUAUGAAAAUUGUCUGGAUGUUUCCAGGUACACCAAAACAAAUCUAUUGAUUUUAUUAAUGAAACCAAAUAAAUACUAUAUUUAAGCUUGAAAUAUUAAAAAGCAAUAAUAUUUGUUGUUGUAGUUACUUUCGUAGACAUCAAGGAAAAAGGUAUACUAAAGGUGAGGGGAAAAUUUGAUCACAUUGAAAUGAGAGAGAUUUUACAGCAACAUAUAGAUGAGUCUGUUGACUUAAUCAAUCCAAUGAAAAAAUCGGAGAAAAAACAGAUUCCAGGUUUGGCUACAGUCUUCAACUACUUUAAGACUCCAGCAACGCAGGUUAGAUUUUUUUUUGCAAUUUUCAAAUUAUUUUGAAGGAAUUAAAAUUUCAAUAUCUACCCUAGGAAUUCUGUAGAAAUAUAAACACAUACAUAUGUAAAAAUAAAAUUAUUACUUAUUCCAUGAACUGCUAAUUUGCAGGAGAUAGUUGUCUUCGAGUUUAGAGUUCUUGAUGAACGUAUCAUACCGAAAGCUAUGGAAGUUAUCUGGGAGUUUCCAGGUACAUCAACAAAAAUCUAUAGAUAUGUUUGUUUGUUUUUUUGAGCAAAAAAUCUAUAGCUAUUUUAUUUAAACAAAAUAAAUCUAUGACGGUACGUAGGAUAUAUUCAAUUUCUAUAUAGAAAUUAAAAAUUCAAAAAUUAAAGCACUAAAUAAACCCAUGUUUGUUGUUGUUGUUGUUGUUGUUAGUAGUUACUUCGGUAGAGAUCGAGAAUGAUUUUUAUCUAAAGGUUAAGGGAGGAGAAAUUAAUAAAGAGGUCAUGAAGACGCAACUAAAGGAUGUAGAUAAACAUGUUAAGAUAAAAUGGCAUGGACAAGAUGUAGAAGAAGAGCCAAAAAAGCAAUCCGAGGCCGGUGGCUCGAAGUUGCAACCGGAGCAACUUAGUAAAAAGAAAAAUAUAUACGAAGACGCCUACGGUGAACAUCUUAAAAAACGACAAGGUAUUAACCAAGCAAAGCAGCCGGCAUUUUACGACGAUUGGCUCUUAGAGGAAGCGCAUGGACCUUUUAACCAACAACAAGGUUUUAAGCAAGAAAAUCUGCUGCCAAUCUAUGGAGGUGCACAUGCGCAAGGAUUGUAUAAACAAAAUGCGAAUAAGGUCUUCCAGCCGCAACCAAAAGGAGGCUUUGCUGCACUGAACCUUGGUGAGAAGAAGAAACAAGCUGAAGUGAAGAAGCAAAAUCAAGACGCAGGAUGGUUUGGAAAUAUGUUUGGUAACCAACAACCUCAGGUCAAGCAGGAGUUCAGAGGCAAACGUGAAAAUCAGCAUGCUCAGCGCAUCGAUCCGCUUAUAAUACAAGGUCUAGAUGGAAAAUUUCAUGCAUAUAAGGAGAAAAAUAAUAAUCCGUAUGCCCGUAGCUCAAAUGGGCCAACAUCUAACAAUGGUACAUCACAAAACUUGGGUAUCAACAAACUUGUUUCAGUUUAUCAGAUUUAUUUUUAUGGGAUAACUUUUAAAAUAAAGUUUUUAUUAUUGUUUGUUGUGGACCUCACUAUAUUGGCAUUUUUUUGUUAACCUUAAAUAUUUGUGUUAACCAAUUAUUGUCAACAGAGUUUGGAUCAAGCAGUACGCGGAAUCGCUCUAGCUUCUCACGGUCAAGCAGUGCGAUGGAUCUAUCUCAAACCACAUCAUCAAGCAGUGUGGCGUAUUCUUCUUACUCCACAACACCAAACAGUUCUAGGAAUUCCUCUCACUCACGAUCAAGAAGUUCGGAGAAUCUGUCUCAAUUCCAAUCAAACAGUACGGGGAAUUCCUAUACAUCCUCUCAAUCAAACACAGCGAGUGGAUCCAAGCAAGGCCAAAGUUCUAAAAAACCAGGAAAGUAAGCAUGCUCGGUUGCAAAGAAAGGGAGGAAUGUCAAAACUAAGCUCUGAAAUUUUUGACAAAGAAAAAGAGACUUGUCAAGAAUAAAGGUCCAGCAUAUUUUUUUCUAGUCUAGUCUAUUAGAUUUCUUCUAAAAGAGCCAAUCUGAGGUGGUGAUCGGUUUGACCUCCAUGGACUAGAAAAAAAGGUAUUGUGGUGUUUAUUACAUAUUAAUUGGCAAAGUAUUGUUUUUGGUUAACAAUUUGCUCCUCCAAUUGUGUUUAGUCGAGUGAUAUCGUUGUGUUUCUUUAAGAUUUAUUAAACAUUUGAGUUUUUUUUUUUCUUAAUGCAAAUCAUUAUAAAUUUAAGCUGUCCCAAGCUCAUGACAUUUACAACUUGUAUUGACUAAAAUUCUAAAAUAAAACAGGCAAGCUUAUUGUACGGGUAUAUAACUAUAUACAGUAUAGCCAUCAACGUGAAACUAGAGCAACACAAGUUUUUCCUAAAAUACUUUCAUAAAUACGAUUGGAUAUAUAUAUAUAUAUAUAUAUAUAUACAUAUUAUAAUCGAUCUUUCCUUGUUUAAGUUUCUUGGCAAUCCUUGAAUUUCCGUUUGAAUCCAUUCUAACUAUUUAUUAUGCGAAACAACUCAAGCAGUUUAAAUAUUUCAGUUACACAAAAUUAGAUUAUCUUAUUUCCUACCUUCGACGAAGAUGUGAGGUUCAUUAUUAAAUCCUUAUAGGCUUGACUUAGUCGCUCUUAUAUUGACGUGAUAAUUAAAGACAAAAGAUAUCGCAUAUAUAUGGUUUAAAACUGUGUUAGUUGAAGCUACUAUAGUAUUAAACUAAAGAAGCGCAGCCACAUUCUAACAAUCUAUUAUAUAGAAAGACUCAAAACUGUUUCUAUGCCGCAUAAUUUAAUCAUACUACAUUAUCUAUUUCAUUUUCUUGCUUCGGCGGCUUGACUUAAUGUUUUCUAUAUUCGCUAGCUAAAGAGUAUAUAUGUAGACCUGGAAACAAAGUCUAUGAGCAAGCAACGAGGUUCCAAAUUCAUUCCUUUAUAUCAUCUCUCUCCAAUCUCGAAACUUUUCCACAAGAUGCAGGUUCGUGUAUAUUUUGAAUUUUGUAUAAGUUUUUAGAAUAAAUUUAAACAAAACAGUAAAAUUAAGCUAAAAUUAACAUAAUUAUAUAUCAUCAUAGUAAUAAUGAUUUUGUUUACACUUACACCUACGUAUAAAGCUUCAAAUAUAUUUAAAUCAUGUUUACAGGAGACGGUUGUAUUCGAGUGGGGAAGUUUUGACGUAAGAACCAAAGAGAAAGCUAUGAAAGUUGUAUGUGAGUUUCCAGGUACAUCAACACAAUUCAAUUCCUACGUUUAACUUUAACCAAAUAAACCGAUAAUGGCAAGAAGUCAUAAUAAUUUAUUUUUUCUUAUUAAGGCUAAAAAUAAUUAAUCAAUAAUGUUCUUGUUGUUAGGAGUUACUGUGAUAGACGUGAAGGAAAGAGGUAAACUAAAAGUGACUGGACAAUUUGAUAAGUUUAUAAUGACGAAGAAACUGAAGAAGAUAUGUGAUUAUGUUGACAUAACCGCGGUUGGACCGGAGGGACAACCGGCUCAAAAUCGCAAUCCGGUUAAGAAACCUGAACCAAAAGUGAUUAGGGGGCGACCUUACCCUCCUCAGAAAAAAACUCCAGGCAAAAACUCGGAUGAGUGUAUCAUCCUGUGAUAUUUCAUAUCUCAUUUCUAUGAUUUAAAAACUUGUUUGUUGUGUGGUGUUUAUUUACCUAUAUCGCCAUUCUGCUUUUUUUUUUUUUUGUUUCGUGUGUGUGUGUCAAUCUUGAUAUUUUUCAUCCUAAAUUAUAUUGUUUUAGUACACAAUGAUAAAAAACCUUAAAAGAUAAUGAAGCUAAAAAAAUAAUUUCAAUUUUUUUUUUUGCGUUAAAAGGCGAUUCCGCAAGUUGGCCCAUGCAUACAAGAUUGACAAUAUCGCUUAUGUUAGUAGUACUCAGUUUUUGCAUGGAAAUUACGACGAAUUUAUGGACCUUUUUAGUUUGUGGUUCCUCAACCAUUCCCGGCUCAACGAUUAUAUCAUUUCCUAUAGCUUUCUACGAAACUGUCGGCUUUUUUCUUCUAUACUUUUCGGCUUGACAAUAUUUGGAUAUUUGACAAAGACAAAAAAUAUAUAAAUCUAUUAUAAAGACUCUAAUAGUAUUUAUAAGUCUUGAAUCUUGAAAUAAUUACAUCAAACAUACUAUAUUAUUUUCUAGCUUCAACGAAAUUGUGAGUACUUUCUACUCUUUAUUCGGGUUGCCUGAAUCGUUUUUAUAUUCGCGAGCUAAAGAUAAUAAAAAAUCGGAUGUAUAUAAAUACACAUGACAGUAUAUUUGGGGCAGGCAACCAUAAAACAUUCACGUUCCUUUACAUCAUCUCUCUUCACUCUAGCUACAAACUUUUUCAUUUUCUGAAAAUGCAGCAAAACACUAACGUUGUAUUCAAACUGGAAGUCGAUGAAAGAAAGAAAAAGAAAGCUAUGAAAAUUGUAUGUGGAUUUUCAGGUACUAACACAUCUCAAUGUUAUACAAAACCCAAAGAAACCAAUUAUUUUGGUUAUACCUGAUUUAAUAUUACAUAUAAGUAGUUUCAUUUAGGCUGAACUUUUAAAGCCAUUCGUACCAUUUUUUCUUGUAAGGGGUUACUUCACUAAACGUGAUGGAAGAAGGGAAACUUACGGUGACUGGAGAAUUUGAUAACUAUGAAAUGACGAAGAAACUGAAGAAAAUAUGUAAACAUGUUGCCAUAAUCGCAGCUGAGCCCAUUAGGGAACCAGAGCAAAACCGCAAUCCGGUUACAAGGCGUGAACCCAAUAGAGAACCAGAGCAAAACCGCUCUCGGGUUACAAGGCGUGAACCGAGCAGAGAACCCGAGCCAAACCGCGCUCCACUUGCAAGGCGUGAAUCCAGGCCUAGAACUCACUCUCGUCCGUCCAUACCUCACGCUCGUCCUUCGAGAGUUCGAGGCGAAAACUCGGAUGGUUGUAUCAUCAUGUAACUGAACAUAUCUUUGGUCCAAGUUGUUAAGUAUCUCUUAAGAACAAAUAUUAAAAAACAGUUUAAGAUAGCAAUCUUUUCGAGCUUCAUGCAUGAGCUAUCAUACCCUAGUGAUAUAUUAUCGCAUCUUCUACUUUCCUUAUUUGUAAUAUUUUUGUGGUGUUUAUUAAAUAUUUUCGUUUCCUUUUUUAAAAUUCAACUGGUGAUUGGGUCAUCCAUUGUGUUUGUUCAAUACGGUCAAAUUAAAAAAAGAUUUGCACCCUUUCUUUUUGGGGGUAAAAUGUUAAACAUAUCUUAAAAGGUUGAGUUUCACAAAAAGGUUAUCAAGAGUUUUGAGAAGAAUAAGAGACAACAGGUACAUACAAUAGUAGAAGAUCAGUAAAACCUAGCGGUUAAUUGUUGUAAAGCUAAUCUAGAUAUGUCAACAUGUAAAGCUAAGUUAUACGAGGUCAUGUAGUAUGGUGGUUUUCUAGUUUACCAGGCUCUCAGUGGACAAAAGUAUUUGUCGAUUUGAUACCAUCUUCCUCGUUGUGCGAUAGUGUAAGUACGCUCCACAAUGGAAAUAGAGAAAAAGAAGGGUAAUCAGCUAGAGUUAAAUCCAUCGGCAAAAUCUAACACACAUAGUUUUCACUCAAUCACUCUAGAUUGAUUUAAUAAGUCAUUUAUAAAAGUUCUUAAUCCUCAAAUUUCUAUGGAAAUUUUUGUUCAUAUGAUUUAAAAUUUUGUACGGAGCUCCAAAGAAAUUAAGUUUACUUGGAAGCGAAACUCGACUGGAUUUGUCAGACGGAAGACUCUUACAUUGGAUUUAAGCUAGAGAAAUUUUUAUUGGAUCGACUAGAUAAGUUGUUCUCUCAAAUUGAUACUCGAUACUCAAACUUGUACACAAACUAAACUACAAAUGCUACGUUGCAUCUGGUAUGAAUUAUGUCUCAAAAGAAUCCGACCAGAUCCUUUUCAAGGUUACACCCCGACAACAAAACCAGCUUGGUAAUUUGCCUGGAAACGAGGGAGUUGAAAACGUAAUUCUUGGUUCACAAUUAAUCCUACAUUUGGAGACUUAGUGCGAUUUAGUCGCUGCAAAUUUGUUGGUUUGUCCAUCUUAGUUUAUUCAACUUGAAUCUCGCUUUCGUGGUCCAACUUUUGAUUUGAAUAGCAUCUCCACAAACAGAAAUACACAUCUUUUAUUUCCAGUUUUAAAAAGAAUAAAUAAGCCUCAAGCAGCUAUCAAAAUAUAAUGCAAUAUUGUUUAAAGAGUUUCAUUUUAUUCCGUAGCCAUUUGAACAGCAUUCGACAUAUAAAUUUUAAGUUUAGCCAACAAUUACCGAUUCUUGCCAAAAAAAAAAAAAAAAAAAUUACCGCUUUAAUGUUUAAAGGACGAAGAAAACGUGUUAUUUUAACUUUAAAUUAUUUUUAAAAGUUUAAUAAUUAUUGUGUAUGCAUGGAGAAGCAAUAAGUUACACCAAGUAACACUUGAGACAUAUACUUGAUUUUUUUCCAUUUUCAACGUUAUAGGAAAAUUGGUGUGAAUUAGUAUAUCCUUGUCUUUUUCAUGCCCUGCAACUUGCAGCUGCUUAUAUAAAGGACUAAGGAAAGGAGGGACACUUUCAAAGCUCAUUAGUAAUCUAAGACUUUUUCAUAUUUUCCAAACACUAAUUGAAGAAAAACAUGCAGGUUCGAUUCUUUAUAUAUAUUUUCCUAAUCUAUGUUUCUUAAUUGGAAGCUUGUAAUAAUUUUUCCGAAUAUUUUUUUAUUGCUUAUAUAUCAAAUGUCAUAAUUCUACCCUAAUUAGCUCUUUACCAUAAUUAAUAUUUUCAUGACAGGUAGUUGUACUGAAAUUAGAUGUUCAUUGUGAAAAAACCAAACAAAAAGCUAUGUCAACUGUAUGUUGUCUCUCAGGUAUAAACAACACUCAUCAAUUGCUAAUAUAUAUUUUUUUUACUCAUAAGCCUCUAAAUUCUCUUAAUCAAUUGAUUAAAUCAUAAUUAAGUACAUUUUGAUUUUUUUUUGUAUUGAAGGAUUAUUUUUUCUUUUGGUAUUGAAGGAGUUAACUCGGUGGAGGUGAAAGAUGGUAAACUAACGGUGACGGGAGAGAUUGAUGCCUAUAUGAUUGUGAAGAAAUUGAAGAAGAUAUGUCAUACCGAGUUUAUAUCGGUUGGACCGGUUAAAGAACCAGAGAAGAAGAAGCCUGAUGAUCCGAAGAAGCCUGAAACGAAGCCACCAGAUGUCAUUUAUCAUUAUGUCCCUCCAUGUCCACCUUAUUACCAUAAUUUCAACGGAUGUUACAAUGAAGAUCCCAACGCUUGCGUCACCUCUUGAAAACAAUAUUUUGGUCGGAUCAGUUUGGUUCACGAUAGUCAUCACUCAUCAGCUUCGUCGUAGUCUUUGGUUUUGUUCUAUUGUGAUUGUUUUAACUCUUUCAGUCCAGUCCAUUAUACACACUCAACAUGACUAGACCAAGGUUGCCACUCCCAGGCCCAUUUCUUGUUUUAAUUCCUUUUUUGUUUUCUUGUUAAUAACAUGCAUUUAAAUUUAGAUGACGACGCAUUAAUUGACCAUAUUUAACACAAAUCACUAGGUUAUAUACGUCUAAUUCAAAUGAUUUUGUUUCAUAAAAAAUAAAAUUAGAUAUCUAGUGAUCUUAUAGUAAUAUAUAACAGUAAUCUAAGUAGACUGCUCCACAAUUAUAUUUUACUUUAUUUAAAAAGAAGAAACUACGUAAGAGGUAAAUAAAGUACAUCUUUAAAAACAAAAUUUAUGAAUGAAACAUUGUGACUUUAAUCUCGGUUUGAUUUCGAUUUCAGCUUUGGUUUUGAUAUGAUUCAACUUUUACCUAGAGAACUUGCUUGAGAAGUUCUUAUGACCGAAGAAGUCAAUAAGGUCCAACCACAAAUCAACGUUGUCCGGGUCGUACACGCGGAAUUCUGAAAACUACACUUCCUUUUGUGUUCGUUAGACUCAAAUUAAUUUUCAACCAAAUCAUAAAAAUAAAUAUAAAAUUGGUAGAGAAUGAGUCAUUCUGAAUGACUACUUUAACCUCUUUGUGGUCGUUAUUGCAAUACUAUUUUUAUUUAAAAAAUACAAAAACUUUCCCUUGUGGCCUUGUGGGUCAUAUAUAAUAAUACUUGCAAAUUCCUUGGCAAUUUCUAUUUAAACCGAUUUCAGUAGACUUGCUAUUGUCAUCAUUUCAUAUCUUAGAUCAUCUCUCUUCUCUCUCUUUCUCUUAAGAAUAUUGGAAAUUUCUGAAGCUUUUCUAUAGUUGAUCUCGAGCCAUGCCUCCAAUGGUACGCCUUCUUUUUCCUAUGAUAUCUCUUAAAAUAAUUAUGCGUUGAAUAAUCGUUUGUAUAUAAAUACUAUUUGACUAUAUAUAGUUAUGUUAAUCAGGUUGAAAAUAUGUAAUUAACCAUACUGAUCUCUGUUUUGAAAUAACAGAAAGCUGUGUUGCAAUUGAGCAUUCACGAGGAAAGAAUCAGGAAGAAAGCGUUUGUCACCGUUUCUCGAUGUCCAGGUAACUUUAUUAGUUACAUUUUUCGAAAUUUAUAACAUGAUAUAUUGUUUGGAAAAUGAACUUAUAUUCAUGUUUUUUUCUUUUGUCUAAAUAGGUGUUACUUCGAUAACAAUGGAUGACAAAACCGGGAAAAUGACAGUAGUUGGUGAAGUUGAUGUACCGGUUAUCGUGAUGAAGCUAAGGAAGCUAUGUAACACAGAGCUUGUUUCGGUUGAAGUUGUUAAACCACCUGAGAAAAAGCCUGAACCAGAGAAACCGGCUCCACCUAAACCAGCUCCAGCUCCAGCUAAACCGGCUGAAAUUGUUGCCUGGCCGGUUCAGAUGAACAACCCUUACCAAUACAAUCCUGCCUAUGCAAAUUCUUACUAUCAACCAUAUGGGAACUCUAGAUUUGUAACGGACGAAUCAAAUUGUGUGAUUAUGUGAUAACUUAUUUCAAAUAAUGUGUUAAGUUAGUUUUGAUGGAAGAGUGUAAUUUUUUAGCUACUGUAAUAUACAUUUCUCAUAUGAGCUUAUUCAGAAAAAUUUAUGUUACUGUAUGAUAAAUUUGAUCUUUAUACGUUUUGUUAACUUUAACUUUUAAUCAUUUAGUAAUAGUUGAUCUUUUUCCUAUACAGAAUAUUAUUCUCUAUACUUUGUCUUUUGCUUAUAUACUAAUCAAAUGGAUACAAAAAUAUCACACACACACACACAUAGUUAAGUCGCUCUCAACUUAUUUAUGAAUAUCAAGUACCAAGAUCGUUCACGUAAUACAUUCAAUUGUCCAAAACUAAAAUAAUUUUGAAACAAUUAGAGAAUGAGAUAUUAGUAAAGAUGUGAUGUAGAGAGUCAAGAUCUGAAAGUCUCCUUUAGCAAAACAAAUACUAAUCAAUAAAAUUCCUACUUGGAGGGAUCCACAUGUAAACUGAGGCUUUCGAGGACAUUUCCUUUCUUGACUAUGAAAUAGCAGUAUUAUCCGAGUCUUCUUACCAUUUUUCAAAUAUAAAUCGCACAUUUACAGAUUAAAAAAAAAAAAAUUGGAUUCAUGCAUUGAGUUGAUUUUGAAAUCUAACAAAACUCUUGUGUUACUUUUAAGUCAUGACUUCUAAAAUUUUAGUUUAAAUCAUGUGUUAUUAAAGUAAUCGUUUAAAAUACAAAUUAAAAUUUGUGUUAAUCUAUUAGUAUUUUAAAAUUACAAAUUAAGAAUUAUGUUUUUUUUGUCUGCGAAUUUUGUUUUCGUUGCGCAACCAAAGAAUUGUGGGUAAGAAAUGUGUAAUACAAGUAUGAUGCAUAUAGAAUGGCUCGCCAUGAAAAAAAGCUGCAUAAAUGAAUUGCUAGGAUCAUGAAUGUUAAGUUGAUCAAUUAUACUGGAUAUAAAAGUUAAAGUAUCUUCAAAUGAUACUGUAUCAGACAAACCAAAGAAACGUGUGAGUAUAUUAGAAAAUGAAGGUAUUUAGUACAUUUUUAUAUAUUUAAUGAGAUUAACACUUCUAAUUAUAGUAUAAUUUAUACACUAACGCGUUAAUCAAAAAUAGACAAUUUGACGUAGUAGGAGAGUCAGCUUUUAAUCUAAAAUUCGAAAAAAUGAAUAUACUAAAUAGCUCAUCUCUGCCAAUAAUGCUUCUCUUGUUUAUUAUACUCUUUACUCACAGAUAAAUAUAGCGAAAUGGAGAGACUAGCUAGAAAUUACAAUAAAGGAUCACAUACAUUGUUACCUAAUUAUUAUUUUCUUAAAAUUUGAACAAAUACGUGUGUCAGCAUUAUGCUAAUCUUCUUUGUAUCGUUUCAAAAAAUUUCAAAUAUUCCCGGUAACAAAAAUUUGACCUUAAGAAACAAACAUGUACACAAAUAUUCGUUGCCAUCACAAACACAAAACCCAUAGAUCACAAACACGUUACAACUUGUUACCUUUUUGUUGUUGUUGUUCUUAAUGAUUUUGCUACUUGUUACUUUCCUCUUGACUUCUUUGAUGAUCUCGGGCUUUCAACUGUUUUUUGGGCAGCUUCGAAUUAUUUUCGUGUGGCUCUGAGUAGGCAUUAUAUUGUUACGAUACCUAGAGACAACAACGAUAACAUUGAAACAAACUUAUCUUUCCUCUCUCACUAUUCACAACAACUUUAAAAUAAAAUAAAAGAACAAUUGUGACAAUCUCGGUUUUAUUUCGAGUUUAUCUAUUAGUUCUGAAAUGAUUCAACUUUUCCAAGAACACACUGUAUAGAACUUUCCUGAGAAUUUCUUACGUGCCCAAAGUGCCAAUAGGGUCAACAUAUGGACAGGGUCGUACACGCGGCAUUCUGAGUGAUCCGUAAUGCUUUCGUAGUUUCGUUACAACCAAAAAUAGUAAAAUACUAAAAAAAAAUUAAUUUUUUUUGACUACUUUACUCUUUAGUCUUUACAACAACUUUUUGGGGUCAUCAUACUCGCAAAUUCCUACGCAAUUUCUAUAUAAACAGAUAUCAUAAGACUUGCAAUAUGUCAUCAAGAAGCUUCGAUAUCUCAAUCUAUCUCUACUCAUUCUCUCUUAAAAAAAAAAAAAAAAAUCAAAAAUUUCUGGAGUAGUUUCUCGAGCCAUGACCGCAAAGGUACAAUACAUUUUAUCUUCCUUAGAGUAUGCGUUAAUUAAUCGUUAUAUACACAUAUACUAUUCCACAAGUUCUAACUAUAUAUAUAACUAUCACUUUUUUUACAUUGAAACUAUGCAAUAAGCCAAACUGAUUUCUGAUUUGUAAUGACAGAACGCUGUGUUGCAAUUGAGUAUUCACGAGGAGAGAACCAGGAAGAAAGCGCUUGUCACCGUUUCUCGAUUUUCAGGUAUCUUUUAUAAAAUUUACAUUAGAAAUGUAUAAUAUGAUACUAUUGGGAAAAUAAACUUGUAUUAAUAAUUUGAUUUUCUUAAUAGGAGUUACUUCGAUAACAAUGGACAAAAGUGGGAAAAUGACAAUAGUUGGAGAAGUUGAUGUACCAGCUGUCGUGAUGAAGCUAAGGAAGCUAUGUAACACAGAGAUCGUUUCAGUCGAUGAUGUUAAACCACCUGUUAAAAAGCCUGAACCUGAGAAACCAGCUGAAUCUAUUGCAUAUCCUGUUCCGAUGAACUACGCGUACCAAUUCAAUCCUGCCUAUGCAAAUUCUUACUAUCAUCAACCAUACGGAAAUUGUAGAGUGGUAGACGAACCAAAUUGUGUGAUUAUGUGAUUGUUCUAGUGUUAUUUCAAUUAAUGUUCAGUUAUUUAACACUUAUAGUUUUGAUAGAAAUAUGUAAUUUUUUCUUAGAUACUGUUGUAAUAUGUAAUUUUUUGUCAUCGUUGUAAUAUACAUUUCUCUUGCCAAAUAAAUCAAUUUUGUAUGACAAAAUUAAUCUUAAUACGCUUUAUUAACUUUUACUCUUAAUCAUUUAGUAGUAAUAAUUAGUUUUGUUUUCACAAAUAGUUUCAUUUGCUUCUUGUUGUCUCCUAUGCUGAAUAUAUUCUACAUUUUGUCUCAAGCUAGUAGUAUACUAAUCGAUAUGUUGCGAGGGAUUGGUAAUUGGUUGAAUGGAAUCAUAAUUAAUAUUGGAUACCAAUUAGAUAGUAUAUCUACACACAUAGUUACGUCGCUCUCUACUUCUUCUUGACUCAUGAACUUCAAGAAUCCAGAUCGUUCACGUAACACAUUCGAUUGUUCUAAAUAAAUAGAAAUUUGAACUAUUAGCGAGUGUCAUAAUAAUGGAGAGAGUCAAGAUCCGAAAAGUCUUGUACAACAAAACGAAACAAUAAUAAAAGACCAAGUCUAGGGUGACGUGGAGGGUCCACAUGUGGAAUGGUGCUUACGAGGAUAUUUCGUUUCUUGACCCUGAUAUGAAAAAUUAUUCUAAGUCUUUUUUUUUUUGCCUUUUUACGACGAUUUGUGACAUCCAUGUAGACGUGCGAUCGGCCAUAGAUUAGGUUAAAUUAUUCAAGUCUUCUUUCCAAAAUAACUUUAAUAUGAAUCGCCAAAAUCUUAAAACUUUAGAUUUAUGAAUGUGCUGGUUGCGAAAUACAAAUCUUGUGUUACUUAAUUAAUGUUAUGUAGACAAGAAAUUUAGAUGAAAAAUCAUAAUUUGGUAGUAGUUUUGAAAUAUAAACUAAAAACAUUAACAAAAGAUAGAAUGUUUUACUUUUAGGUGGUCUGUUUGUUGGAUUGUGAACCUUUUUAAACGUCUUUUUUUUUUUUUUGCUACACUAGUACUUUAAUAUUUGUCAAAAUCUUGUGUUAUAUUAUUCGAGUAACUAAGUUCUAAAUCCUGGCUCACAAAAUGAAAAUUAUUAAAAGAGCUCACUGGUAUGUGUGUUUCAAAAUAGUGUUUAUAAUGUCCACUUGGAUUUUUUGGAAUAACAUUAUAUGUUAAAAUCCAAUGGCUUAAAAAAUAUCAAAUCCUUUACUGGACUUGUCUCUUAGUUAUAUGAAUUUGCAAUCAAACAUAAUCUUGUGUUAUUCAACUAUUAUUUUACAAUCUUUGUCAAAAUAUUAUGUUAAUUCAAAGAUUUAUGAUAUGUGAAUCUUAGCUAAAGUUGUAUUGGGAAAAUAGCUACGUUUCAAGGACAUGUUUCCGAUAAGCCCUCUAGAGCCCAAAAUCGCUAUAUACUUGACCGUGAGGGUUUCAUGUCCGCACAUCUCCCUCCUUUAUAAGAUACAAAAGAACCGUUAUGACUUCUAUCUCGGUUUGAUUUUGAUUUCAGCUUUUGUUGCUAUGUGAUACAACUUUUCCAACACUCUACCAAUAAAUGGUCCCUGCAGUACACGAAGGAUUCUAAAUACUGCACUUCCUUUUGAUUUCGGUACACCGAAAUUAUAUUUUCAACCAACUCGUGAAAAAUACUCAAAACAAAUUGAUAAAGAUUUACUAGUCUAGUCAUUUUUGUAGUCAUUCGAAAUGCUAUUGAUAUGUAAAAAUUCACAAUGCACAAUGCUUGUGGGUUAUAUAUUUAAUAAAUAAGUGCAAAUUCCUACGUAAAUUUAUAUUUAAACAGAUAUCGUUGGACGCAAUUGUCAUCAAGAAGUGUUAGAAGAUCUCGGAGAUUACGAGAUGGAACUGGUCAUAUUUCCAUAUUGUUAUAUAGACAAGUUAACAUUUGUGUAAUAUAGCCUUAUUGUUAAUUAGGUAGAUUUAACAUAUAUAUGUCAAAAACAUGCUAAUCAAGUUAUAACUUUGUAUAAAUAAGUCUAUUAGGGCUAAUAACUUCUUCGCUAUCUCAAUAUAGUCCUCUCUUUGGAAAUUUCUUAAGCUUUUCCAUAGUUUUCUAGAGCGAUGGCCGCGAAGGUACACCCCUUUAUCUCGUUUUAUCUAUCUUUAAAUAAUUAUGCGUUGAUUAAUCAUUCUAUAUUUAUAUAUGUACUAUUUAACUAUUGUUAAUAUAGUAAGUCGAUUAUAUGCAAAUAGGCAUACUAAUCUCUGGUUUGAAAUGUCAGAAAGCUGUGUUGCAAUUGGGUAUCCCCGAGGAGAAAAUCAGAAUGAAAGUUUUGUGACCGUUGCAGGAUUUACAGGUAUCUUUGUAAGUUACUUUUCUAAAUUUGUAGUAUUGAUAUUGUGGGGGAAAAAAAGUUUAUUCAUGAACUUUAAUUUUUAGUAUAGGUGUUACUUCGAUAACAAUAGAUGACAAAACCGGGAAACUGACGGUAGUGGGAGACAUUGAUGUACCAAUUAUCGUGAUGAAGCUAAGGAAGCUAUGUAAGACAGAGAUUAUUUCGGUAGAUGCUGUUAAACCACCUGAGAAAAAGCCUGAACCGGAGAAACCGGCUCCACCUAAACCGAGUGAAAAGAUUGCAUCUCCGGUUCCGAUGAACUUAGCAGAACGAGUACAAUCCUGCCUAUGCCUAUUCUUCUGAUUCUUACCAUCAACCAAAUACUUGUGUGAUUAUGUGAUUUUUCUAGAGUUAUUUCACUAAUCUUAAUAUAUGAACACAUAAAUUAGUUAAUUUUGAUGGAAGAGUACUGUAAUUUCUGUAUGAUAAAAAUGAUGUUAAGUUGUGUUAAGCCGAUACUAUCAUGCCUAUGCAAAUUUUUUUUUUUUUUUUUUGCCUAUGCAAAUUUUGACAUUCCUCAGAAGAUGUUAGUUGGAAAGUAAAUAGAAAAAUAUCAAUAUCUGCAUUACAAAGUUGAUCUUAAAUUGUUAACUUUCACUUUCAAUCGUCUAGUAAAAUUAGGUCCUUUUUCCCUCACGUACAUAGACUUUUCUCCUAUGCUGAAUAUAUUCAAUAAUUUGUAAAACCGAUCUCCUUAUACUACCACUAGGCCACCAUCCCUUUGGUAGAUAUCUAAUAAUUUGUUAGAGUUAGUUCUAAACUUGUAGGCAAUGUUACGAGGAAUUGGUUGAUUCGGUUCACAAUUUGGAUACAAAUUCGAUAAAAAUAUAUAUUCUCACACAUACACAGAAUCAUUUGCCACUAAUUUUUGUGGACUGGCGAACAUUAAAGCCACUUAAAUUUUUUAUAUUAGCAGCAUUGUCGUCUUGAUGGUUUAUUGUAGGAGUUCAAAAUUUUGUAAGUAUAAACUCUAAAGUGAAUGUGGUAGCCAGCUUAAAAGUUUUUAUGAGACUUUCCCAAAGAAAAAUCAAGAUUAUUAUCAUUAAUACAUUACCAUUAUUGGUCCUCUUUCCACAUCUCUACCCAAUUCUCCUUUGCCUCUUUGAGUCCAAAAAGAGAGUUAGUCUUGGCCGGGUCCAGGUUUGUGGACAAGCUUCCGUACGCAAUCCCAAGAGCCGACGAACCAAAGGUCACGAGUGUGGUCAAGUAUGGAACCCACAAAGGCACGUCCCAGACGUUUCUAUCCUUCAAAACUUCGAGUACUUUCAAGAUCGCCACUCCCAAGCCCAGUGGUGUUCCCACAGACACCACAAUCCUCCCCAUCAUCCUCUCGAACACUUCUUGAGGUAUCGGGGGAUCGUCUUCCGGGUCCGGGUCUGGCCGGCCGGGUUUUUCAGAGGUUCUAGAAGAUUGAAACCCUUUAGGUCCAGCGUGGAGCUUGGAUUCCCAUCUUGGUUUGUUGUUAGGAUAUAGGGUUUUUGGAUUGUGAGAUUUGGUUUUGACGGUUGUUCUUGAGAGAGAUGAUAAUGGUAGUAAACGGUGUGAGCACAAGAGAGCUCUCAUUUCUAUUUCUUCUUCUAAUGUUUUUCUUUAUUUAUCUUAUCUACAUGUAUUAUAUGGUUUUGUCUUUAGGGAUAAUGCAUAUUUUGUUUUUAUCUUUGGGAUAUGUUCAUUGCCACACAUUUCAUACUAUUUAUCCUUCUUUAUAUCUUUUUCUUCAUUUCAUGAAAAUAAUACCGUUGGAACAUUUUCUUCAAUUUUGUAUUUUAAGAACAUGGAAUUAGUGUUCAGAAAAUUAGAAAAAUCAUUAUUUCUUCACUUCAAAUGCACACUACAUAUAAUAUAAUCCAAUUUUAGGAACCAUUUGAUCUUGAUAGCUUUUCAUACGAUUUCCUCAACACCUGCAAGGCAACAACGCAAACAAUAAACAAAGUGCGGAAUUAACUUCCAGCGCAAGAAAGAUACUGCAAAGCAAUUUCUUGAGGCUCACGGUACGUACCCUACUAGGAGACAAGUAAUAAUAACGCUCAUUAUUACUGUCCGGAGAGAGUAUGGAAGGAGAUUGCGCUGGUGGAGAAGCGUGGAGUGUUGGUCGGAGUAACAGAGAGUGACGGUAAGGUGAAUUUAUUGGUGACCGCAGCAGCGUAGAGAUCAUGAUGCUCGGCGACAGAAGACUUGAGCGAUACGGCGAGAUAGGAGAUGCCAGCUCCGAAGCCCAAGUGGCAGUUUCCGGCGAAUUUCCCGACAUUGGCAUGUUUAUUGUUAUCCUGUAGUAGGAAAUUACUGUAAAUUGCAGUCUAUUGUAUGGAUUGAUAAUUGGUGAUCAUACCUUUUAUGAAGUUCGACGUACUGGUCCGUCUCAUCAUAUAUUUCUUCCUUCAAGGUUCAUCAAAUGGUUAAUUCAAUCACAAACGUCAUGUUAGAUGACUAACAUUUGUAAUGAUAACAUAUUAUAGAUUACCUGUAUAAGUUCCUCCAUAACAUCUUCCAGAGUUAUAAUCCCAAUGACUUCUUCAUCUUCAUCAGAAAUACUAUCAAUGUAUCGGAUUGGACUUUGAUGACUAGUUUCGCUGGAGUUCAACGCGGGAAUACUCAGAAAAACGUUGGCGUCUUUAUUAGGCGAUCCUGAAAAAUUACAGAAGACGUAAAUUUUCUCGUCUCAAAACAUAAUAUGAUUUCGAAUUUUAUGCUCUCUCAUUUGUAUACGAGUCUCUUAACCAUUGAUGCUCUUUUCAUGGACUGGAGUGUUGGUAUUAGUGUGGUUCUUGGUCCCAACGACAGCAGCCAUGUGGCUUCGACCUGUUUGGAAGAUGUUGAGGAUGUCGUAGAGAGGUAAAUUCAAAUCGACCCUGCUUGCAGAUUUUGUAAGAAAAAUAAGCUUUGAUCAGUCCAGCUUUGAAAGCAGUUUAGUUAGAGAGUCAAGAUAUGUUUAUACUUGGGCAUUCUUCUGAUAGGGAGAUCUCUGAUCGAUGUCUCAUCUUCAGGACGGACUUUGAUCAAGUUCUUUACCUAUUCAAACCAAAAAAACAAUUCAAAAAUCAUGCAAGUGUUUCUCAAGAUGAUUGUGUGUAAUAGAUUUGUUGCUUACUCACCAGAAUAAAUCCAAUGAUAACAUUAGGAUUUACAGAGUAUAUAGGUAUUCGGCUAUGGCCUGCACUUGCUAUUAAUCCCAUUGUCUUUCUGUGAAGCCCAAAGAGGAUGAUAAGAAUAACUAACUGGAUAUUGUCUAAAAGAAGAAGAAAGAGGAAUUCCAAGAGAAGAACAUACUCGUCGAGCUUAAAAUUUAUAUCGAGUGAAAAGAUCUGAGAGACUGGUGUCAUUGCGUCUUUAGCACUUUUCUGUGACAUGUCCAGAGCUCCUGAUAUGAUUGUUGUUUCAUCGUGAGUUAGUUCCCCGCCUUUUCCUGCCUAAUUUUCAGAUUAAGGACACGGAGAAAGGAGAAGAAAAAGACAUGCAUUCACCUCAAAUAUUGACAAAACAAUAAAAGCAUCUCAAGUUCUUGAAACGAACCUCGUUUCCGUGCAUAUACACAAGUGACUUGAGCUCUGCUCGUCCUAAGAGUGUGGAAUGUCUUUUUCCAAGCAACAAAUCGAGUAGCUAAAGCAUUGAAAGAAGAAAACUUUGAAUUAUUGUUUUAACUUCACUCAAUUGAUUCCACUAAAAGUUCCAUUGAUGUUAAGCUGGUUGAAUUACCUUGCUGAUUGGAUAAGAUAAUGGGAAGAAGACUAUAAUAAUCAACCGAACCAAAAAUGAUAGCUUUGCCCCGAUGCUCAGUCCGUAUCUAGAGCAUACAGCUUGAGGUAUAAUCUACAACAAUGGAAAGAGAACAAUAAGCUAUUGGGCGAUGUUAAAAAUCAGAUCAGCAGAGAAAGCUAACUCAAAUUCCAUUCACCUCGCCAAAGGCAAGUAUGAGAGUGACGGAUAUCAGAAUAGCACCCCAGGCUGGAAGCAGGGAAUCGACAAAGAUCGGUAGAGCCUUUCAAAUUUUAUCAUUGAAAACAGCGUCAGUAAAAACUGCAUCAUAAGUUCUAAAAAGCCAAAGUGUGCACAACACAAAUAAGUAUCCAAAUAUAUAUGCAAUAAGCUUGAUACCUCCAUUGCCAAAGCAUUGCCUAUAAGGAGUGUACACAAGAGAAGGUGCUGGUUUUUAACGAGGGGCAGAAUCUUCUCUGGCCAUUUUGUUACAAUUUUUUUAAAAUGGCGUUAGUAUGAAUAUGAAGUAUUAAAGUAUGAGUAUGUCAAUGGGUUCAUGAAACUGACCUGCAUUUUUGCGGUCAUGGGGUUCACCGGCUUUGAUCAUGACCUCGAGCUCGACAAUACUAAGGGACAUGAGCCCAAGAGUCAGUCCUGACAUCAAACCUGCGAAAACCACUAGAGCAACACAUACGAGUAGGUACACCCAGAACAUAGUCUCACAGCAAGGGACAUCAUUUGCAGCCAUUUCUUAAGUAAUUUAGAAGGUAGAGACUAAAGACUAUGAAUGCCGAGACUGUGAGAGAAUGAGUUUGGGAAUCAUAGGAGCUUAAAUAGUAGCAGCGGAUGACAUAGUAUACCAACUGCUACACCAAGAGAACAGAAUCCAAGAACCACCAUCCAAGAGGUUAUUACAUAAGGGUAAAAACAAAAUGCCUUUUGCAAGAACCUUUGCAUUCACAAUCGGAUUUUGGUCAUCGGCCCACAAAAACUAGUUUUGAUGUCCACCGUUUCUCUCUAAUCAUUGUCAAAUUAUUAUGCCCUAGUGACCUGCUAUCAGACAGAAUAACCAGAAAGAGCUAUGCAGUGAAGCUGCGAAUCAACACUUAGUCGAUAUUUCAAUUCAAUUAUGUUGUGCGGUUCUUAUACAAAAGGUGUGAGGAGAAGAACAACAUGCAACCACUUGCAUUGUCAACUCAGAGCGACUGAAAACUACUCAUUAUAGUCGACCAACCCAAAGAACACCAAAUGAUGUUGUGGUCUUUAGUACCAAAACAGUGACGUUACGAAAAAUCUAUUUUAAAGUGUUUUUCGGAUAUUCAGAAACGCUAAUACAAGUAACUUCCAAAGGAGCAGGUGAUAAAAGAUCAAAACCUUGAUGAUACCCAACCCAGAUAGCAAUCGAUUGAUAAAGAAGCAAACGACGGUUCAAAGGACCACAACAAUAAUAAUAUCUGUAAGGGUCAAGAUAAGAAAUGACCUCCAAACCAAAACAAGCCUUAAAGAAAAGAUUUAAAAUAGUUCAGAAGAACAAAACCAAGAAGCUCUUUUAAAAAUAUUGGCCAACUCCAACAACUAAUGGAAGCAAGACACAUAAAGAUUAAUCAAUAUAUAAUGUGUUUAGCAUCACUAUCUUGUUCAGGUUUUUCUGCUAAACAAAUCCUCUAUAUAUGAAUUCAUCAUUCUCCACUAGCAAAUACUUUAUUCACUUCGUCACUUUGAUGAGAAUUACAUAAUAAAAUUUUAUUUUUUUAGCAAUGUACCUAUUACUAGCAAAUUCAUAGCAAAUUUUAAAAUCUCAUAUGAAAAUUCUUCUAACAAAAGACUGAUCCUAACAAUUUGACAAAAAAUAAUAAUUGAACCUAGAUCAUUCAUACACUUCGACGAGUUGAGAAAUCUGCCCUUGUUAUGAGAUUUGACAUACCUUGGACUCGCAAUACGCGAUAUUUUGCGAAGACGAACCCAGAUCGAAGAAACACCAAAUUAGAUUGUGUUGCAAAUGUUAGGAGUCUAAGUUUUGCAUCACAUUCUAAUUUGAUGUUCUUCGAUCGACCAGAAAAAAAUAAAAGCUUUUCCCGGUGACCUGAGCCAGCAACGUCUCCGUUAAUCUUCUUCUUCUGAAGACCAAAUGUUUCUUUACGAAUAAUCGUGUCGUUCGUCUCUAAAGCAAGAAAAGUUAGACGGCAAGUAGAAGCCAAUUAAACGGCACACUGUUUUAAUCUCUAAUCAUCAAACAGGAGGUAGUAGUAAUACUUUUCGACACGUGGUUGUGAUUACGACUCCGUUUACGUUUGACCAGUUGACCUCGUCGUUGAUUUUUUUUUUUGGUGAACGGGAAAAAAAAACACAACUUUUCAAUUUUUCUGAUUCCAAAAAUUUCAAAUCCCAUCGAAGGGGGAAACGAAAAAGUCUCACUUAGAAUUGUCACAAUUCAAUAGUGAACAGUGAGGAGAAGAAGAAGACUGGAGAAAAAAUGUCGAAGAAACUUAGCUCGAACUCCAUGGAUGAUGUUGAUCGAUUGUUUCAGUGUUUCAAGUGUGGGAUUUCUCCGCCUGGUGAGCAUUUUUCACUCUCUUCCAUUAAUAGAAUCAUGUUCUGUGAUUGCUCGAAUAGAGAUUCAUUGCUUUUAGUAGUGGAAUUUGGAAUUUAGUUAACGCAAUUGACAAUUGAAUCUUAUGUUCUUCUACAACAAGACCUGUUUGAGAUCUCUGUGAAAUAUUUCAACUUCUGCUAUGAAAUUAUAAUCUGUGGAAUUUUUCAGCUUCUGCUAUGAGAGAAAAGAAACGGAGCAAGAAAAUGUUGAAUUCAGAGUAUGACUCUCCUGUGACCUGUAAGAAGUUGCAGCUAAGUUCUUUGUCUAGAUUAUCUGGAAAAAGAGGAGAAAGAAAUCAGAUUGAUGGAAGUGUCUCUGUAGAUUCUGUUGUAUGUAUCUUGAACACAAAGUUUUGUUCGUUGUGUUUUGAAUGGUUGUGGAGUGAAUUUUGAUUCUCUUCUUCUUAUGUUAUAUCUCAGUCUGGUUCCAGGGAUGUGAAAAAGAGCGUUGGGAGGCAGUUUUCACCCAUUGUAUUUUACGGAUCUCCAAAUGGCGUUCCUCCGAAAAAACCGUUGAGUUUAUUAAGGCUCUUGCGUGAGAUUCGUAUUGAUCUUAGUGAAGAAAGGAAAGCAAUCUCCAGGUAAUCUAAUGAAUAAGCUGGUGCUGUCUUUUUAGGGGAUUGUAACGGUUGUAAAUCAUGGCAUGGUCUUCACUUUGUUUAGGAAAGGAGUUUGGGCUACAUUUCCUCGGCAAGAGGAAGCGAUUAAGUUUGAAAAAAGGCAUGACAAUGUGCGGAUUUUUAGUUAUCAAGAUCAUUUUAGUGGUCAGAGAAGGUUUCUGGUUUCAUCAUAUGAAGAAUUCUGGAAGAGGUUCUUUUAUUUCCCUUCUUAAAACAUUCCUUGAGUGUUGCAGGAUCAGUUCUUUAAGUGCUUUAAUUAUGUUAUUCUUCUUCCUUAGAUACCUAUCUAUGGAUCCAAGGCACCGACACCAUUAUGAAGUGAUUCAAGAGGUAUCUAAAUCUCAUUCCCUUACUAUUUUAGUGUGUUUCUACAUAAAAGUAGAUCUUCCAGUCUUGAAACAAAUAUGCAUGUCUGGCUUUUGAUUCACAGCAUUUAAUUUCAACGGCUUCUCAGGGAUUGCCAUGCCAUAUGUACUUUGAUUUGGAGUUCAAUCAGAAAGAAAAUGAAGGAAAAAAUGUAGAUGAAAUGGUUGAUAUCUUGAUAUCAGUCAUUCUGGAAGCCUUGCGUGAGAAAUAUGCUAUCGAAGGACAAGAGGACUGGAUAGUAGAGCUUGAUUCCUCAACUAAAGGUACUGUAAUAUAUAUGCUCUCCGAGCUGCUAGUUGAAUAUGAGGUGUCCUUUUUCCAUCAGCUUUAUUCUCUGAGGGAUUUCAAAAAAAAUGCCAGUUAUUGUUAAAAAAAAGUUUUAUAGAUAUUGUAAACUGUUUUUCCUUUAGUAUUUCUGUAGAAGGUAGGUUCCUUUUGACUAAGAAUUCCUAGAAAAGUUCAUAUGCUGAUAAGGUUUUUUUAUAUCAAUAUGAAUGUCAUAUGCAGAUAAGUUCUCUCGUCAUGUAAUUGUAAUCAUUCCAAAGGUUGCCUUUAAGGAUAACUCACACGUUGGUGCUUUUGUUGGAGAGGUAUGCUUCAGUUGAUAUUUCACUUUUAUUGCCUGAAAAUAUGGCUUAUUUUCAUCUUCAUGUUUCUCCAGCUAUGCUCACGGAUAGUAAAUGCAAAGGAAACAGAUGAAAGGUUGCGCAAGCUGUUUGUUCACAAAGAGGCUAAUGAUUCGGCAUCGCUACUUUUCGUGGAUACUGCUGUUUACUCUAGAAACCGUUGCUUCCGUCUUGCACUAUCAUCAAAAGCUGGAAAGACAUCAGUUCUUUUACCUACAGGACGAUUCAAAUGUAAGGAUAUGGUAAGUCCACCUUAAUUCAAGUCUCUCUGUUGUCCCUCACUUUCUUUUCCAGACUUCUUGUUUUGCUUUAGAACAGUUCAUAGUAAUUUCAGUAUCUAACAAGAAAAAUUGGUAACCAAACAGGGUGAACGAGAUGUUUUCAUGACAUCCUUAAUCUGCAACGUAGAAUCAGAUUGUGAGAAGCUUCUGGUUUGCAAGAUGGAAUCAGACUGUAUGAAGACACUGUGCUUUGACACAGAGGUGAAUUUUUCAUAAGUUGCCCGCACACUUGUGCUUUUGGCUUUCAAUUGCAUCUUCGUUCAUACUUGACUACUUGAGGGACCACAAAUGUUUGAGCCUUUAAACUGAAUUCUUUGGAGAUGGCAGGUGAACAGUAACAAUCUUGUAAGAGACCAGAAUGCUCAGAAAUUUCAACUGAAUGCUAGCACAAGUGACAUGUCAACAUCAUAUUUCGGGGGCAAGUCCCCGUUCCCGCAACUGGACCAAUUCAUAGAAUCCACUGCUUCCACGGGGAAUGUCCCAGGUUGCAUUUAAUCUUUGUUCAACUUGUUGUGUUGUGGAGAGAUCUCAAUUCUCAUCUUCUUAAAAUACAUAUGCUGUGAUAUUUAGGUAAGAUACGCUGCUGGUACUGGUUCUCAGAAGAUGGCCUGAUUGUGUACAGUAUGUUAAGAAACAGAUAUUGCGAACGGAUUGGCAGGGAACAUAAAAGCAAUCAUGGUACCAUCUGCUCUCAACCCAUUUAUGAUAUACGAGUAUCGAGUAUGUUAUGUAAUCUCUGCACCAAAUAACAUUUUUUUAUGCCUAACAUUUGUUCAAACAAACUAUGUUGUUUUAGUGAUGUACAUCGUUGAUCUCAGAAGGGGAAUCUAUUAUCAGAAAUGCUACGAUCCAGACUGCCGAGGUGUGUAUACGAUCCUUACUCAUUGUCUUGGCAAACAAUAUGAAAGCAAAAUCUUGUUCCUAAAAAAACCAACUCUGUCUGCAGAUUAUCGGUCUCCAAUACGUCCAGUUCCAGAUAGUUACCUUCCUGAAGAUAUGGUCUACUAUCAAGGAGCUACACAGAAUCUCUGUGACAAUCUUUACUCUGAAGGAGAAUGUCACGUUGAUAAAGAAUGCGAUCCAGAUAGUGCUGCUAGCAGAGGCUCAUGGUGGCUUGAAGCAGUUAAAGUCGCAGAUGAUCUUGAAAGCAAACCCAAGACACUUGAACCUCUUACCUGGGUCAGUUGACUUAUUGUUAUUGACUUAAGACUCUGUCUAAUUUCUCGAGAAUAUUAUAAAGAAAAAGCUUUGGCUCACAGGAAAAUUACGAGGAAGAUGAUGACUGGUGGGUAGCAGCUGCAGAAGAGUCACUAAAACAAAUCGCAUCUCUAAGUCCUUCCCCAAAAUGCCCUUGAUUUAGACAUCUACCUAAGUCAAGACCAAUCUGGGUUCGUCUUCUUCCCUUUUCUCUAUUUAAAACCACCAUCGUUCCCUAAAUCAAUGAAUCUCUCAAAAUUCAAUGGCUGCAUUACCAGUAUUCAUACCAGCAGAGUCAUUUCCAUCGAUCCUCUCACAUGAAACCUUGAUCAAUCACUUUCGGACCAAUCUUCCGAAACAUUCAUCAACAAUCACAAGCCCUGUCCGGCAAAACUACACCGUUUCAUCACCUUCCUCUCUCCUCCUCAUGCCUUCUUGGUCAUCUUCUUCUUCUCUCCCUUACAUGGGCGUCAAGCUCGUGACCUAUUUCCCUCAUAACUCUUCUCAGAACUUACCUGGCAUCCAUGGAUCCUACACACUCUUUAGCUCCACUACAGGCCAAACCUUAGCUACAAUGGAUGGUACUGUUUUAACCCUUUACCGUACUUCCUCUGUUUCAGGCUUAGGAUCCAAAAUCCUAGCUAGAGACGAUAGUCAAGUGCUGAUCAUGGUUGGUUCCGGUGCUCUCGCACCACACCUGAUCAAAUCCCAUCUAGCUGCGAAACCAAGCUUGAGAAGAGUGAUCAUAUGGAACAGAACUCCACAAAGGGCUCAGGAGUUAGCUGAAACCCUCUCCAAGGAUCCUCAACACAAGGAGAUUUCAUUCGAUAGCCACGAUUCGCUAGAUCAAAUCAUUCCUCUAGGAGAUAUUAUAAGCUGUGCAACAAACUCAACUGUUCCAUUGGUCAAAGGUGAGUUCUUGAAACCCGGAACUCAUCUUGACCUUGUUGGAUCGUUUAGCCAUGAAAUGAAGGAAUGUGACGACAAUGCGAUACAGAGAGGGAGUGUGUUUGUCGAUAAUGACACUGCGAUGAUAGAAGCAGGAGAGCUCGCGGGAGCGUUUGAGAGAGGAGUGAUUAAGAGAGAAGACAUUUGUGGGAAUUUGGUGGAGUUGAUCAAAGGUGACAAAGAAGGGAGAAAGAGUUCAACAGACAUAACAGUGUUUAAGUCCGUCGGUUCGGGUACCGUAGAUCUCUUAACCGCACAACUUGUUCACGAGACUUACCUCAGCCGUUGUUAAGCAGUGUGAAUGAAUCUUGUUUGAUCAUUGCGUUUGCGAAUAUUUCACAUUGUUAUUUAAACGAAAUAAAUUAUUGAUAUGGACCUAUGGUUUUGUUGUUGUAUAGAUGGAGUUUUAUUGCCAAAUUUUGGAUUGGUUGAAUUCUGAUCGCAGGUGAAGCAAGUUGACUUUUUGCUGAACUCCGUUCAGGUUUUGCUGAUAGCCGGUUUGGUUAGUUGUCCUUCUCAAAUUAACUAAUUGAAAAUGAUAUACUCCUAAAUUUCCUAUUAACUAAUUAAAAUUAGUAGCUGGAGAUGUGAAUGGAAAUUGAUUAGUACCAAUGUAAAAACGGACAAAUUAGUAUGAAAUUGUAAAAGCGGACAAAUUCGUUUACUCGCAUCUGAUUUUGUAUGUAAACAGUGUUCUCUAAUAGUGGCUUCAUGAAUCUCUCUAAUAAAAUAUGACUUGUUGACAACCACAAAAAAUGGCAUUGUGCUAAUUAGAUCCAAUCCAACUAUCUAAGUAUACAUAUCACUGACUUAUCUUUUUUUUUGGGAUCAAAAUCACUGAAUUAUCUAAAAUACAUAUUUUUGGAUUUAUAUUUGAACCAAACAAAAAGACAGGCGUAUAUAAAAGAGACUAAUCAAUCAAUUAGUCAUCGAAGCCGUCUUAGCUCAGUGGUAGAGCGCGUGGCUUUUAACCACGUGGCCGUGGGUUCGAUCCCCACAGACGGCGAAGUAGUUAAUUUUAUAUUUGAUGCUUUUUUUUGGGGCCAAUCGGGUUUUCGGCCCAUUAAUUAAAGGCGGUGAUAGGAAAAAAAAACAAAAAAGCAAAUGACCUAAUUGAGUCAGCUUCUUCUUCCCUCUUCUCUCUUCACUUAGAAGAACCGCAAAGAAAAGACCUUAUUCACACAGGUCGUCUUUGCGAAGCUCAUCGUCGACGAUGACCAUGAUGGAUACAGACGAAGGGAAGACAGUGAUGUGUCUGUUAACAGACCCAGAAGG
rnacentral:lncRNA from 1 species